AAGAAAUUGAUGUUAGUUUUGUAAUUUAUAAGAAGUUAAAAGCUUUGUUAUGUUGUAAAUGAGCUUUGGAUGUGUUUUUAAAGUUCAUUUCAUAUGAGGUAUUUUUAUAAUUUAGGUUCCUAUAUUGAGUAUAAUAGUGAAUUUCCCUUUCUUUUUUCUGAGACAGUAUUUUUUUUUUUUUGGUCAAGUUUUUUCUGAGGUAACAUAAAGCUACUUCUUCCUUUUUCUGUUUUUUUAGGUAAGAGAAGUUAAAUCAUUUAUUGGAAAAAAAUUACACAGAUGUAUAUAUUUUUUCUUUCUAAACUUCAAAUUUUUUGGUAUUUCAAAUUUUUUUUUCCAAUCACAAGGUGUAGUGUGGUUGGCAAACUAUCAUCUCCAGUUAGCUAGCCACCUAAUAUCUCAAUGGCAGGUGUUCGAAACUCGUUGGAACCACUUUGUGGCUAGAAGCAAGCAGAACCCCAAUUGAGGAUAUCCCACCCUUUGAGUGUGAGGACACCUUGUGAUAUUUACAAAAAAAAAAAAACUACAUUUUAAAAAACCAUUUUUCAAAUCUUACGUUUUAGGUUAAUUAAAAUAUCAAAUUGAGUCCUAACAUAAAAAAAAAAAAUCAAUUUGAAAAAUACAUAAAAAUGAUUAAUUAACUCUAAGAUAAAAUUUUGAAUCUUUUUCAAAAAAUUUUUGUUUUUUUUUUUGUUGAGGUAAGAAAAGUUAAAUCAUUUAUUGGAACAAUUGCAUUGCACAGAUACAUACCCUUUAAACUCUUUUUUAAUAUCUGCAUUAAAAAAAAAACUAUUUUUAAUAUUCCAACAAAAACAAACUAAUUUUUAAUAGUUCAACUUAAAUUUUUUAGUAUUUCAAUUCUAUAUAUUUUUUUUUACCAUUUUUCAAAUUCUAUGUUUUGAGUUAAGUUAAUUAAACAUCAAAUUGACUCCUAAAAUAUAAAAAGGAUUUUUAAAAUAUAAAUAAUGAUUAAUCAAUUAUAAGAUAAAAUUUUAUAUUUAAUUUAGUUAAAAAAAUCAAAUUAAUGCCAUAAAUCUCCGACCCAACCAGGUCUCCACUUUAUCACGAGAUCUCCCGAAAUCAACGGUCAUGAUAUGUUCUCAGCUUGUAAUAAUAAGAGUCGCUUAAGGUUUACGAAGUAUAUUUCAAAAUCUUUGUAAAUCUUGUUUUUACUGGAUUAUUAAUUCAAGCGAAAGGAAAAGCCGCGAAAGAAAAAUACGACCGUUUGAAGAUUACGCGUUGAACUACAUCUAUAUAAACCCAAUCCAACCAGCAAAAGGAAACUCUGAUUUCCAAACCCUCGUUCAAAUCACAGCGUCAACCAUACGCACUACGCACGCAGAGAAAAACACUUAGGGUUUGAAAAUCGAAACCGUCUUUUUCACAUCAAUAUUUUCAUCGUCUUCUCCGAUUGAUCAUCGCUUCAACGAGUUCUUCUCUCUCUCUCUCUCUUUCUACCCAAUUUCUGUUUUUCUACGUCUCUUUGCUUUCGUUUUGUUAGACCCAGAAACCCUAUUUCACCGGAAAGCUUCAAUUUUUGUUUUUCAAACAAUGGGUCAGAGUUCAAGGCCAAAGAAAGAACAGAGCUUGUCGGUUGCUGGGCGAGAGUGGGUUCGAGGCCGGAUGCUCGGAAAAGGGGGGUUUGGGUCGGUGUAUUUGGGUUGGGUCAAAAAACCCAAUAUGUGCGCCGAUUCCUUGCCCUCAAUUUUCGCAGUGAAGUCGACAUUAUACUGUGAUGCGCUUGAGCUGGUGACGGAAAAUUCAAUUCUUGGCACGUUUAGUAGCUGUCCAUUUAUCAUCCACCGCUAUGGAGAUGAUGUGACUGCUGGUGUUGAUGGUAAUAAGGUAUUCAAUAUGUUCAUGGAGUAUGCUGAUGGAGGAACAAUGAGGGAUUUGAUUAACAAUUCUGGGGGUUCUGGGUUGCCUGAAUUUCAAGUAAGGAAGUACACAGAGGCGAUUUUGCAAGGGGUUAAGCACAUUCAUGAAAUGGGUUAUGUGCAUUGCGAUUUGAAGCCUGAGAAUAUUUUACUUGUCACCAAAAGUGAUUCUGGUGGAUCUGAAUUUGUGCCUAAAAUUGGGGACUUGGGUCUGACAAAGAGGGUUAUAGAGGAGCGUGCUGGAGGCACUACAAUGUAUUGGUCUCCAGAAACUGUCAUUCAAGAUAUUCAGCAGCAACCUUCUGAUAUUUGGGCUCUAGGGUGUGUGGUGCUCAACAUGUUGACUGGGAAGCAGCCAUGGGAUUUGAAAGCUGGGGCGAGACCUUGGGACCUCAUGCUUCAGAUUGCUUCAAAAUCUCCCACCAUUCCUGUUUGGUUAUCAGAUGAGGCUAAAGAUUUCUUAGGAAAGUGCUUUGUGUGGAGCCCUUCUGAGAGGUUCACAGCUGCUAAGCUAUUGAAUCAUCCAUUUGUGACUAAUCUGGAUCCAGUAAAGGAACUCUCUUCGGUGUCAUCAUCGUCUUCUAAGAAGCAGAUUCUUCCUUUGGGUUCCAAGACCUGUCAUUCCAAAUCAAACCACUGUUUGCCAAAAGCCACCCGCUUUCCCUAUAAUUGGUCCUGCCUAGCUUGAUCCUUAAGUUGGUGUUUUGUAUUUGCUUUUUUGAAAUAUCUCUCACAAAUUGGUGUAAUACUUCAUUAUCCUAAAUUUGUAAUUUUGUGUCAUUUCAUGUACAUUCUUUGAUUUCAUUCAUUAUUAAUACAGAGCUAAUGCCACUUUCUUUUACAUAUUUCUUUUGGUUCCUUUUUUGUAAUUCAUUGCAUUUGAGAUCCAUUAGGUUUAUAUAAGAUUAGUAUAUACAGAAACUGAAUCUUUUAUGCAUCAUCAAAUAAAGUUAUCUCAUGCAGUCUCAGAACUCAAAAAACUUAUAUGAAUAAUUAGACCUUUCACCAAGCAUUUCAAGGGAAUUGUCCCAUCUGUCUAAAAUUAGCAAGAAAAAUUUACAGCAGCGCUGUAUUUUGUAUAGCAUCCAUCGUCGUCAAUUUACAUCCUCGGGUCAUCCAACAUCUAAACCAUAGGAGUAAACUGUAAUUGUUGAAUGGUAGGGGAUGAGAGAAAUAAGUGUUAAAAUGAUGGCGUCAAACUAGAACUUGGGUCAUCCAGCAUCUCAACCACAGGAGCGAACUGCAAAUGUUGAGCAGCAUUGAUACUCAGGUAAACUACCACCAACCCAGACACACAUGCUUUGCUCUGUUUUGUUGCCGAGAAAAUUCAAGAGAAAAUGGAAAUGAAAACAAUAUGGUUUUCUGUCAAUCAGUUUACACUUGAACACUUGGUUAUCUGUAUCUUCAGAUGUUUUCAGUUGGCACUGCCUUUAAAGGCAUAAAGGUGAUUCGUCCUGGUCCUCAUUUUGUGUACCAGGUAAGCUCUUCUUAGCAGAGAAUAGAUUAGCCAGACUGACCUUUCUCAUGUAACAGGUAAGUGUUCGUAUGUGGGAUCAACAAGAGGAAAGAUUGGCCAAAGUAACAGAAGAAGAGGUUUGCAUUCGUGUUGGUUGUAUCAUUGUCUUACUUGAGGAGUCACAUUUUCCGCAAUAUGGAUCCAAGUGAUUUCCAGUGAAUGUUUGAUGCUAUAGAUUGAAUUUUGUAACCUCAACAGAAGAAGUUGCAUAAAUCUUAAACUUAAUAGAAGUUGAGGCAAAUAUCUGAUACUUCUAGCCUAGUACAUACCAACACAAUACAAUGUUUGAUGCUAUUUCCGGGAGCAUUCCUACUGAAUUCUAAACAAAAAAUUAGAUUUUUUAUUUGUAAUUCAUUAAUCCAAAUUGGGUGGAUCUUUUCUCGGAGUAGAGCAUAAACCUUAAAAAUGUGAAGAAAUCCAUUUAGAAACAAGAAAAUUACAUCGCAAUUUAAAUUGUAUCUCGAUGAAAUAGGAUGGCCUGAAAAUGGCCAUAAACAAGUAAAGAAAAUAUGUAUUUAUAGUGGGGUAUAUCUUGGUUAAACUCUUCCACCUUCACCCAUGUGGGUGAAAACCUCUAGACACCGAACAAAUAUUGUGUAAACCUCCUCCCCAAAUCGCUUGUACUAAAAAAAAAUUUCAAUUAAAUAUAAUACGUUAGAAAUAAAAUUGAAGUUUGAUGUGUUUAUCACGUGGGGAUUAAAAAUCUACCUUUUCUAACAGUGCUCUAGAUCCUAAUAAAUAAUCGUUUAUGAUAAUACGAGAGUAGUUAGGUUCACCAACACUCUAAAAGAUCAUUUUUGCCUCUCCCAUGUUUUCCACUUGAUAAAAAAACGUGAAUAUUUCCAUUUGUGGAUUUAAUUGUUCUUAAUUGAGAUCUUAAGCACACUAUAGGUCUUCACUUGCUUAAAUUGAAACUAUAAGUCGUUAAUUGAAAUAUUUACAAAACUAGAAGGACUAUAAAUGUUAUUUUACAAAUUUUGCAUUGUGUGCUUCAUUAAAAGUUCUUUCUUUGAUCUCCCCUCUCAUGUUGAAUUUAUCUUCCUCUUACAUUUUUGUUUGGAAGAGAUUCCAAAUGCAAUUCCCCACUCCUCCAUGGAUCUAAAAAAUAUAUAUUUCUUUUAUUUUCUGUGAAGGUCAUGUGAGCUGUUUUCAAUUCUUUAACUUAAAAUUCAAUAGUUUCAUGUAAUUUUUUGUGUUGGAAUAUAUUUUAAUUAAAUUAAAAAUCAAGUCAAAUCAUAAAAAUUUGAAAAUAUGUAAAAUGACUACUUAAUUCUAAGGCAAAAUUAAGGCCAUAAAUCUCCGACUUGGUCGAGUUUAACUCUCCUGUUAUCAUUUUUCAUGUGUUCACUUUGUAUCCUAUUUAACUUUUUGACACAUGUCCUUUCACUUAAUCUUAAGUUGUUAAUCUUUAAUUAAAGAAUUUUUUUUUCUGAAAGUUUCACGUUUGUUAAAAUUACAUAGAAACUAACUACAGGGACUAAAUUGACCCAUUUAAAAUAAUCUGAGAAUUAAAUUGGCUGAAAAAAAUAAUUGAGGGUGAUAAUUUCGACCAAAAAAAAACCCUUAAUUAAAUGACGGAAUCGGGUGGGUGUGAGUUUGGUGAUUGUUGGGUAUUUUUCUUUUUCUUUAAUUAUUAGUUUUUGUUUUUAUUGGGCACAGGAAAAUGGUAACAGGAGAGUUGAAUUGAAGUCAACCGCGUCUCCCCUUCAUCGUCAGAUCUCCCCAUAUCAACGGUGAUGACAGCUUGUAAUCAGAGAGAAUGGCUUAAGAUUUACGAAAGAUAUAUCAAAAUCAAAUCCUCAGUAAAUCUUUUCAGUGGAUUUCAAAAGUAAAUAAUAAAUAUUUGAUUAGAUUAUUAAUUGAAGCGGAAACAAAAGCCGCGAAAGAAAUAUAUGACCGUUUGAAGGUUACGCGUUAAACUAUAUAAACCCAACCCAACCAGGAAAACAAUACUCUGAUUUCCAAACCCUCAUUCAACAGCUUCAAAUCAAAAACAAUUGAGCGUUAGAAAUCCAAGCCCUCUUUUUCACAUCAACGUUUCAUCCUUCUUCGUUGAUCACCGACUGCUUCAAGGAGUUCUUCUCUCUCUCUCUCUCUCUCUUGUUACCCGGUUUCUGUUUCUCUGCGUCUCUUUGCUUUCGUUUUGUUAGACCCAUAAACCCUAGUUCAUCAGAAAGCUUUAAUUUUUGUUUUUCAAACAAUGGGUUCGAGUUCAAGGCCGAAGAAAGAACAGAGCUUGUCGGUUGCUGGCCGUGAGUGGGUUCGAGGCCGGAUACUUGGAAAAGGGGGGUUUGGGUCGGUGUAUUUGGGUUGGGUCAAAAAACCCAAUUUGAGAGCCGAUGUUUUGCCCUCAAUUUUCGCUGUGAAGUCGACAUUAUACUGUGAUGCGCUUGAGUUGGUGAGGGAAAAUUCACUUCUUGACAUAUUUAGCAACUGCCCGUUUAUCAUCCAUCGCUAUGGAGAUGAUGUAACGGCUGGUGUUGAUGGCAAAAAGGUAUUCAAUAUGUUCAUGGAAUAUGCCGAUGGAGGAACAAUGAGGGAUUUGAUUAACAAGUCUGGGGGGUUGCCUGAAUUUCAAGUAAGAAAGUAUACAGAGGCAAUUUUGAAAGGGGUUAAGCACAUUCAUGAAAUGGGUUAUGUGCAUUGCGAUUUGAAGCCUGAGAAUAUAUUACUCGUCUCCAAAACUGAUGCCGGUGGUUCUAAAUUUGUGCCCAAACUUGGAGACUUGGGUCUGGCAAAGAGGAUUAUAGAGAAGCGUUCUGGAGGCACUACACUGUAUUGGUCUCCAGAAACUGUGCUUCAAAAUAUUCAGCUGCAACCUUCUGAUAUUUGGGCAUUGGGCUGUGUUGUGCUUAUGAUGUUGACUGGGAGGAAGCCAUGGGAUUUGAAAGCCGGGGCGAGACCUUGGGACCUAAUGCUUCAGAUUGCUUCAAAAUCUCCCACUAUUCCUGUUUGGUUAUCAGAAGAGGCUAAAGAUUUCUUGGGAAAGUGCUUUGUGUGGAGCCCUUCUGAGAGGUUCACAGCUGCUAAGCUUUUGAAUCAUCCAUUUGUGACUAAUUUGGAUCCAGUAAAGGAACUCAAUUCAGUGUCGUCGUCGCCUUCUGAGCAACAGAUUCCUUUGGGAUUCAAGACCUGUCAUUCCAAAUCAAACCGCUGUUUGCCAAAAGCCAUCGGCUUUCCCUAUAAUUGGUGCUGCUUAGCUUGAUUCUUAAAGUUACAAUUUUGUAUAUGCUUGUUUGGAAGCGUCUCUCACAAUUUGGUGUAAUACUUCAUUAUCCUAAAUUUGUACGUAAUUUGAUGUACAUUCUUUGAUUUCAUUCAUUAUUAAUACAGAGCUAAUGACACUUUUUUUACAUAUUUUUUUGGGUUCCUUUUAUGUAUUAUAUAAGAUUAGUUGUUCACAAGUUAAAGGAUUUAGGACAUUUUCAUUUUCACCUAUAUAUGUACCAACUUUUUUGUUUGGUCAAAAUAAAUGUACCAACUCUAACAACAUACUAAUUAAAUAAUUAAAUCUAUAGAUGAAAUUAAAUAAAUAACUAUCAACUACAUUUUAGUUCCAACAAAUAAAAACUAAACAACAAUAACCUGAAUGACAACAGAGCCGACAAGAAAAAACUGAAUCAAGCACGGCAGUGUAAUACGAAAAAUGCACAGUGGCAGCAGAAUCAAGCACUCAAAUCUCGUACCUUGAAAAGACGGAGCAAAAAGCUAUCAGCAGAAAACCAUGAAUCAUCUAAUAGGGAUGAUCCACUGUUCGUGUCUCUGCAAUCUUUACGAAGUCCAUGUUUCAAUUGAUAGUAGAUGACUCUAAUAAACUGCGAGAUUCUCGUCACAUGUCAUUUAUCAGUGCAAAUGAAAUGGAGAAAAAGGAAAGUACUGUUCAGUGCUAGUUUACAAGGAAAAAAAAAAAGUUUAAAUCAAGAAUUGCUGAAUGUGUUACUCUCUCUGGAAAGAAAACGCAAUAACAGAAUCUAAGAUUCAAUCAUCAUUAGGAAAAAGCUGAAUUCUAGAAUCAAAAGACUCAACUCAAGGAUAUGCAGUGAGGGACUCAAGAAAUUGUUUUCUCAAAACAUCACUAGUAUGUCAACAUUAUAAUAAAAACUUCAGCUUUGGGUUAAAAGCUUCUUUAGGAUCCCUACUAGGCUACUCCCAACUGUCUCCACCUGAACACACACCUCCCUUUAAUCCAGCAUAUAUUUUAGUAACUAGAAACUUAUUAAGAAUGAUUUUGUCUAUAGUCCGGUAUAAAUUUGAAAAGUGAUUGCCCCAUCUUCACGAGUUCAAAAUAUCAUAAAGAUCUCAGAGUACUAUUUAAACAUAGAAUGCUCUAAAAGCUGCAUUGUAUGCACACCAAAAAUAUUCUUGUAGCCCCUGAAAUUGUAGCUCCCGCAAGAAGCAAAUCCUCAGAACCUCCAUAAUAUUCUAGUAGUACACUUUCCAACAAUUGUGUCCAAACAGAUCAUUGCAAAUACGACCACAAUAGAAAAAAAUAAUAAUUAGUGUAAGUAUAUAGCCAAAUCAGCUAAUUUUAAACAUUAAAAAUAAUAAUCAACCAUACUACUUAAAAUAGGAGGGAGGGGGUUCUUACCUUGUCAAGAUUCAAACAAGUUGGUUUGGCCAUGGAUUCCUUUUUGUUUGAUAAUACGAGGAAUUGAUGUGUACAUCAGCAUUUUGCUGACAACUUCAGAGAUUGCCUCAACUUCUUUUAUUAAGCUUAUUGGAGAUCAAAAUUCAUUCAUUGUUGUAAAUCACUUUCAUUCCAUAUUAUGGAAAAUAUGAUACAAUCAACUUGUGGAUCGCGCUUACGAACAAACCUGUUAGAUGAGAAAGGUCAGAAUUGCUGACCUGCAUUGAUAUCAUGGCACAAGCAACUUACAGUAAAAUGUUAACCCAAAAGGCCAGUGACCACAAAACUAACAAUAAAAGAUUGGUAAUCAACCUCAGUUGGCCCAGCAUCAACAAAAACACCCUUUAACUGGUGAGAACUCCUUGUCAUCUUGUACUCAAAAAAGCCAAACAUAAAACAUAAAAUAAAAAUAAAAAAAACAUCUAAGGCACACUACAAAUAAUAAAGUUUGGGAAUUUAUAGAAACUACAAAAUACAAUCAACCACAAAACACUCAUAAUUCAAUAAUCAAUGAAGAGCAACUAGUCAGUCUAUCUUCUCUGCCAACAUGCAACAAACACAUAUUGAGCAAGAAAAGGUAACCUGGUGGAUGAGCUAUAUUACACAAAAUGAGGACCAAGAGGGAUCAUCUUUAUGCCUUUAAAGGGCAGGGCCUAGAGACAGAAAUCAUCUGAAGAUACAGAGAGCCAAGAGAAAACCAAAUUGCUACCCUUUUUAUUUUAUCUUGAAUUUUCUGGGCAACAGAACAGAGCAUAAGCAUGUGAGGGUGGCUGGGUUGGUAGUAGUUUUACCUGAGUAUCAAUGCCGAUGAGGAUGUGCUGAGGAACGUCGAGGAAGAAGCCAAGCUUCAGAAACUCCAUUGCCAUUUCAGUUUUUUACUUGAAAAUUCUGGCUCUGGGUCAAAUUCGGGUCAACUCUCCAAGAGACAAAUAUAACCCGUUUCAUAAACGGGUCGAACUCAACCCUUACCUGUUUAGUUUUUAAUAAUAAUAAAUACGUGGCAGGUAUUAAUUGGGCUGAUAGCUCUGAGACACGGUGUCUAUCCUCUCUCAGAUCGCCAUCGCUUCUCUAUCAGUAACUCUCAGUCUCAGCCGUAAUCCCUAAUUUUCAUUUCCUCUGCCCCCAAUCUGUCUUUUCCUCUGCUUAUCUCAGCCUGUCUCUCAAACUCUCAGUCUCCAUCGUUUCUGCCCCUACAUCUCGAACUUAAGCCCUAACCCAAACUGUCUCAGGCUCUGUCUCUGUCUCUCUGUCUCUCUGUCUCUCUCUCUCAAACUUGCAGACGUGUUUGACGUCGACCGGGGUCACCGAAUAAGAGGUUAAUCAAAUUUGAAACAUUUUGAUUUUAAUUCUUAAUUUGCUCAUGUUGUGAUUAAUUAUGUGUGAAUGACUGUUUUGUUAUGCUGAUGUUGUAAUUAAUUAUGUGUGAAUGACAGUUGUUAUGUUGUGUAAUUUGAUGUUGUGCAAGGAUGCUAAUUUGGAGAUUUUGUUUUGUUUUGGUUUCUCUUGUUUCUGUUUCCUGCCAUUGUGUUUCAUAGGUCAUAGACCCGCAUAGGUUAUCUGGGUUUUCUGGAGUUUCGGGAUUUCUGCCAUUGUGUAAUACAUUCUGUAUGCUUCAGUUUCCUAGUUGUUUUUCACUAUUUGAUCAUUGGGUUAAUAUCAUACCCAGAAAAGAAAAUAUUCAGUAAAUAUGUAAUUUAUCAAAAUGGGAAAGGGUUUUCCCAUUUGAAUCUGUUAAGUUUUGAGGAUCCCUAAUUUGAUUGCAAGAUAAUAUAUGGGUACAAUAUGCUAUAGGAUCUCUAAUUUGGCUACAAGAAAAUGGUUUACCUUUAUUUAAAAGAUUGUCACUACUUUAUUUUCUCUGUCUGUUUCUGUGGGAGUCUGAUUUUUCCCACCUUUCUUUCAGCUUCAGGUCAUGCAUUCUACGGCACGGUCCUGAUUAAAAAACCAUAGGACUUGCUGAUACUGAAGUUUUGAACUUUCCGAACAUAAAAAAAGCAAAUGAUUCGAAAAACUAAAAUUCCGAAUCUUGAUUCAAGCGUUUCCUUGCGCAUUGUGUUCCGCUGUCAACUGAAAAGUUUGAACCGUUGACUGUUGUGGAGGAAAAGUUAAAGAAGUUGCUUGAAUAAGUGGAGGCCCUUGGUGAAGCUGGGAAGAUGGAUGAAGCUGAAGUGCCCAUGAAAAAGGUGUUGCUAUUCUUGCCUGAGUUUUCUUUUAAGCAUUUGUUUCCAAAUUUUGCAAAUAAUUUUCCAGGAAGUCUUUGCACCCUGUGGCCCUGGCAGCCAGGUUCAUUUUCCCUAUCCUGAUUUUUUUGGUGGACUAACAAAAGUUUAUCCUAUGAUAGAUGCCUAAUAAUAAUGGUGCGGAGAAUCCUGAAGUUGGUCAGGGCCCUCAGGCCCAGGGUGGUUCUAGUGCCCCUACUCUUGUCAGUAAUACCCAAUCAAACUGGUAUAGCGUCUUUCUCCAGCAAAUCUCAGUCUAUGGUAUUGCUGCUGGUUAUUGCUUAUCUGCCUCAUUGCUUUCCAUCAUCAACAAAUGGGCUGUCAUGAAAUUUCCUUAUCCUGGGGCACUAACUGCUCUGCAGUAUAUGACAAGUGCUAUUGGUGUCCUCGUUUGUGGCUGGCUUAAAUUGAUAGAGUAUGAUUCACUUGACCUACUUACUAUGUGGCGCUUCCUACCGGCAGCAAUUAUAUUCUACCUCUCUCUCUUCACCAACAGUGAGCUGCUUCUCCAUGCUAAUGUUGACACUUUCAUCGUCUUUCGUUCAGUUGUUCCGAUCUUUGUUGCGAUAGGAGAGACAAUCUUCUUGCACCAACCAUGGCCAUCAAUUAGGACAUGGACCUCACUUGUCACUAUUUUUGGGGGAAGUGUGAUUUAUGUUCUAACAGAUUACAAGUUCACAGUAACGGCUUAUAGUUGGGCUCUAGCUUACUUGGUAAGCAUGUCCAUAGACUUUGUCUACAUAAAGCAUGUGGUAAUGACCAUUGGUUUAAAUACAUGGGGUCUUGUACUGUAUAACAAUCUCGAGGCUCUUCUACUGUUUCCAUUAGAACUGCUUGUAAUGGGUGAAUUGAAGAAGAUUAAGCAUGAAAUCUCAGAUGAAUCCGAUUGGUAUUCUCUUGAGGUGGUUUUGCCAGUGGGGUUAUCGUGUUUAUUUGGUUUAUCCAUCUCUUUCUUUGGGUUUUCUUGCCGAAGGGCAAUUUCUGCUACUGGAUUUACUGUUCUUGGUAUAGUGAACAAGCUAUUAACUGUUGUGAUUAAUCUCGUUAUUUGGGACAAGCAUUCAACCUUCGUUGGUACAUUGGGCCUGUUGAUAUGUAUGGUAGGUGGUGUUAUGUAUCAGCAAUCUACAAGCAACAAGCCUAAGGAUGUGAAUCAAGCAAAAGCACGAGAGACUGAGGAAGAAGAGCGAAAGUUAAUUGAAAUGGAAAGCAGCUUAGAAAGCAAUAACAAUGAGAAAUUGCCUGUUGAAUCUGAAGGGGGAAAAUGACGGAAGGGUUUUUCAAGGUAAUAUUGUUCUGGUCUUGUUGCAUCCGGAUUUUAUUAUUCUCCGGUCUAGAUUUGUUGAUUGGUAAGUCUCUUGCGACAAAUUCUCAGCGAGAUUUUAACAGAAUACUUGUGAUGCGCAUGUGGGUUAAGAUGAGUAUUGGGCAUGACAGGUUGGUUAAAUGAGUUAUUCUUCAACAACAAAAUUCUCUGUACUUGAUAAUUAAUUUCUUAAGCCUGGUCUGCAGCAUUUAAUCAACGAUCUGGGAACACCCUGUUGUUAGACUAAAUAUUGCAUUCUUUUGUUCUGUAAUCUUAGAUUGAUCAAAUAGUCCCAAUAGCAAUGCCUUAUUUGUUGUAAGGAUGCAGGAUUUCUGAAGACAUGCUGCCUGCUUAUAUCUGAAUUUUAUCUUCCUUCUUUAUCCUCAAUGCUUAUUCUUUUACAGUGUACUUGUAAAAAUUAUGGGAUGUAGUUUUGUAAGCAGUUAGCAAAAGUAAGGAUUUGUUUUUACUUCUCUGUAACAUUUUUGAAUGAGGAUAAAAGGGUUUGGUAGUUGCCAAAUAUAAGGAAUUUCCUCUUCCCCACCCUACCAUAAAUUUAAAGGAAAAGGAGAACUUCUGGAUUAAAUAGACUGUAUGAUGGUGAAGUGUAAGUUUUUCUCCAAAAGCUGUUGAACGGUUGCUCCUUCCCUAUGGUCUUCUUUUUGUUCAAGAGCUGGUUUUCAUGAUCUAUUUUGGACUGUGAUCUUCUUGCUGCUGUGCAAAUGGUGUGGGCUGUGGAGGAAUGUAUGGCAAUAUAAAGGAGCUUUUACAAUGAGGGUUUAGAGUGAGGAGCUUAUUUGAGGGGUUCAAUCCCACCAUCAAAUCAUUUAAAAUGUUUAAGUCCAUUGAUUUCCUCACAUUUGUUGAUGGUUGGAUUGAACCCCUCAAAUAAGCUCCUCACUCUAAUUUUCUCAUUAUAGCCUUUCCAAUAUAAAGGAACAUCUCAAGAGUUUCCCCAAGCCAUUUUAUGUGUUGAAUACUUGACUUUGAAUUGGGUUUCAAAAAUGAAAGAAGCAAAUAUCGAAGGGGGAAAAAUCAGCAUUGCCUGUUCAGGACUAUCAAUUAAGUUUUUUUUAUUGGUUGUUAAACACAAAUUUGAUACAAUCUUCGGAAAAAUUUAAAUAUUUGAGAUUUGGAAGGGAUUUAUAUCAUAGGCCCUUCAAUUAAAUUAAAGAUUGUUUAUGUCUAAAAUAUAAAUUAUUUUAUUCAACAUAUUACCUUCCCUAUGCUCCCAAUUUUUUUAAAAUUGGCUUAGUCAUUGUUUUACUCUUUGGAACGGACGCUCAAUGCUCAUGAAAAUGAAAUUUUCUUACUUAACUUCCAGAAUUUUGAAAAAUUAUUUAAAUUUUCUUACUUUACCACUUCCGUUUAUUUUUAUCUAUAAAACUAUUAAGUGCGUUGACGUGGCAUAUUCAUUUUAGUAAUUUUAGCUCCUCUCUCACUCUCACUCCCUCUGCCUCUCUUCUUGUCUCCCCCUCCUCCUCAUCGCACCUCCAUUGCACCCAAUCCUCUCUCUCUCUCUCUCUCUCUCUCUCUCUCUCGACCUAACCCCCAACCCAGACCCAACCCUUCCUGGAAUUACUCAACACACCCAACUUACCCAGCCACUCAAACCCUACCCUCAUCACCUCCCACGAAGCAAUCCACUCCAGCCAUCUCCAUCAUCAUAUCAGACGCAACCCCUGACUGUAAUUUUGUUUGAUGGCGUCAAUCCAUCAUAUUCAAGUGGUUUUUGUUUUUUUACUGAAAUUGAAGGAGAUGAAAGGGAAGGGUGGUGGGGUGCUUUGGAGUCUAGUUUUCCUUUUUCCUUUUUCUCUGUACCCACCCUGUUUCUCCCUUGUUCUUCUGACACCUCUCAUCUCUUGACAUCAAACAUAACGUUGUUAACUUUGAAUAAAAUGAGAAAUAAAAAUCCAACAACCCAAGCAAAACUCUAACGACCGACACUACCUCCACAGUCACCACCCACCCUCCUCCACGCACACACACACUCUCUCUCUCUCUCUCUUAUGGUGAAGAUGAGCCAUGGAGGUGUUAUGAGUAUGAAGAUUUUGAGAGGAAACAGAUAUGGAACAAGAAGCAACACAACUCUCUUCAUCACACUCUAACAAAAGACUCCUAAAAUGUAGAGAGAACUGAUAAACUAUUUUUAAAAUUUUUAGAACAGUUAAAACAGUAAUGCUGCUCGACCAUGUACUUGAUUUGAGUGCCUACUUAUUUAAAAGUAAAUAAAUAUCAUAAUGAAAGAGCCAUAAGGUGUGUUUAGUUAAAACAGAUUUAAAUGCUUUGUUUAACAUAAGGAUCCGUGGCGCAAUGGUAGCGCGUCUGACUCCAGAUCAGAAGGUUGCGUGUUCGAUUCACGUCGGGUUCAUUUUAAUUUAUUUUUUUCAAUCCUUCUUUCUAGUCCUCUACCGCAUCGUGUGAUAUGGAUUUUCUCGUCAAUUCCCAAGCCCAUUUUGCCUUUCCAAGUGUGCAGUCAAUUGGGAAGGGUGCUUUUCCAUUGCUUCAAAAUGCUCAAAUUUGGUUUUUCCUUGGGAUUAAUAUUGUUCCGGUUUUUCUACAGUCCUCCUAUACAUGUACUAGGUGCAUAUGCCAAAAAGUGAUAGUCUACCACAUUUUUAACAAUUGACGAUGCACCGUAACCCCUCAUUAUAGUAUUUUCGUUAGUUGCUAAGUUCGCUAUACUUUUAUUUGUUAAGUUACAUGACACGUGUCGAAUAAUUAGUAAGGAGACACAAAGGGACACCAAAUUAGGUACAAUGAAUUAGCUCAGAAUAGAAACACAUUCUCGUCCCCACGUUGGAGGACAUGGUAUUCCUGACUUUUCCUCCAUGUCAAUAUUGGCCCACUACACAUCUCUUUCUGAAGUACAUUUAGCUCCAUUCGUGUCUAGGCGUGCUUUUAGGGGUUUAUUCAUAUGUAUAAUAAUAAUAAUAAUAAUAAUAAUAUAGUACAUGCAGACAUGGUAAUAUUAAAAUCUCACAAUCACGACAAAAAAAGUCCAAUAGUAACGCUGACAAAAUGACAGCCCUUAAUUCAAACCUAAAAAUCAAACUCCAACUGGUAAAAAUUAAUUAUAUCUUGAGCGUUUGUUCUUUGUCCUCGUCAUUUUCAUCAUCUGAGAAAAAGAAAAACCAAAUAUAAUCCAUAACUUGGCGACGAUAUAUCUGAAUCCUGAUGGUAGAACCUUUAAAAAGUUAAACAAACACUACAACUUACAUCAAAAACUGAAAUUUUUUAUUUAAGGAUUAAAAAUGAGUCGAAGAAAAAACCCAGACAGACACAAAACAAACCCAGACAUACCUUAAGCCUUAUUGCAAGAAUGGGCAGUGUAAGAGAGCCAUUAAAGUUUGAAUUGUUAAUACAAAACAACAUUGGUAAUGUUGAAAACUAGGUGGUAAUUGGCCAAGUUUUGGUUUCUCGGUGCAUAUUAAAAGCUUUAUUUUUUUAAAAAAAAAUUAAAUUUUAAUUUGAAUUGUUUAAUAUAAAAGCACACCGAAAAUGUUGACAACUAAAGGUGGAGUUAUUAUUAUGAAUUGUAAUAUUUUAUUGUGAACUUAAAAGUGCAUUGGGAACUUACAAGUGUAUUGGAAACUUAAAUAAGUGUAAUAUUUUAUUGAUUUGAGUUCUGAUUAGCUUCGUUUUUAUUAUAUUUAAUUCAACAAUCACCAAAGCAGACCAAGAAUGGUGAGGACUAACCCAAAUCAUUGACCAUCUACCUAAAUGUAACGAAAAUUGAUUGUGUUACUAUGAAAAAUGUGACUAUUGCCCACUUCUUCUUUUUUUUUUUUAUAGUGAAUAUAGGUACGUUGACAGCACAAGGUAAUGAUCAGCAUCAUCAACAAAUUAGCUAGGUUCCAAUAAAUAAAUAAAUAAAUAAACUAGCUAGGUUAACCUUAGCGUUACCACCAACCAUUCAGCUGUCAAAACCCCCACCAUCAUCAAGACCUUGCCAGUGAAGUAAAACAUUGCACCUACGGUUCAACCAAUAAGUGGUUUCUUCUCUCCAAAUUUUUUUAAGCCAAAAAGAAGAAUGGAAACCUGCAAAUGAAUAAAAAAUCUACUACUCAAUAUCAAAAGGCCCACGCAAAUGUCUUUUAUAAGUCAAGUGAUUAAGACUAUUCACUCUUGUUUUCAUUUCCUUUCUUUGUCAAUGUCGGCCGAUUCUCCUCUUCUCAAAUAUCGGUAGUAUUCAAAUAAAAAUUUGGUUAAAAGAGCAUAAGUGAGGAAUAUCCACCAUUUUCAUUGGCAGGACAAGAACUACUUAAUGCAUUAAAUAUGAGGACUCUCGAUUUUCCACAGUUGAAGAGCCAACAAGCCUAAAAAUGUACUGCAGAAAUUAAUUAAAAUACAUAAGUGAACCUGUGUGUAUGUAUAUAUAAAUAAAUGACAUGCCCCAUAUAUAUCAUGUCUAGAAUUUAAAAUAUAGUCAAGUAAGAUUCGAUUUUUUAUGCCGGAUCAUUGGAUAAUAUACAAUACUUCUCCUGUUCCACGAGUAUGCACUCAUCCAUUUAUAUAUAUAUAUAUAUAUAUAUAUACACACAGUCCCCUUCUAUUGAGGGAUUCCUCAAAUAAUUUUAUUUGAGGGACGCCCUUUAGGGUACCCUACAAUUUUUUUCCCAAUGAUCCAAACCAUUUAUUUUUUAGGUCUUCAUUUAUAGAUCAUCCUUACAAAAAAUUAGACAAAUCGGAAACCGUUUCGACAUCCAAUUGUGUCUUACGAAAUCAAUGAACACGGUGCUUCAAGAAAAUGCUAAAAUUUCAAUAACUUAAUUGAGUGGUCAAAUAAUAUCGGAUUCAAGUGAUUUUUUGUAGAGAUGAUCUUUGAAUGAGUAUCUACAAAAUAGACAGUUUGGAUUAGUGAAAUACAAUCCGGAGUGGGGCCUACAAGGGGUGUCCCUCAAAUAAGCUUAUUUGAGGGAUCCCUCAAUGGAAGCUCUCUGUAUAUACACAUAUAGUUGCUUUGGCAACAUCUUCAACUUUGAAAAAAAUAAUAAACAAAGAAGUCUUCUAAGAAUACACAUAUCACAUGUUCUUUCUAAUUUAAGCUCUCAAGAGUUACUUUAAACUUUCAGCAGAUCACAAACCCUUCUCUCUCUCUCUCUCUCUCUCUCUCUCUCUCUCUCCCUCCCUCCAAUGGAUGCUGCUGAUGCGCUUGAUCGAUCAUCGUUGACCUUUCCUCUAGUGUGUGAUGAAAGGCAACAAUAUGAGGAAGUAGAGGCAAUUGACCGUGAUCACCAAACUAAAACAACCUCUGUUUUGAAAACUUGUUUCAAUGGACUCAAUGCCCUAUCUGGUACUUCUCCUUGUUAUAUACCAUUGUUUUAACGUAGUAUUGUUUUUUGUUUGGUAUUCUAGCAUUUCUUCUCACUAGCUAUCGACAAUUGCUUCAACAUUUCACUUAUUCAUGAAAAUCCAAUAAUAUAUAUGUAUGUAUGUAUGUGUAGGCAGCUGAACCUCAUCUUGAGACUGUAAAAUAUCAAAUGAAUGAGCCAAAAUUUUCUCUUUUUAAUUUGGUUUCAGGAGUUGGGAUGCUAUCAGUUCCUUAUGCACUCUCAUCAGGAGGGUGGCUAAGCUUGAUACUUCUUUUUGUAAUUGCUGUUGCUGCCUUUUACUCAGGCUUGUUAAUUCAAAGAUGCAUGGAUGAAGGUUCUACUAUAAGAACUUAUCCUGACAUUGGUGAACAUGCAUUUGGGAAAAAGGGAAAAAUAGUUCUGUCAAUUUUCAUGAACACAGAACUCUACUUAGUUGCAACAUCUUUCCUAAUUCUGGAAGGAGAUAACCUACACGACUUAUUUCCAAAAAUGAAAUUGGAAGUGGCUGGAUUAACAAUUAGUGGGAAGAAGUGCUUUACAAUACUUGGUGGACUUAUUGUUCUGCCAACUGUGUGGUUUGAUAGCCUCAGCCUUCUUUCUUAUGUCUCUGCAAGUGGGGUUUUUUCAUCUGUUAUCAUUAUUGGGUCAAUUUUGUGGACUGCUGUUUUUGAUGGAAUUGGAUUUCACCAAGAGGGAUCGGUACCGCUUAAUUGGAGUGGAAUCCCUACUGCUGUUAGCUUAUAUGCCUUCUGCUAUUGUGCGCAUCCAGUGUUCCCUACGCUCUACAAAUCAAUGAAAAACAAACGUCAGUUCCCGAAUGUAAGUACAAAAUGUGAGCUUGACAUACAUUGUUGGCCGAUUUCCUAACAUCUAAAGUUUUAGUGAUGGUUAACCUAGUAGGAUAGCCUUCUUUACAAGAGGUCCUAAAUGCGUUAAAGAUAAAUGAUGUUACUAUAAUAUGGAUAUCACAAGUAUAUCUUACACGUUAAAGAUAAAUGAGAUUUAGCGUAUGCAUGCUUUGGUGCUUACUAAUUUUCAAUCUGUUGUUUCUUUGCUGCAGGUCCUCCUCGUGUGCUUUAUUUUAUGCACCCUUGGUUAUGCAUCAAUGGCAGUUUUAGGGUACUUAAUGUUCGGGUCAACAGUAGAAUCACAGAUAACUUUAAACCUCCCAACCAAAGAACUUAGCUCAAAAAUCGCAAUAUGGACCACCCUUAUCAAUCCAUUAUCCAAAUAUGCUUUAAUGGUUACACCAAUCCUAAAUACUGCCCAAAAUUGGUUUCCAAGUUGCUGCAAAAAAAGUCGAAGCUUCCGCCUAUUUCUCAGCACUUCCUUGGUAAUCAGCAGUGUCAUAGUAGCUUUGGCUAUACCUUUUUUUGCUUAUCUCAUGUCUCUGGUUGGAGCAUUUUUGAGUGUCACAGCUUCACUUAUUAUACCAUGCCUUUGCUACCUUAAAAUUUCAGGUACUUAUCGAAAUCUCGGAUGCGAAAUGUUGAUUAUAGGGUGUAUAAUUUUGAUGGGAGUUGUAGUUGCCAUAGUUGGUACUUACACAUCUCUACAACAAAUAAUAGAGCAUUUGUAAAUUAGUGUACCGGCUUCCUUUUUUUUUUUUUGACAAUGUAUUAAUUCCUUGCUGAGGUUUAUGUUAAUCCACACAGUAUGUUAAAGAAAUAGAUAAUCAGAGAUGGAGAGCUUUAACAGAGACGAAAAUUUCAAACUAAAUAUUCCUACUAACUUUCGUGCUCACCAGCUUUUUGCUAUUUAUGAUAAAAACUCAGUUUCUUUUCUCAUAACUUUUGAUUUACGUACGAUCGCUUAUGUGCUCGUCUCGACUUCCUCUCUAUUCAUUUUUGGACCAAAUUAAGGUUAAGAAAUAAAUAAAGUCUUCCAAAAUAUAGGAUUUCGUUAGUAACCUUCAAACCUAAUACCGUUUUUCCAGUCCUCAUUUUACCAAACAGUCUUCUCACCAUUUCCUUCAACCACUUCAUCAAUGAAAAUUAGCUAAUCACCUACUACUUCGAAAUCUUUUGAAAAUAAAAAAAAAAAACAUACCGAACACAUGUUUUGUAUAAUAUUUGCGUAAUUUUGUAAAAGAAUUACUAAGCCAAAAGUGAAAGAGAAAGAUAUGGCAAGAUCAUUUCUCUCUCCGUCAUGUGUCAAACCCUGAGCUAAGCUAAAAGUAAGGAUAAGAUUUUUGAGGAAUGGAUAAAACAUUGCUUUAAAAAAUAAAAUAAGUUCAAUUAAACAGCAAAUGUGUGACGCGAUACAAAGCAUUAGAGUUUAGAUUGCAUAUUCCCCACCUAUUCGUGGCAAACAAUUGUGAUGAAUUCGUAUUAAAAAAGAGAGAGGAAAUUAUUGUUUCAUUUGGGCGGAAAUAGUAACAACCUAAGGACUACAUAUUUCAAUAACUAGAAGCAAAUGCAAAUGAGAGUACAGUUUUGGGAUCAUUUGCAUGAAAUAAACCCAAUUUUGAAUUAGAUGCCAAAGUGUUGGUGUAUUAUGACAUAUUUACAAAUUAUAUAUGCCAUCAACCCCUCUUUGUUGAGAAGAACUUAUAUAUAACAGGGAUGCCAUUAUGGCGGUAGUUCAAACUUAUCACGUGUUGCCAUGUCGGAAAAUUACAUUGUCAUAUCGAAAAGUUAAAACACAUGACAAUAUAUAAUCCCUAAAUUUCCUCUGGGAGUCACAAUUUGAACCCGUAAGUGAAACCGUACAUGCAUUAAUUAAGGUUGACUAAUCUUUUUUUUUUUUGGGAGUUUGUUAGCAUAAAUGAUAUAUAUAUAUAUAUAUAUAUAUACCUAUUCCUUGUUGGGUAUUGGUCCCUUUGCUAGUUUUAGGCAAUGACAUGUGUAACAAUAUUUGUAUAUUUAAUAUAUCCAACAUAUCUAGAUACAUUAUAAUUUUCCUACAGAACAAUUAGUGGACAUGCCUACUAUAAUAGUAUAUAAAGGCAAGACAUUUUACCUAAAGGUAUAAAAUACCAUAGGUACAUUUCGUAAAUUACCUAGUACGUACAUUUAGAUGUUGUAAAACAUCAAUCGACACUAUAGGUACAUAAAUACUCUUUAGAAAGGUACAUUAUGAUUGUAUAAGUACAUUAUUUACAUGUAGUUUGUAUAGAUAAAUUAUAAAUUUACCUACAUUAUUUAUAUUAAAAAUAAGCAAAAUAUAGGUACAUUAUUUAUCAUAGAAAAAAUAGGUGUAUUUUUGAAUAUGGGUAAUAGGUACAUUAUUACAUUAUCCUAUUAGAUAGACAAUUCAAAGAAUUAAAAAAUUUAUAUUAGGUACAUUAUCCUAUUAUUUUAUAAUAGGUACAAUUUUCAUAAAAUAAAAAUAAAAAUAGGAACGUUAAUUAGAUGAUAAAUAAUUUGUGUAAGGCACAUAGGAAUAUUUGUGUGUGCAUUAUUUACUAGACAUGUUAAACGGGUCUGGCCGGCCCAGCAAGACAUGAGUACAACUCGUUUAAAUGUGGUACAGCACAGCCCAAGUACGAUUAUUGGUGGGCCGUGCUAGGCAUGGCAUGAAAGCUUGGAAUGUGCUGGGGUAAAAAAUUAAGCCUAAUGAACUAGGUUGGCCCACAUCCCUAAAUGAGUCGUGCGUGGCCCGUAGCCCGCUCUAAGCCCAACACGAACCCACUUUAUUAAUUAAUUUUCUUUUGUUUUUGUAAGGCCCACUGUCUAAUUCUAAUUGAAAAAAGGGCCAAAUAACCUAUAACAGAAAUAAAAGCCCAUUGUCUUUUAGUAAAUUUUUGUUUUCAUACAUAUAAAUUGUAAUUGUUGAAUUUAUUAAUGAAGUGGACUGUUUCAGUUUUCGUUAGUAUAUUAUGACGGUUUCUGCCAAGAUUUAGGUAGUUCUUACAUGUCUUCUUUUAUUAUUUUUAUUUUCUAUAUACCAAAUACCAAUGUAUAUUAAAUGAGUAUUGCUAAUACUUGUAAACAUGCACGAGAUUUGCAGUUUCUCAUUAUUUUGUCUGUUACAAAAGAAUCAUUGUUUGGAUUAUAAUGUCAUUUCCCUUGUUUACAAUGUAUUUUUUUGCAUUAAUUCAAUAUGCUUACAUGAAAUUUCAAGUUAAAUGGGCCACGGCCCGUGAUGAAAUAGACUUGGGCUUUGGGUCAGGAGGUUCACUAUUUUAAAAAAUGGACUAAGCUGGCACGGCAAGACUAGAAAAACUGAAUGGCGCGGCCCGUUUUACACACCUAUUACUUACCCCAAAAAAUAAAAAAAUUGUGACUGCAUUAAUAUAUAGGCACAACGUUUAAUCCUCAUGUGGGAUUGUAUGUGCCAAAUAUUUUUAAAUUUUAAAAAAUUGAUGUGUGAGUAGCCAAAUUUGUAAAAAACUGCAAAUUUAGGAGGAAAGAAAUCAACACAAUAAAUUGAGAAAACAACAUUUAAUACACCCACAUAAUAGGGUAAGCUUUAAUUAUGGUUACUUUUGAAAUAUGAAAAGUACAAUAAAUCAUAUUUAAGUUAUUUAUUGAGUUGAAUCUUAGUCAUCAGAGUUUACUUAUAAAACAUUGGGAUUUCUUCAUUGAAAAAGAAAAGAAAAGAAGAAGGUCUUUGGUCAACAAUACCAUUUGCUCUCUCCUUGAUGGAACCUCAUUGUCAAAUCAUAAAUAGAGAGAAUGUGACGCUGUUGACCAUAUGAUGUAUAUUUUAUUUUGUCUGUAGGCUGUUCAUCUAUUUUUAUUAAUGAAAAAUAUGCAUUUAAAGCUUGUUACGUGAUGAACGAUACUAGUUUUGAGGAAAGUUUUAAUGAAUACAAGCGAAAUUGAUGGGUGAAUCAAAAUUUCAGGGACCUCUUUGAUUAAUAAUUUGAAGAUUUGAUGACAAAAAUGAAGAAAUGGAAGAUGUUUAGAGGCCAUUUGUGAUAAAAACGCUAUAAAUUAAUUAUAUCUCUCUAGGGUUUUUAUAAAAUAAAAAAACCUCUUUAGGUUCACGAAGCUAUCACGUUAAUUACCAUGCAUAUCAAUUUUGUGCAUGGCAUUAGAUUCUGUUGUAAUCCUAAUCAUCAAGAGAAGAGUACUCCAUGUGAUAACGUGAUUCCUUAAUCCGAGCCUUCUUUGUCGUGCCCCCGUAAUAUGGGUCAUACAUGCCGUGCAAAAUUAAUAGUCCAAAUACUCCACCGUUUGAAAUCUCCUUCAACUCUUGGUUUAUCUUUGCGCUGGUUACUUCUCUGGUUCUAUUUGCUUUUGAUUCUUAUAGUGAAUUUUAGGGAUUUUACUUUAACAACUUAUUUACAUUUCGUUUAGGGCCCGUUUGAAAAGCAGUUCUUACAUUCUACUCUAAAAGGUCCCCGUACAUUAAGCACCAUAAAUUGUAUUGUUUGAUACCCCAGCCGUAAAUUGUUAUAAGCAUAACUCACUAACAAAAGCCAUUAUACAUAAUUGGGCUAUCAACUCAUGAACUUUUUGCUAAAAAAUUAAGGAAUUAUCAACCAACUCAUGAACUUGUUGGGACAGAGCUUGCGAAUCUUUUCGCUUGCAAAUCUAAGAGACAAGCUGUGCAGACUGAGCUUGAACUGUAACUCCUACAUUGCGCUAGCCCAUGAACAUGAUUGUUUCCUGAUGCCUCUGGAGCCACUUUGAUAUCCAUACAUUAUUUUUUUAGAUAAAUGUAUCAUUAUGCUAUUCAAGUAUACUGAAUAACGGUCAUUAAUUAGAAAUUCUAGCUGAUUAAAACACUUAUGCCCCAUAUAAAGAGCGAUAGAGCCUCCAAAGGCGGCAUGCACAAAAUGGGAGAAUAAUAAAAGACUCAGAUGAAUCAUUGUUGGUUUUGAUAAAAACAUCUCAAAUAUAUUAGAUUUGGAUUCAAUUUAAUACUUGAAACAAAACUGAAGUGAUGAACAUGCUUUAUAUACGGUGAAUUUAUAUAUGGCAUAAUUUUUUAUUGAGGACUUUUCCUAUUAAGAAGGGCGAUAGCAUACUAAACUCACACACACUACACAGAUGCUAGGACUCGAGCCCAGGACCUUGCCUGAGGGAGUAAAUAAUCUAAGCCACUACACUAGUGGGUCCUUUGCAUAUAUGGCAGAUUUAAGUGUGUACAUUGUAGGUCCAAUUCCACAUAAUAAGGAAUAAAUAUCAUUAUAUCUUUGUUUUGUUCAAUGGACGUUUAUAGUUGAACUUUUGCUGAGGAUGUUGGGGUAAGUACUUUAUAAUGAAAUUAUUAUAAUCCACUACUAAGUUUUGAAAAUUCUACUAGAGAUUUAUAUAAUAUAUAUCAGUCCCCUUCUAUUGAGGGAUCCCUCAAAUAAUUUUAUUUGAGGGACGCCCUUUAGGGUACCCUAUAAAUUUUUUUUCAACGAUCCAAACAAUUUAUUUUUUAGGUCUUAAUUCAUAGAUCAUCCUUACAAAAAAUUAGACAAAUCGAAAACAGUUUCGAUAUCUAAUUGUGUCCUACAAAAUCAAUGAACACGGUACUUCAAGAAAGUACUAAAAUUUCAAGAACUCAAUUGAAUGAUCAAAUGAUAUCAGAUUCAAGUGAUUCUUUGUAGAGAUGAUCUUUGAAUGAGUAUCUACAAAAUAGACGGUUUGGAUUAGUGAAAUACAAUCUGGAGUGGGCCCUACAAGGGGUGUCCCUCAAAUAAGCUUAUUUGAGGGAUCCCUCAAUGGAAGCUCUCUGUAUAUAUAUAUAUAUAUAUAUAUAUAUACAGUCCCCUUCUAUUGAGGGAUCCCUUAAAUAAUUUUAUUUGAGGGACGCCCUUUAGGGUACCCUACAAUUCUUUUCCCAAUAAUCCAAACCAUCUAAUUUUUAGGUAUUCAUUCAUAGAUCAUCCUUAUAAAAAAUUAGACAAAUCGGAAACCGUUUCGACAUCCAAUUGUGUCUUACAAAAUCAAUGAACACGGUGCUUUAAGAAAAGUACUAAAAUUUCAAUAACUCAAUUGAGUGGUCACAUGAUAUCGGAUUCAAGUGAUUUUUUGUAGAGAUGAUCUUUGAAUGAGUAUCUACAAAAGAGACGGUUUGGAUUAGUGAAAUACAAUCCGGAGUGGGGCCUACAAGGGGUGUCCCUCAAAUAAGCUUAUUUGAGAGAUCCCUCAAUGGAAGCUCUCUGUAUAUAUAUAUAUAUAUAUAUAUAUAUAUAUUGCAAAUCAUAUAUUUACAUAUUGUUUCAAUUUUCUUUACGUGUAUUGCCAUGCACGUGAUACUUUUCAUAUUGUUUCAAUUUUCUUUUUUGCUAAUUAAAUAUUUCUUCGAGUUCUUUAAAUUUUUUUCAACUUUCUUUAUUUAAUUUAGUUUUAAAUUUUAAUAUAUGCAAACACGAUCUCUUAAGAAUGAACAUACAAUCACUAGAUACAAAAGAAUAAAGCUUCAUAAAAAAAAUAAAAAAAAGAGUAACAUGUUUACAUAGAGCUUCUAAAGAAAGAAUACUCAAUAUUUGUUGCCAUAAAAUUUUAAAAUCUCUCUCUAUAAAAAACUAUAUAAAAAAAAUUCAAAUAUAUUCUUUUCAAUAUAGCACAAUGAUGUAAAUAUUUUUAUUUUCUUCCAGCUUUAAAAAAAAAGUAAAAACAAAAUUGGUCAAUUAAAUAGCAUACCAAAACACAGGAGAAAAUAAUAAGCGGAUAAGGAAAAACUGUACAGAAAAAAUUUAAAGAAACCCACACAGGCACAAGUAGAUACAGGAGGAACAUAACCCCAUUCUUUCCUACCUAUAAAUUUAUUCAACCUUGAGUUUGUUUCUGCAUAAACAAAAACUCUUAGGCCUUGCUUGGUAGUUACUUGGUAAUUAGGAUGUGUAGGGUAGCUUCAGAAACCCUAGGUGGUGAAGAUGAAGAGGAAAGCGAUGCUGAUGACGAACCUGAUGGUCUUCAUAAAUCGAAUUUGUGAUUCACCAGAGGGGUAUACACUUAUAUAUAAAUAAACACUAGACGCCCUUUUAAGCAUUUCACCACUUCAUCCCUUUCUUCAAUCUGUGCUUUUAUGGUAUCUUCCAAGCAAUCCCGUUGGGGAAGAUCAAUUGGAACAACCGAGUGCGUUCCGGAAAUAUAAGAGAUCAUCACCUCCUUUUUAACUACAAGCUUUAUCAUGUCAAAAAUACAAGUGAUCAUCAGGUAAAUAAACUCAAAAAUACAAGCUUCAGCAUAUAUAUAUUGAAAAUUUUAUUUUCACGUUUAUAUAUAUAUAUAUAUAUAUAUAUAUAAAAUUUUCCCUUCAUCAUUUGUUGUUUGAUAAAUUAUAUAUAUACCUAACAAUUUUGACACGCAUGAUUUUGAAACAGGAUAACUGGACAAGCUCACUCACUACUAUAUUUUACAAUUUGCGCGACGAAGAGCAUUUGGUCAUGCAAAAUACAUUUGAGUCGCACAAAUUUCAGCCCGACAAAAACUUCGUGGCGCUGAAUCUGUCGGGCAAAGAUCGUGAAGAAAGACUUUGUGCAACCAAGUUUUUUAAUUGGUCGCGAAAAACUGAGUGACGGAUAACCUUCGUUGCACAAAAAGUUUAGGGACGACACAAUUGUUCGUCUCUCAAACCUUUGAGCGAUGACAGCAUGUUCGUUGCGAGUACACAGCGCAACGGUGUAUAUUCAUCGCGCAGAAAUGUAGGGACCUGUUCGUGUCACAAACAUUUGCGUGACGACUUUUGUUGCAUGACGAAAUUGUCUUAGUCGCAUUUUCUUUUUCGUGAGACGAAAACUUUCAUCGCACAAAAAUAAAAUAUAUAUAUUUUAAAUUUAGUUUUACGUUUUUGUAUUUUGUAAAAACGUGAAUUGGCGGGACAAAAAGAGUUUCAUCGAGCAAAAUAAAAUAUUUUUUUAUUUAAAUUAAAUUUUAUGUUUUUUUUAAAAAAAAAAAAUUAAGGGGGAAGGGGGGGUAUUCAAUUAAGAUUUUAAAAGAGUUUAAAAGAGUUUAAAAGUUUGGGUGUAUUCAAUUUAGAUUUUAAAAGAGUUUGUAAAAGUUUGGGUGUAUUCAAUUCAAAUUUCAAUUGAUAUUUAAAAAAUACAUCGAAAUCUAGGUGUAUUCAAUUAUGAUUUUUUAAAAAUCAAACAAAAUUUAGGUGUAUUCAAAAAGUAAUUUAUUUUGAAGGAAUUAAUAAGUUGCCCGAUUUCCUUAGAAAUUAAAGUGAUAAGUAUAAAUACAAAAGGCCCUACAAAUCUUAUGUCAACCCUAGAAACUUUGAACGUGCUCUACGCUUUCUAGUCCUUGAACGUGUGUGCUUGUCAAGUGAAGGUAAAAAAUCUCCUCUUUUCACGUUUUCAUAUAUGGAUGGAUCAUAUAACGUAGCAUAUAUGAACAAAUCUCCUCUUUCAUAUAUGAACAGUAGCAUAUAUAUGUAUCAUAUAACGUGUGUGUUUGUCAAUCUGUUCGACCAAGGCCCUCUUCAUCAAUCUAUAAUCAUCGAACAGUAGCAUAUAUCAUAUAGCGUGUGUGCUUGUCAAGAGUUGCUGUUAUUAUUAUUAUUUUUGGUUGCUGUUAUUAUUAUUAUUAUUAUUAUUAUUAUUAUUAUUUUUAGUUGCUGUUUUUCUGUUUUUUGUUUUUGUUUUUGUUUCUAUUCAUCAUAUCAUAUAUAGAUGAUAGCCUUCUUCAUCGAUCUAUAGUCAUCUUUUUUUUGUUUUUUUUGUUUUUUUUUUUGGGGUACAGUAUCUAUGUAUAUCCAGUCCAUGCCAAAACAAAGAGGAAAAAAUUAUCUUCAUAUCUAUGUAUAUAUAUGUGGAGAGAUGCUAUGAAUGACGGGAGUCAAAGAUGAGCAAUAGAUACCCUUUUUUUAUUUAUUUUCUUUGGAUGUAUAUGGUUUGAAUGUUCUUUACAAAAUGUCUUUGUAAAGGUACUUUUCUCUUUUGAAAAUCUAGAAAAACGAUAAACAGCCCUAAAAUAAAAAGAAAAAAAGAAAAAAACAUUUUAGAACUCUAAUCAACUCUUUUAAAAUCUAUAAUAAAACUCUAACAAACACCAUUAAAAUCAAUCUUGAAAUUCAAUCAAACUCUAUGUGGAGUUUAUUGAAAUCAAUUGAAAUAUGUUGAACUCUAUAAACUUUAUAACAACAUUUAACUCUUUUAAAAUCUUAAGUGAAUACAGCACCGUAAUUUUGAUUUUUUUUGUUGUUGUUGUAAUAAAAUGAAAUUGCAAUAAAAAAAAUGUAAUGAAGAGAAUUUUUUUAAUUAUAAAAUAAUAUAAAUGUAUAGUACAAGAGAAAUGUUUAAAAUGUAAUUAUGAAAGUAAAAAACUAAUCAAACAAUGUUCCAAAAUCUACUUGGUCGUCUGGCAAAUGCGGCUCGAAGGUCUGGACAUUGUCGACAGGGGCAAAGGUGUGGUGGCCAUGCUCGGGUUGAAGGGGCUCGGAGGUCGAUGAGGGACCAAAAUGAGGGAUUGGAAUGCUGGACCGAGCGAGGGACUCUAGAAGCACAGAUAACUGACCCUUAAGCUCGGCCACCAUUGCUGUCAAAGCAGUCACCUGACUGUUUGACUGCGAUGAUGAACGGAGUCUAGGUUCCCGCAGCCGAGCAUUCCCCAUCCCUCGACAAUAUGUCCCUGGCCUCCUCCCGAGAGUCUGAUCCAAGGUUUCCGUCAGGAUCUGAAACCCUGCAUCCUGUGGAGGAUCCACAAACUCAAGCGGAGUAUCAGGAGGAAGUUGGGAGGCGGACUCCUGAAGAACCAACUGGCUCUUCUCCAUCAUUGUCACCUGUUUAAUAUAACAUAAAAUAUUAAUUAAAACAUUCAUAUAAUAACCAUGAAACUUGAAUGCAUAAGAUAAUAAUUAAAAUUAAAGAAUACUUACAUGAAGGGACUCUGCUGACUCAUUCCUAGGUCGAACAUAAACGUCGAUCUUUGGGAAUUUGGACCCCCCCUAAUUGAAUAAGAGAAGAAAAAUGUUAGUACGAAAAAAACAAAUUAAUAUUAAUGACAUAUUAAAAAUUGAAUAUAAACGACUUUAUUAUUACCCACCGCCGCGCCUCCAUCCUAUAUGAGAAGGGCCUGGAACCUGAAUGGUGGAGAAGAGUCUUCUUGUCCCUGUUGCCCUUAUUUGCUUUCCCCUUCUUCUGUUAUACCAAAAACAAACGUAUUAGUUGAAAUUGAAAUAAAAUAUAAAAAAUUAAAUAAACAUUAGUAAGAAACAUGUAAUAAUUUUUAACUUAAUAUUAAAAAAAAAACCACAUAAUCGGACUCUUGAAAAUGACCGCAGAGCCACGCCCAACUAUCCUCCAGCCCCUCAAGCUCUUUCGGGGAACCGUCUUGAAGAGCGACCUGCGGAUCAUCAAAUGCCUGAAAAUGGUGGUGCAGGUCGCUCUUCCACUGCUUGUACCUCUCAGCAAAGAGUCUGUUGACGUACACCAAUGACCCAUCGUCGAGGUUUUCUAAAUUAUAGUUCAUCUGCAAUAAAUUAAUUACAUACAUUAAGUAAUAGAAAUAUAUAAAGUUUGAAGGGAAAACAAUUAAAAGGUAGGAUACAUAUCGACGACUGUCCACGCACCUCUGUCCUCAUCUCGUCAGGCAUGACCUUCCAAGACUUCCAUUUCGUCGUGUGCCAAUGAGCUAUGCAAUUCCGCAGUUGGUGCAGCCCGAUGCCGCUCGUCGUAUCCAAUGUUGAUACGACUGUUGGUCACCCGGGUGACCUUCGCCGUCUUCAACUAGGAACAAGGACCCCAGGUGUUCUUCUUAGCUUCAAAGAAAUAUAAAAUCAACAUUAAAUAACAAAUCCUACUAAAAUAUUGGUCCAAAACAGCUGGAGUUCAGGGAAAUCUUUACCUGGUUAUGACCCCGACACACCAGUACCGUCUGUCGAUGUUGUGUCGGUCGUGCCCGGGGGACAGUGACCCUGCUUGGCCCUAACAGGUUGCGCCACUAAUGACACUGAUGACGCCUAUGCAUGGGAGACCCCGGGAUUAAUCGGCAUGUGGUCCAUCUGUACUGGAGCAGUGGCAACUGACAGCAUAGCUGGGGGAGGCGAACUUAGUGCAGUCGUCACCGCCUUACGACUUCUAAUAAGGUUUGACAUCUUGCCCUAGGAACAAGCAUCCAAAGUUAAAAACAUAGUUACUCUAAUAUAUGGUCUAACACCAUUUAAACAUUUAUUAAAUUUUUUUUAAAAUGGGGCCAAUGUCUAAUAAAAGAAAAAGAAAAAUCCCAACAACUAAUAAAACAAAAAUAUAUAAGAAUCUUCAUUAAUUAACAAACACAAAAAUUAAUCCAAUUUACCAAGAUAUAAUCUAAGCAUUUGCAAUUUCAUUAAGAAUCUAAUUAAUUAAAGCAUAUCUUGCCCUAGGAUUCGCGAUUUCGGAGUAUCCUGGACUCCGAUCCAUGAUCCGUCGAAUCUUAUACAAUUCUAGAAAUACAAGAUACAACAUACGUGAGUUUGAGUUCGAUCAAACGGUUCGAAUAUAUCAAACCAGGAAAUCACACAAUAGGCGAAAUCCGUUUGAGACUCAAACAGUAACCAAAUUGAAAUCCGAGCACACCUACGUGCUCGUGACAACUAGGGGAUCGUACUGGGACACAAAGCCCCUCUGUUACAGUGCCCAUGCGCCGCCACACGUGUCGGCAGCGUGUAGGUGUCCAAAGCAAUAACGAUUGCCGGAAUAUUUUCAAAAUUAAGGGCCAAGCUUCCUACCCUAGGUUCAUAACAUCAAUUGGAGCCACUUUUCUUCUUCGACCUACCCCGAAAAAUGGUCGGAAGUGGCCAGAAUUUCAAUUAACAAUCGGCCAAACUUAGGGUUAAAAAUCGAGAUACCAAAACUAGAAAUUGAUCAAAUCCUACCCAACCAUCCGAUAGAGUACGAAAAAUAGUCGAGAAACCAUACCUCACACGUCCGGUUUGGUUUCCGGAGGAGAGAGAACAAGGCUGGCGAAAAUCUGUCAAAACCGGCCCCACUCCAGGAGGUUUCUGGCGGCAGGCGUGACGGUGAUGGCAAGGAAAGGGCUGGGGUUCGAAGGUGGUGGCGGCCCGGUCCUUCUUGCGUCAGAUUUGUGGGUUGAGGUGGUUGGAUGUGGUGGUUAUGGAGGGAGGGAGUAUCGAGAGGGGGAGGGGUCAAAGGAGAGAGAGGAACUGAGGGGUCUGUACUUGCGUUUUUUUUUUUAAUAGAAAAUUUUCACGAACUUGCGCGACGACGAAAGUAAACCGUCGCGCAAGGUAAUAAUUUCACCAAAAGUUUCACCAACUUGCGGGUAACAAUAUACUGGCAUUGCACAAACCCUAAACCAUGAACCAUGAACCCUAAACCCUAAACCCUCGAAAAUUAUAACAUUGCACAACAUAGGAUGCCUUGGCGUCAUUCAAAGUUAUGUUGCGUGACGUAGGAUGACUUGGCAUCGCUCAAAGUUAGGUUGAGCGAUGAAACGGUGCGUCCCGCAAGAUUUUGUGCGACGUAUGAUUCUCUGGCGUCGCGCAAAGUUUUUUAUUUUUAAAGAAUGAUUAUAAAAAUUACUGAUGAAUCAUAUUAAAAAUAAUGCAAGUAUUGUGAAAUAAUAGAAAUAAUUGAUGAUGAAAAGGCAACAAUACAAAACAUGGAAAACCAAAUGAAUAUUCCAUAAAUUUCAUUUCUGAUUUGGACCCUUGUAAGUUAAUGUUGUUUUGUGCUUUACCACUUGAACUUGUUCUUUUUUUCUUGUGAGGCCGAGGACAUGGCAACGAAGAUUUAUCCUUUGAUUUUCUUGGGCAUGGUGGAAAUUUGUCUAAGAUUUCAAGAGAAGCAUCAUCACUAGAAUCAUCAUCCUGCGAAGAGAAGUCAUGGUUGAAGACUUGAAGUUCAAAAGCUUUGUGAUGUGUUUCAAAGCUUUAAGUUGUGUUUUAAAGUUGAAGGAACAAAUCUGUAGUUUCAGAAUAUAUUUCUUUCAUUGUCUUCCCAGUUCUCUCCCAGCUAGAAAAACUUGUGUUUCUGUUCUGUUUCUAUGUGAUUUGGUGGUGAUCAAUUUACUCGGAUUUAAAGUGUAAUUAUUUGACCUGACCAACGAAAAAGAAGAUAGUAAUUAAUUGCUCAAUCACUCAAUACAACCAACUCAUUCGUCGCUGAAACUUUAAAGGAUAAAUUUCGUCGCACAAAUGGUGAAUUUGGUUGCGCAAAAUUACAACUUUACGUGACGAGAACUAUAGUUGUCUCGCAAAAUUACAAUUUCACGUAACUAUAGUCGUCACGCAAAAUUACAACUUUACAUGACGAGAAUGAAGUGGUUGAGCAAAAUUACAACUUUAUACGACGAGAAUAAAGUCGUUGCUCAAAAUUACCACUUUACGCGACAAGAAUAAAGUCGUCAGGAAAAAUUACAACUUUACGCGACGAGAGUAAAGUCGUCGCGCAAGUAUUUGGAGCCAAAUAAAUAUUAAGGUUUGUUUCUCAUUUUCAUAUAUUUUUUCUUUUAUUUUGCUAGGGGAAUGUUAAGGUUUGUUUCUCAUUUUCAUUUUUUGAAAAUGUUCUCUAAAAAUUUUUUAAAAAAUAUUACCAAAUGGAUUUGGAUAUAUUUAUUUAACAACGUUUUAUAGCUCAAUUUAUUUUCAUUUCUCAUUUUCUUUUAUAGCUCAAUUUAUUUAACAAUGUUUCAUUUCUCCACAUAUAUAAGGUUUGAAUAUAACUACAUAUAUUCAAACAAGCAUAUUUGCCAAAAUCUUUACACUAACAUAAUUAAAUUACAAAAAAUUUCUUUUACUAUGUUUCACAUGGCAAGUUGCAAAUAAAUUGCAUUAUUCAUCAUUUGAAUUAUAAUAACUUUCGUUAUCGUCGCUAUCAUCACUUUCGGUCUCCCAAUCCUCCUUCUCUAGAACUGCAACAUCUUAUCGCGGAAGAUCAUCGAGGUCAAUUGUAAUUGACUAAAUCGGUAUUUCGAUUGAAGACACUCCUUAUAUAUGAAACGGUUAUUGUAUAAUAUUUGUAUCUCGAAGUGUUUCCGCAUAAUUUUCCAUUGAAGAUUCUAAACGCUAGUCAGCGAUGUUGUUGACAUCGUUGUCAGUUGGGAGUUCUGGUAUAGCAUACACGUUCCUGUGAUCCAUCUUUUGAACAACUUUCCAACUGCUGCCGGCUUUUGGGUCAUCUAGAUACACAAUCUGUGUUGUCAUGUUUGCCAAAAUGUAAGGGUCAUCAUUAUACCAAGUUAUGUUAAUGUUCACAGAUAGUAAGCCAUUGUCAAUUUUAACAGGUCCCUGUCUAUUUGGGUUUGUAUCAAACCAUCGACACUUAAACAUGAUCACUUGGUAUCGGUCUUUGUAAAGCAAUUGCACGACAGUUGUGAGUUUGCCAUAGAAAUCAAUGUCCGUACUUUAGCCUCCACUUGGGACAUGGACACCGUUGUUUUGCAUAAAUAACUUGUCAUCUCGUGCAGUCCCCAAAAACUUGACGCUAUUAACAUGGCAACCUGAGAACAAUUCAGCACGAAUCGUGCCGAACACCAAGUUAUAUAACUCUUCGCUGUAAGUGGGGGAAUUCGAUGAUUUCAACUUAUUCAUCUAAUAUUAUACAAAAACAUUCACAUAUUAGUUUGAGAAAAUUAAAUACUACAAUAUAUAUGUCAAAUACAUAACACUUAUAACUUACAUAUUCCAAAAAUCAUUGUGGAAACAAUUCACGGUGUUUCUUGACAUACAAAUGGGAUGAAUGUUCUCGCUUCAUCAUCUCUUCAUACUCGUAUAAGUAUGCCAUUAUCUCAUCACAAUUGUUCAGUACGAACCAAUGCGCUACCUCCAUGUUAUUUCUGGAAAACGACUCUCCUCAUACAGGAUCUCCAAAGGGUCGUGCGCUUUCGGUAAAAACAGAAAGUUUCUCAUUUCUCACACCUCUGUCAUUAUUGCACUGAGGAUGAUUGAAAGCCGUCUCCACAUCUUUUAAAUACAUUCCACAUAAAGUAAGCGACUUAUAUUGAACCCAAGCUUCUAUAAUUGAUCCUUCGGGCUUCGCUAUGAUGCGUACAUUUUUUUUCAGCUCUCUGAGAAGCCUGCCAAAAUUAAACGAUAUGAUACAAAUUAGCAAGCGUGGGAUAAGGAUGCAUAAACAAUUGAUGAGAAUUAUAUACCUUUCUAUUGGAUACAUCCAGUGAUAGUUGACAGGACCAGCAAGUAAUUUCUCUUCUCACAAAUGAACCAUCACGCGGAUCAUAUUUGGUAAGAAAGCUGGAUGGAAUAUCAUCUCAAACUUGCAUACGACUUGGAUAAUGUCAUGGUGCAACUGAUUAAUGUCUGUCUUUCGCAACGUUUUUUCCGUCAGUUGGGAAAAAAAUCUGGACAACAAUAUAAUUGGUUUCACUACAUCUUUCGGUAAUAGGUGUCGAAUACCCACAGGAAGUAGGCGUUGUAUAAAUGCAUGGCAGUCAUGGCUCGUUAGUCAAACAAAUUUACCCCCGUCAACAUUUACGCAACGUGCGAUAUUAGAAGCAUACCCAUCAGGAAACUUUACAGACAAUACAAACUUUAGAAAAUCUUUUUUGUCAUUCGGUUUCAUGGAAAAAAAAAUGCAAGAUCCCUUCUAGGUUUAUCACUGUCCUUGUUCAUCCAGAAACCCCUUUGUAUGCCCAUUCUUUUCAAAUCAAGAUGAGCUUUGGUCAUGUCCUUUGUCUUGCCCUUGAUAUCUACAGUCGUGCCCAUCAAUGUGUCAAAGACAUUUUUCUCAACAUGCAUAACAUCAAGAUUGUGCUUGAGGCUCAAAAAACAUAGGCUUGUGCGUCCAGUUCAAAUGUGUAGAAGGUCUGGUCCGACUAACUGUUUUUCCAAACGGAGCAAAAUCCAAACGGUUAAGUUGUUCCAAGAUCUCAUCACCGGACCAUUCUCUAGGUCUGAGGCGACGCUCUGUGUUCCCGUCGAACUCUUUAUCAUUUUCCCGCUACUCGUGGUCCCAUGGCAACCAUCUCCGAUGACCAAGGUAACAAAAUUUUUCAGCGUGCCAACCAGAAGUUAUAUCUUCCUUGCAUACAAGGCAUGCCAUAUAAUCCUUUGUGCUCAACCCAGAAACCGUUGCAUAUGAGGGAAAAUUAUUCACAAUCCACAUAACUGCUGCUCCCAAAGUGAACAUCUUCCAGUGAAUUUAUCGUACGUGCACACACUGUUUGUCUAUAAAUCCUUGAGCUCAUCAACCAAUGGCCUUAAGUAAACAUCGAUUGACUUGCCAGGAUCCUUAGUUAUCAAAACAAACAUCAUCAUGUAUUCUUUUUUCAUGCAUUUCUAUGACGGUAAAUUAUAUGGGAAUACAAAAAUUGGGCAAGUGCUAUGGUGUUGGUUUAGAACUCCGUACGGAUUGAAUCUAUUAGUGGCAAGUCUCAAUCUAACAUUUUGGGGAUCAGCAACAAACUUAGGGAAUGUUCCAUCGAACUCUUUCCAUGCCUCCCCAUCUGUAGGAUGCCGCAUCACAUCGUCGUCUAUCCGUUUUUCCUUAUCCUAUCUCAUGUCUGUAGCAGCAUGUAUCAUCAUAUACAAUUGCUGCAACCUACGUUUCAGGGGUAGAUAACACAUGAAUUUUUGUGAGAUCUUAGUCAUUCUAUUCUGAAAUGUCAUUUUGAACCUCGACUCAUUGCAUAUAGGGCAUGUAUCAAAUGUUUCAUACUCUUUGUAGAAUUACAUGCAGUUGUUUUUGCAAGUGUGAAUUUUUUUCAUAACCCACUCCAAGACUAUUCAACACCUUUUGCACGUGUCUAUAGUCUUUCGGCAAACAAUUGUCCAUUAGAAGUAUUCUCUUGAAAACCCCCAAAAAGUAACCGAAACACAAGUUCGACAUAUGGUACUUUAUUUUUUCAUGCAUUAGCUCCACAAUGGCUGUGAGAACGGAAAAGCUCUCAUACCCCGGGUAUAACUCUUGGUUGGCAUUUUUAAACAGUUUUUCAUAUUGUUCGAACUCUGCACUGUCCAUUGGUGUAGGCACGUCAUCUUCCCCUUCUUGAUUAAUGUUGGUUGAUGCAAAUGGAAAAGCAUCAUUUAUAAUAUUCAUGACUUGUUUAUUAGAAUCCACAAUAGGUUCAACAUUGUUCACUAUUGUGGCCCUUGAAGACAAAGCAUUGUCUAAUUGUUCCCCGUGAUGGUUCCAAGUGCUAUAUGUCUCAAUCAUUCCAUUCCUUACUAAAUGAAAUCGAACAUUUUCAAUUGUCUCCCACAACAUGCUGUUACAACUCCUACAAGGACACUGGAUUCUAGUUGCACCCGGGUUGCAUGUACGUGCAAAGUCAAUAAAAUCAUCGAUUCCAUCCAAGUAUUCGUCUGCGUAUCCAUUCGAAUUCUAUAUCCACCUCAUGCUCCUAAAUCCUGGAACCACAGUCACAGCACAACAAUCACAACAACGUCUUACUAAAUCUUAAUGUCACCUUAUGCCUCCGGUAAGGGCCCUAUCCCAUUCGGGAAUGUAUAGUCAUGUCACGUAAUUUACGGCUACGUAAGAUUAGAUUUUGACGAGGAUGAAUUUCGGCAGCAUCUCGAUACAGUUCUUGAGGUGUACCGUACAUAUAAAAUACCUAUGUACCACUCGAAGAACGUACAAAGAUGACAUCGAAAACUCCACAACCGAUACCUAAUCCUGUAGCUGUAAAUUACGUGACGUGACUAUGCAUUCCCAAACUAUCCAAAUAAUGGGACAAUUCAAGAAUUAAUUGGACCGCAGUCAUGCUUUCGCAUCCAUGCACGAAAUCCAACUAAUGUCGAACGGGAAACUAAGUUUUACUAAAAAAAAAAAAAGAGUACGAAGUUAAUUUCAAUUAACUUCAUAUAUCACAACACAUUAUGCUACGUCACGCACAAUUUAACAAUAUAAUAUAAAUAUAAUUUCACAAAAAAAAUAUAAACAUAACAAACUAAGUAUAACAUAAUGUAAUUAAUUUUAUAUUUUUGAAAUAUAAAACGAAUAAAGUACCUUCUCAAUCAUUCUCCACCAAUUACACAUAAUAUCCCUAAAGAGAACGAAAUUAAUAGCGUUAGUAUGAAAUUACAUUAAUACUUUUAAACUAACGACAAAGGCAGAGGCAGAGGCAGAGCUUUUUUUUUUUUGCAUUCUGCCUCUGCAAUGGUUGAAUCCAGAUUAUAUAAUGAAGGAUUUUGCGCGACGAAAAGGAAUUUCUCGCGCAAAAAAAAACAUUUCGUCGCACAAAAACUCAUUUUCAUCGCACAAGUGGUCUAUUUUGUCGCCCAAAAUAUAAUUUUCGUCGCGCAGGUACGUGUUGACAUCCAAAUUUUACAUGACGAGAAAUCAUUUUCGUCGCUCCAAAUUUCGUCUCGCAAAUGCUCAUUCUUGUCGGGCAAAAGACCAUUGUCGUCGCGCAUGAAUGUGCUGGCGUCAAACUUUACGCGACGAUAGUUUUUUUCCUCGUGCAAAUAUUUGGCUCCAAAUAAACUAAUCCCACGUUUUUCUUACACGACGAUAACGCGUGUUGUCGCGCUAAGUAUUCUUUUGCGACGACAGCUGUCGUCGCGCAAGUGUAGAGCCAAAUAAAAUAACCUGCGGUUUUUCCGGCUAACUUUACCCUACGAUAACGGGUAUGGUCGCGCUAGGUGUUCUUUCGCAAUGAUAUGUGUCAUCGCGAAAGUGUUUGGCACCAAAUAAAAUAAAUCAACGUUUUUCUUCCUAACUUUGAGUGACGAUAACAUCUAUGGUCGCGCUAAGUGGUCUUUCGCGACAAGCUUUUUGGUCGCGCAAGUUUAAAAAUAUAAAAUUAUUGUCUGCACUAGUUUGUUCUGCGAAUUAGUUUUUACGUUGCGCAAGUGUUUCUUGUGUGACGAAUUUCUCCUCGUCGCGCAAAUAGUAAAAUGUAGUAGUGACUCCUUGGACAUGCGGCGCCCAGUAGAAAACCAAAGGUUUUUCUUUUUGCCCCAAUCAAGCUGGGGUUGUUAGAGGCUGAUUUACAGUGUUGGGACUGCUGAGAAUAUUUGUCCUUAAUUGUGUUGAAAAGGUAAGGGACAUAGUAUAAGGAGUUGGGCUAUUACCUCUCAUUGUCAAUUAGUUUUAGGGUGAAACCUCAAAUUAACUUCCUUCAUGGUAUCAUAACAGGAACGAUAAUGAACCCCUUUUUUGUCAAUAAAUUUUAUGAGUGUAAUUCGACAUUAUACUAAUUUUCAUAUGUCAUGACAACUUUAGAUUAAACUAACUAAGUAGGUAGAAGAGCGACGCCUAUUUGUCUUGUUAAAGUAAUCUUAAGUUAAUAUAUACCCAGUCGACAUUAUCUUUUGUGACCCGAUUGUAUUCCAAUCUAAAGCAAAAGGUGGCUGCUUGUACCAAAGUUUGCACUUUUUGGCCAAAUUCUUUAUUCUAGCUAAAAUACAUGGUUUAGAGGCCAAAUCAUGAAAUAUACAGUUUUGCCCAAUGUUAUACAGAGGUUGGAGACCAUUUCUAGUAAGGAAAAUUGGUGUGAGACGUGUGUGACAAGGGCAUCAUGGUGUGCAUGCAAAUUUUAUAUAUAUUUUUUUUUUGUAAGAAAGAAUAUUAAAAUAAAGGAAAUAUGAGGAUUCUGAAGGAAGCACGUGAAGUGUAACACAAAGGAGAAGGUGAAGUAGAGAAAGGCAAGUGGAUGAUAAAAGAAUGAUUAAACAAGGGAAAAGAAGGAAAGACAUGGAAAUAAGAAAAUAUAUGAUGUGACAAUUUGGCCAAUUUAUGGCCAAAACAUUCUAUACCUUUACAACUUUUUGACUAAAUUCAGUAACAAUCAUGACUAUUUUAUCUAAAAACAAGUGGACAGGUACUAUUUGAUGUGCACGUGGCAGAAUAGUCAAGAGGGUUGUGGAAACUAACAAUAAAUCGCAGUUCCUGGGCUCAAUGGUCUUUUAUCUAUCCCGAUCAAUUUCAAAGCAACGACUGAGAGUCAUUUAAGGAUAUUAAUUGACAAAGAGCCAAAAGUAAUCAAAUAUUUGGUUGUUAAUUUUUAUCAACUUUUGGCAUUGAGGAGUAAUCCAAGCUAGAAGAGGUUUUCUUCAUCACCACUUAUCCAUUAGUGGUGAGUGGAGAACGCUUUCUAAUUGUUAUUCUUCAAAUAUCUAAUGACCAUCAUUAUGUCUCUCGGAAAAUUCUACAGUGCGCCUGACGGUGUCCAUAUCUCCCUACCUAUUGCAAUUUGAGUAAAAAGUAAGACCAGAUAAAAGGUGGGAGACCAUCUGCAAAUAUUGACUAAGUGUGUAAGAAUGAAAAGCUGGUGAAGAAGAGUUAACCAAUGAUUACAAGAAACAAAUAUUAUUUCAUCAAAGUGACGAAGCAAUGUUUGUACAAUUGCUUUUGCUUGAGCAAGAAUAAGUUUUCUAUGUCCAAAAAGCCAGAGCUAACUGGCUUUAGCUUGGUGACAAGAGCACUAAAUAUUUUCACACUCAAGCUCUAAUUAGAAGGAAACGUAAUCAAAUCACUAGAAUUAGGGAUCCUGAUGGGUUGUGGGUCGAGGGUGAUUUUCUCCAUCAUACUUUUAUUAAAGUUUUCAAGCUUAGAUUCACUGCUGAUCAGGCUCCUAAUCCUCUUUUAAUGACUGAUUUUCUCCAAGUUAUCGAGCCUUGUGUCACCAGCCAAGAUAACGUGAACCUUUUGACUCCUGUUUCAGAUUUUGAGCUGGAGUGUGCGGUUAAGGGUAUAGGGCCUCUUAAAGCCCCUGGCCCAGAUGGCUUGCAAGUAGUUUUCUACCAAAAAUGUUGGGAGAAUACUAAGAAUACGAUUAAAGACUUAGUCAAUGAUUUCCUUAUCAAUAAUGUUUCUCUGUAGGAUGUUAAUCAUACCAACGUAGCCCUAAUUCCUAAAGUAGAUUCCUUGAGACUGUUAACCAUUAUAGGCCCAUUAGUUUAUGCAAUGUUUCUUAUAAAAUUAUCACUAAAAUUCUAGUUAAUCGUCUUAGAUCCUUGCUUUCAAAGUGUAUUUCGAAAAAGCACGGAGCUUUUGCUCCUGAUAGAUCUAUUUUUGACAACAUUCUCAUUGGUCAUGAAUUAUUCCAUGAUUUUAAAAGGAAGAAAGGUAAUCGGGGAGCUGUGGGUAUCAAACUUGACCUUGAAAAGGCCUAUGACCUUCUUGACUGGAGGUUCAUUAGAGGCUGUCUAGCUCAAUUUGGUUUAAGUACUGAUUGGUGUGAUCGAAUCAUGAACUCUGUUUCUAGUACUUCCUUCUCCUUACUUAUUAAUGGUUCUCCCUUUGGCCACUUCAGUGCUUCCACGGGAAUUCGGCAAGGAGAUCCUUUACUCCUUAUAUUUUUAUCCUGUGCAUGGAGCCUUUUAUUAGGCACUUCAAUAUUUAUGCUAAGAAUCCUAAGUUUAAUGUGGGUUUGCUCUCUUCCCUAGGAGGUGAUCGAUGCUAAAAUAUGAAUAUGGUUUGAAUAUCUUAGGUUGUUCUUUAUUCUUCUCCAUAAGGAGGUAUAUAUAGGAGUUUACAUAUGAAGGUUUUACAAGGAAUCAGAUAUAGUAAAGAAUUAGGAAAGUAUCUCCUAAUUGUACAAUGAUUUAUCACAUAUAUAAAAAAUAGGAAAGUAAAUCCUUUAAUUAAUCAAGGAAGUAAAUCUCCUUGAUUAAUUAGGAGACUCACGUCAACAAUCGAAUCUCUAACCUAGUUUUCGCUGAUGAUUGUCUUAUUUUUGCCAAGGCAACUACCGUGGUUGUCAAAAAUAUCAAUGCUAUAUUAGGUAGUUUUUCUAAAGUCUCUAGUCAGAAAAUUAACUUGCAUAAAUCCACUGUUUAUUUUUUUAGAAAUGUUCACUCACAAGUCAGAGCUGCUCUUAGUAAUCUUAUGCAUAUUCAACAUAAGGCCACUUUAGGUCGCUACCUUGGCAUCCACAAUAUUAUAUUUUGGAAAGAUCCAGCUAAUGCCAAACUGAUGAUGGAAAGAAUCCCCUUGUGAUGUUCAAGCGAAAACAUAUAUCUAACAUGCAAUCUGUCUGUGAUGUUCAAAUCAAAUAUAAAUAUGGAAGACUCAUUAAGCUUUGUGAAAACCCUUUGAAAAACCAUGCAACCCUUAAGAGCGUGAUGUUCGCCUUAAGUGAACUUACAACUACUAAUCACAAGAAGCCCUCCUCAAUUUCAGGGUGAUGUUCCAACAGAAAUUGCAUCAAAUUACUUGUCUAAAUAUCAUAAUGGUGAUCAGUCAUUAACUUAGAUAGAUAGUUUUAAACGCAAUGAUUAAUAAUUCAAAGCAAACAUGCAUCCAUUCAUAAGCAAAUUAAUAAAAUUACAUAUUCAUGCUUAGGCUUAUGGCCUCGCCCUAGCAAUUUGAAUUAGUUAUGCAUACUCAUAAUUAAAAUAAAAGAAAAUAUCAUUCAAAUGAAUAGGAAUAAAAACACCUUGAAGUAGAAACUCUUCAACAACCCUAGCCAAAGUCUCUGUCUUCCCCAGAAUUGCAUAAAAGAAAAGUCCGCAAAAUUGUUGCAAGAAAGAACUUGAACACCUCCUAAAACCUAGCUAUCCAAUCCCCACCAGGAAACUAAGUUAAAAUAAAAUAAUACUAGGAUAUAAAAUCCAAAUUGGAUUAGGAGAAUCUGCCCACAAUAUUCCCAGCCACGUUUUGGCCUCAAAUCUCCUCCAAAUCCAGCCCAAGAUAGCUUGUUUUAAAGAUAAAAAUAUUCUGAACACUUCUCCAGAAGGCCACCAACCCAUCCGAGGUCAUUUUGGGCUCCAAAAACGCAAUAAAAACCCAAAACGUCACUAUUCCAACACAGCGCACUGCUCCUUUAUUUUAUUGCCAGAAAAUAACUGCUUGGUAGAAAACUCUGAAAUUUUGAUAUGAUCAAGCUAAGUGACUCACGAACGUCCUCCAACUGGAAUUACUCCAAAAAGUUUCCAUUUAUUUAUGCUUGGCUCCAGAGGAAGUCGAAAGCCCUAUAUUGGAAAUAUAAUUCGAAGUAUCAAAUUUCUUCCAAAAUAUUAACCAAAAUAUACUAAGAAUAGGGUUAAAUAUAAAAUUUAAAAUCGACUCAUCAGUACAGAUGAGGAGAAAUGAAAUGAGGACACAUAAGUCAAUGGUUGAUAAUCAAAUGUCAAAGUCAACGGUCAAAAGUCAACAUGUUGACUAUAGCAAUUGAGCAAAGUCAAAUAGUAGAUUUUCUAUUUAAACUCCGCACUUCUCUUUGUUCACCCAAAUACUUAAAUCAUUAAGCUGUAAGUUUUAUUAUUGUGUAAAAAGACAAAAAAGGUCAUCCAACUUAAUACUGAACCCUAGUACAUCUAUACACACACACCACACAUUCUCUUUGCACCUUCUUGUCUACAAUGCAAAUAAAUAUCUCCUCAUUUAAUUUCUAAUUUAGAAAUCUUUAUUUGGCCUAGGAUCUCUUUCCAUUGACAGUAAACGAUAUACUGUAAUAGUUAGCGAGUCUGUCUGUCUUGCAGCAAGCACAUAGACCUUCAUUUUCUUCUCAAAAAAUAGGGGUCUUCUUCAUCUUUUCCCCCACUAUUCAGUUUAGAUAGAUGGUUUUUUCUAUAGUUUGUAGUAGGAAGAUGGUGGGGUGUAAAUAGAAAAACUCUUUUUUUUUUCUUUUUUUUUUUUCAACUUGGGGUGUAUUUAAGGGUAGUUUGGGAAGAUAGUGAGGUUUUCUUAGAAAUUGUGAAAAUUUAAAUUAGAAGUUGGGGUGAACUUAGAACAUGGGGUGAACAAAGAGAAGUGUGAGGUUUAAAUAGAAAAUCUCAAUAGUUCGACCGGGUUAAUUAAGUAAGACUAUAAUUAUAAUUUAAUAGUUAAAUUAUGAUUAAAAGAUUAAUUAUGGAAUUAAUAUUGACAUUUAGAAAUAUUGAAUUGUUCUUUUAAAUAUGAUUUAAAAGGAAAGGGACAAAAUAGCCCAAAAGGUUAUUGGGCUCAAGGGAUAAGUGUCAUAAGAUGACAUGACCCAUGGACCAAAUGGAGCCCCAAAUACCCACCCAAUUAUCUUUUAUGUUGUCCUAUAUAAGCUAAGUGUUGGAGAAAACCUAGUUAGAGUUUUUAGUUUUCCUUCUUUGGUUGAUGAGUGAUCAUCUUUGCAUCUCAUCUUCCAUAAACCAAAAAUUGGUCUAAUCAAGAAGUAGACUAGCAUCCAUACUUUUUGAUAGCCUUCUCUUCAUCUCUAGGAGCAUUUGGUGUGGUGAGGUAGAUGACUCCAAUCUUGGAGCCUUAAGGUGAAGGAGUCAAAAUCAAGAGAAACAAAGGGCCUUUCCAACAAAGGUGUUCAUUCUUAAGAAAUCAAGAAAAUGUCAAGGGUAAAAGAUCUAUUUGUUUUUUCCUUUUUCUAUUUGUGUUCAAAGAGACUAGGCUAAGAUACUUUCUUUAAAAUGAAAAAGGUUUAGCUCAACUAGUAUAAACAAAAUGAAUCCGCCAUUUAUAAUAUUUUCAUUGUAUAGGUUGUGGCUAAAGUUUAUUUCCUAAGCAUUAGAUGCAUGUUUCCUUCAUAUUAAUCCUAAGUGCCCUCUUUGUAAUACUCACUUGGAGACUAUUAACCAUUUAUUUUUUGAAUGCCAAUUUGCUGUUAAUAUUUGGAGGUGUACUUCAAUUAUCCCAACGACUUCACAUCAGAAUUUUGAUGGUAUCAAGUGGCUAAUUUUGCUCCCUCAUAGGAAGGACAAAGAUGGCCCAAAUAUUCUUUCGAAAGAUCUCCUUCUCUGCUGGCAAUUUUGGGAGGCUCGAGAACAACUGUGUUUUUAAAGACAUUGCCCCUCAUCCGAUUAGAGCUCUUAAUGUUGCUGGUCAAAUUGGUCUAGACCAUUGGAAAAUUAACUCCAUCUCUCCCCAAAAGCCCAAAGGUAAGCUCUAUAUCAAGUGGAAACCACCUCCCUCCGACUGGAUAAAAUUGAAUUUUGACGGUUCAGUGUGCGACAAUAUGGCUGCCAUUGGUUUUGUUAUCCAGGACUGAGAUGGCAAUGUUAGGCUGGCAGGAGCUAAGAACUCGAGGCAGGUUUUGAUUACUGUGGCAGAAUGCUUGGCUCUUCAUGAUGGCCUGGCCCAUGCUAUUAGUGAGGGUUGGCAUAAAGUUUUAGUUGAAGGAGAUUCCUUGCUCAUCAUUGACUGCAUCAACAACAAAAUUUCAAUUCCUUGGAGUAUCCAUCUCUUGGUUCAGGAUAUAAGGCUGCUGAGUUCGUUAUGUGAAGAGAUUUCUUUCUAGCAUGUCUUUCAUGAAGCAAACUUCACUGCCGAUGCUUUAGCUACUUUAGGCCAUGGUUUGAACCCUUCCUACCUUUGGGAGGGGGGCUGCCUUUAAGUUGCUCUACUCCUUUUUAUUUUGAUAUGUUGGGGCCUACGUGCCCUCGUGGUUUCCAGUUGUAAGGUUUCUUUUCCAAUAAAAAAAGAAAUUUGCUUUUGCAUGAGCCGAAAGUCACAUGCAAUCAUCCUAUCAAUAGAUAAACACUAUUUGUUUAUUGAAAGAACCAAGUGGAUGACCAGCCAAAAAAGGGAGUAUUUUUGCUCACCACUUUAACCUAAUGUGUACCCUCACCACUCUUUUUAUAACUUGAUACUUGUGUACACUUGUAACCAUAGUUAACUCUUUGAUUUUAAAUCUUUUAAGUUUUUGAAAAUAAAAUAAAAACAACUCUUUCUCAUUCUCUCUCGCCCACCUCGUUCAACCUCAACCACGCACCUCACCAAAAUAACAACCCACACCGACAAGACUCGAUCAGGUUUUGUCGGCGAUGCCAUGACUAGAUCCUUUAGAGAAGAACCAUCGUGAGACCCGAUUUGACCAAAUUCAGAGCGUUGCUAAACCACUGGGGCUCCAACCUGGUCCCAUUGGAGCCGAAGUUAGUAGGGGGUUGUUGCUGAGAGCGAAGAAGAAGAGCUUGAGCCUUGCGGGCUUAGCAAAAGUGCGGUAGAGCUGGUAGUACUCGAUGAUCAUGUGGUCGAGGUUCUUGUCGUUGAUGACGGAGAUGAAGGCGUUGAGAUCUUCGCCAGGGACCUGAUACUUGAAGUAGACAACAUCGUUCAAGGUGUCACAGAAGGAGGCGAGCUUGAUGUUUCGAUCUAUGACGAUGAUUUUGGUGUCGCCGCUAAUGUAUGCGAGCUGGUGUUCGUGCAUGUGAGGUUGGUUGGGGUGGGGGUAAGGUAGGUGUCGUCGGGAAGGGGGGAGAGAAGGAGAGAGAGUUUUUUUAAAAUGUUAUUUAAUUAUUUUUUUAUUUUAUCUUUUAAUUUCAAAUACUUAAAGGUUUAAAAAUCAAAGAGUUAACUAUGGUUCUAAGUAUGAACAAGUGUCAAGUUAUAAGAAGGUAUAAGAAGGGUGGUGAUCAAAAAUGAUGUCGCCAAGUGGAGGAAGCAAAUAAGAAUUAGAACACUAUUAUCGAUAAGGAUUGAACAGACAAGAAGUAGUAUUAUCUUUUGGUUUCUUUAUUAUAAAAGAAUGUGGGUGUGCAUCAUCCAAGUGAAGAAAUAAUGAUAGCUGACGCACCAAAAUAUCAAGAAAGCAGCAUAGAUACGAUUGGAGUGCGAUUCCUUGAAGAUGGGAGGUGUCAGUUUUGGUUGCCUUCGAACCUAUAUAAAUAUAGAAGGCUCCCAACGAACAAAAAGGAACCUCAAACCAACCAAAUCAAAUACAACUACUCAGUCAAACUGAUCAAGUUCAAUGAUUUAAACAAAUCAUUCAAGCCUUUGAAUACAGAAGCAAAGCCAACAAAGGUGCCAAGGACCUCCAAAGCUAUACUUGAGAUUUUGCUAAGAAUUAUAUAGCUCACGAUCCCAACCACUUUUGGCUCCAACUUGAAGAAAGCUCUGCCAGCCAGUUAGUUGAAGGUACUGCCAGUCUAAAAGAACACUUUAGAAAAAUACAUAGUGCUACAUGUAAGUUAGGAGUACGAGGGCCGUUCUUGAGUUUUUUAAGGCCCAUGACGAAAGGUUAAGUUAUGGCUCCUUUUAGACACAAUAAUUUCUCAACAAAAAAAAUUGAAGAACUUUUACUGGCUAAGAUUGGAUGUAGACUCAAUUAAGGCCAACAAUUAAUACACAUUGGGAAAAAAAAAACAUUUCAUAACAUUUUAAAUAUUUUUAUUUUGUUUCUCCUCCCUUCUAACUCUGCAUUCUCCUUUUGUUUUUAACUCACUAUACAUCAUUUAUCACUCUGAAGGCCACCCACUUGAAAACUAUUCUUUUUAGGCUUAACUGCUACAGUGCCCCCUAAAACAUUGGUCAAUUCCCACUUAACCCCCUUAAAUUUAAAGUGACCCACUAUGCCCCCUUUACCAGGGUUUCGUGUGUUACUUAACCACUUUCCGUCAACACCAUCCCAAGUUCCGUUAAAAUGAUGACAUUGCAGGGGUGUAUUGGUCAAUUCAACUGAGCUGGAAUUUUUCCCACCAAUCUGAGGUUGUGACGUGUACUUGUGGACCCCACCUCUAACAAUUGAUGUAGCUAAAAAGAUCGUUGGGCUUGCUGAUGUGGAUUUGUGGACCCCAUCUCUAACAAAACAGCCACUAUAAUGUUUGAAAACUCAAAAUUGAAAAGUGGAAAUCAGCUUGGGAGGGAAAAUUGAGAUUUGUGGAUUUUAGAUCUAGGGUUUAAGCAUACGAUCGAGAGAGGGAGAUCGCUGUGAGUUGGUUUCGAAAUCUUGAAGGCAAGAAGAAGCAACGCUACUAGACGACGAUGCUUGUUUGGCGAGAAGCAGGAGAAGCGCAACCUGUGUACUCAGGGGCAGAGCAAGAAUUGUAAAAGGGGGGGGGGCUGAAGUAGAAAAUACAAGUAUAUAAAACACCUAAAUAUUCAAUACUUACAUGUUUAGAGCUAAAUAUUUCUAAUUGAGUCAUGUCUAAUUUGUUUUAGAGGAAAUUUUAACUUAAAUUCUAAAUUAUUUAUUACAAAUUCUAUAUAUCAUAUUUAAUAUAAUAAAGAAGUGAUAAAAAUAUGGGGGGGCCAGGGCCACUCCAGGUCUAGGAGUGGCUCCGCCACUGUGUGUACCGUAAGUGAUUCUUCUAAAAAUGGACUGUUUUCUGAAAAGGAAUCUUGUCUUGUUAUGUGAAAAAGAAUCCUGACCUGAUAGUGAUGCGCAUUGUAUACAAAUGCAUAGUCUUUAGGUCUUUUUGUAUUAUAUGCUGUCGGGAGAGUGAGUUCUAAUGUAGUAUACCUUUCCUGAUGUGAUCCCCUUUUUGUUUUCUUGUAGUUGGUUUUGAAUAUGUUAAUCGAACCAUGUUUGUUGUCUUUCUUUUAAUGACAAACCUUUUUUUGUUUGUGUGUAGAGGACAAAGAGUUGGUGACUUUUGAAGUGCAUCAUGGUUGUAGAAUUGUGAAAAAUAAACAUAACAAAUGGUGUUAUACUGGAGGGUCUAUAGGAUAUUUGGAUUGGUAUCUUGUAGAGUAUAUAGAUAUGUUAGAGAUGUGGGAGCAAGUGAAACUGCUUGGGCACAUGGGGAAAUUAUCACUUAAAGGAAUAGUAAAUGAUGAGUUACUGGUGAGCUGUUAAGUUUGUGUGAUAAGGUACCACUUUCUUAUCAGAGAGUGAUGCUAAUUUAUGUACAACACAUUGAAGAGGACGGUGUUACAGUGAAUGAGGAUUGUGAAGAGGUGGGUGUGGCUUUGAAUGAGGAUAGUGAAGAGGAAGGUCUGGCAUUGAAUGAGGAUAGUGAAGAGGAAGGUGUGGCUUUGAAUGAGGAUGGCCUGUUUCUGAGGAUAUUUGACCGCUAAACAAUGAUGAAAAUAGAGCUUUUACUGAAGGCAGUAGGCCACUGAAUAAUGAUAAAGAGGGGCAUCCUUUUAUUGAGGAUCAUGGGCCUGCUUGCGCAGUUCAAGACUGGGAUUCAAGUGAUGAUGAUGAGCCCCCUGAACAAUGAGGGUAAUAGGGCUAAUAUAGGUGAGACUGAUGUGGAAGACAGGAAUGAAGACAAUGAAGAAGAAGGCAAGGAAUAUGACCCUAAUUUUGUUGACAGUGCUUAUGAGCAGAGUGAAAAUGAAUGUGAGUUGUUGAAAAAAAUGAAGAUGGAGAGUCAACUGAUGUAGAUAAAAGUGAUGUUGAGAGCUUGGAUAGUAGCUCAGAUGAUGAGGAUGAUGAGAACCAGAAGAAAAGGAAGAGAAAAUUGCCUGAAUUUAAAGAAUUUAGGCCAGAAACAGACAUGUGCAGCCUUGUGUUGGGUUUAAGAUUUGCAACCACUGACCUAUUUAGGAACUAUUCAAUUAUAAAUAGGAAGAUGAUUAAAUUCAAAUGCAAUGAUCGUGAUAGGGUGAGGGCAGUGUGUGCAGGGAAUUGCAAAUGGGUUUGUUUUGCUUCAGCAAUGAAUGGUAGUGAAUGGGUUCAAGUGAAGAAGUUGGUUGAUGUGCAUGAUUGUGGGACAGUUGACCACACCUUUCAUGCUAACUUAGUAUGGUUAGCUCAGAGAUAUGCUACUCAACUGUCUAGACUGCAUAAUUGGGAUAUGGGAACUUUUAAGUAGCAAGUACAAGAAGAUUUGUCUGUGAUAGCUUCUAAAUCCCAAAUAUAUAUAGCAAGGCAGAAGGCAACAUCCAUAACUGAGGGGACUUAUGAAAAACAGUAUGGGUUAUUAUGGGAUUAUGCAGCUGAACUAAAAAGGACAAAUGUGGAUAGCACAAUCAUUAAUGUGAGCUAGAGGGUGAAAGGCCAAGGUUUCAGAGGAUUUACAUUUGCUUGGCUGCAGUAAAACAAGGGUUUUUGCAGGGAUGUAGGCCAGUGAUAGGAUUUGAUGCUUUUCAUAUCAAAGGUCAUCACCCUGGACAAUUGUUAUAUGAUGUUGGUGUAGAUCCUAACAAUGGCAUGUAUCCUAUUGCGUAUGCAGUGGCUGAGGUGGAGAAUUAUGAAACAUGGUCAUGGUUUUGUGGAGAAUUAUGAUGUGGGUGAGACUGAUGUGGAAGACAGGAAUGAAGACAGUGAAGAAGAAGACAAGGAAGAUAACCUUGAUUUUGUUGACAGUGCUUAUGAGCAGAGUGAAAAUGAAUAUGGAAACUUUUAAGUAGCAGGUACAAGAAGAUUUAUCUGUGAUAGCUUCUAAAUCCCAAAUAUAUAUGGCAAGGCAUAAGGCAACAUCCAUAACUGAGGGGACUUAUGAAAACCAGUAUGAGUUAUUAUGAGAUUAUGCAGUUGAACUAAAAAGGAAAAAUGUGGAUAGCACAGUCAUUAUCAAAUGUGAGUUGGAGGGUGAAAGGCCAAGGUUUCAGAGGAUUUACAUUUGCUUGGCUGCAGUUAAACAAGGGUUUUUGUAGGGAUGUGGGCCAGUGAUAGGAUUUAAUGCUUGUCAUAUCAAAGGUCAUCACCUUGGACAAUUGUUAUCUGCUGUUGGUGUGGAGAAUUAUGAAACAUGGUCAUGGUUUUGUCAACUAUUGGCAGAAGACCUUAGGAUCGAAAACAGCACAGGAUAUGUCUUUAUCACAGACAAGCAAAAAUGCUUGAUUGAUGCAGUACAUGAUAAUUUUCCAAAUGUUGAGCACAGACACUGCCUCAAACACUUAGAAGCAAAUUUUUUGCUUGGUGGUCAUAGAGUAUUGGUGUUGAAAUUGCAAAUGGAGAAAAUUGCAAGGAGCACAACCAUCCCAUGGUGGGAUGCUGAGAUGAAAAAUAUGAGACAGUUGAGCCAAGCUGCAUUUGAUUGGGUGGCGGCCUUAGAUCCAUCACAAUGGUGUAGAGCUCACUUUAAAACUCAUUCCAAAUGUGACAUCCAUUUGAAUAAUAUGUGUGUGGCUUUUAAUGGUGCCCUUGUAGAAGUUAGAGACAAACCCAUUUUAACCAUGCUAGAGAGGAUUAAAUACUAUAUUAUGUUGUUGAUGGCAACUAGAAGAGCAUAUUGUGAGAGAUGGAAACAUGACAUUGGUCCAAGGAUUUUUGGCAUUUUGGAGAAAACGAAGAAAAAAUCAGCUUGGUGCAUUCCAAAGCUUACUGGGGUGAAUUUAUAUGAGGUCAAAAACCAUAUUAGAUAUGCCAUGCUAGAUGAUUUAUUCUCUUAUAUUAGAUAUGUCAUGCUAGAUGAUUUAUUCUCUCAUAGUUUGGUUGGAGAUUUCAAGAAAUCCCUACACCACCCCUUCCCAAAAUAUUCCCUUCAUGAUUGGCUUUGUUAAGCCGGUGAGUCACAGCUCGGAGCUCAUACGAGUCAUAUAAAGUGCUACUGUUGUGCCUGGGGCUCAGCCUCCAUCGAGGAAAUAUAUAUGUUUUUAUAUUUAAAGAGUAUAGCCGUCUCUUUUAAAUAUAUUCGAAUAUUUAAAUAGCAUAGCCACGUGCUCAUACUGUUUAAAUGUAUUUUAAUAUUUAAAGUGUAUAGCCGUGCAGCUAUACUUUUUAAAUAUAUUCAAAAAUGCCCAAGAGAAAAAUAAUCAACUGGAUCAUGUAUUUUCUGAAGAAAUUUUACUAUAGCUACUACCAUUGUUGUUAAUUAACUUUGAAUGUUACUGUAAUGUUAGAUAAAUUUGGGAACACUCCUUUGCUUAAGCCAUUAAAAAUGGGCAGGAUCAAGUAGCUUCUUUACUUGUUAAGGCAGGGGCGUUGCUUACUAUUGAUAAUGCUGGUGAUUUUCUCUGUAUUAUGCUAUCAAGGAGGAAUUUGGACCCCCUGAAAAGGCUUUUAGCCACUGACAUUAACCCAAAUACGAAAAAUUAUGAUCAGCGAUCACCGCUUCAUGUAGCUGCUUCAGAAGGCUUAUAUCCAAUAGCAGAAUUCCUUCUAGAAGCAGGAGCAAGUGUUCAUCUUGCUUGUCAGAUAUCUGUUCUUUAAAUUUCUUUAAGCUCCUAAAUCCAAUAGGAUCCAAUGAAGUUAGACUAAAGCAAAGGACUGCCUAUUUAAAAUAUAAAUAAAUCCAACAUGCAUGUUUAACCUUUCUAAUUAGUCUACUUCCUGAUUGCAGAUAGGGGAAGCACUCCACUUGAUGAAGCCCGUAUUAGUGGAAAUAAGAAACUAAUCAAACUGCUUGAAGUUGCUAGUGCUUCGCAGUUGUCAGAGUUCUUUGAUCAAUACAUCAAGAAACUACCUAAGCAUGUCUCUGAUCAAUGUGUAUUAUCGAUAAUAUGUUUAUUGAUUAAAUGAUAAAUGUUUAUAGGAGAUGGAACCAAAGUUCUGAGAUGUUGAUAUAUGUGUUGAGAAUUUUGUUAGAAUAUGCAUGGAUUGAACUAUUAUUAUUUAUCUGGCUUGACAAAUCUCCGUGUCAAUUAUUCUCACUGGUCUUGUAAUAACCACGGACCCGAGAAAUUCUUGGAUCAUGGAAGUAAUGCAUGAAUGCAUCAAGUAAUCUAGAUUGGAAUACAAAAACGAAAGAAGCACAACUUUUAUUCCCACAGAUAGUCUUAGCUAGGUUCCAUAAAUUAAUGCAUGAGCAGCAGCUGCAUGCAAUAUUAUUGAAAGCCAAAUCACAACAUAAGGAAAACUUAAGAAAAUGCCACUUUCGUAGGGAACGCGAUUGCAUUUAGCGUAUGCAACAAGCCUUUUAAACCUAUAGGUGAACCUGAUAGGACGAGUGAAGUCUCGUGAGGGUUUCCAGCGACGCUACCCACAAACAUCAAAUUAACUUAACAGGAUGAUCAUCCUGGAAGUUUUUCGACAGUGAAGGCAGGGGUACUGGUGGGUUUUUCAUUUUCGGCAGCGAGGGCAUCAUCCUCGAAGUCGGUUCCAGAUUUUGGCUCUGUAAGGUUUCCCAAUCGCACGUGGACGAACUGGUAUACGCCGUCGACGUACGGUGCCGGUUUUUGCAAAACAACAGGCUUGAAGAGUGUACAUGACCACAGGUUUUUAUUUGGCUGUUUCUCGUCAGCCUCGGCCACAAUCCACGGACUGUCUUCGCUUGCCGUUCUCAGGUAUUUGUCGCUGUAGGUGGAUUUUAUAUGCACCAGACUGGGUUGGUUUACGUCCUUCUCCGCUUUGAACCUUGCGUAUUUGCUGUGACUUUCCUCUCCGGAGCAUUCGAGCCUAUUUGGCAGCUCUGCGGUGGAUUGGUCUUUGAAGACCACGUAUUUCUGGUUCUUGGCUGAUUUAAGAGCAAAAAACUUUGGUAAGUCUGCCAUUUCUGAUGAUCUCUCUUUCUCUCUCUCUCGUUGCUUAUUGCUUUUCCUAGCUACAACCUGCUGUGCUAUUUAUAAUCAAGCAAACCCAAACCAUGCAUGCAGCUUUCACUUAUUUUUCUUGCUGUACUGGCCCGCCAUAACAGAGAAAAUUAAAUCCACAAAAAUGGUUCUGUUAAACGAACAAAUUAACUUAAUACACCAUCCUACCAAACAAUUUAUUGAAUUACUAAUUUACCCUAAUAUAAAAUGAAUUGUGAAACAAAAGUAAUUUUAGUAAGUACACUCUACUCAAUAUAUUGAACCCCAAUCAAAUUAGAAUUUUAGAGUUUGAUUCCAAACUGAUUUGAGAUAAAAAUUCAAAGUUCUUGUCGGGUGUAAAUUUUUUUUUCUUCUAUCGCUUCCAUAAUUCCUGACAUCAAUGAAGAAUCUUUGAGAGGAGAAAAGAUUGAAGCAGCUGAACAUAAUCCCUUGCCAAAAAGCCAUGGUUAUUCAUCAAACAGCGUGAAAGCAACUUAAAUAUAUUAUUUCAUUUUGAUCGGCAAGGCUGGCCAAGCUUUUAUGAACUUUUGGAGGGAAUUGUGGAAAGUCCACCACCUUGUGCACCAUCAGAUCAGUUCUCCCCCGAGUUUUGUUCUUCGUGUCUGCCUGUUAAUAAGAUAUUUACAUGCAUACUUCACCUUAUACAUAUCUAAUUCACUGGCAUGUGACUGUUUAUAUUUCCCAUUACAUUUGCAGCAUACAGAAGAACCCUCAAGACAGAUCAUCAUCUUUAGACCUUCUGGUUAGUACUUAUGAAUUUGGUUCAAUGAGUGGGUGAAUCCCUGACGGUUUAGAUUUGAUGAAGGGAAAAGGAGUUGACAGGAACAUAUUUGAUGAAGACGACCAAUUCAUGUAAAAUAGGGUGUACUUAGUAUUAUGGUGUAUCAUGGGUAUUUUGGUAGUUAAGUAGGGUGUACUUAGUUAAUUUUAUAUUUUAAUUUAAAUAUUAGGGUGUACUUAUAUUAUAGAGUGUUCUAAGUCAAUUUUAGGAUUCGUUGAACAACACCCCACAAAAAACCAAAGAAAAAACAAAAAAGCUAAAGCGUGCUUCGCAUCUUCAAAUAAAACAAAGAUAAGCUUAGUAUUAUCUUCUUUGUUGUAAUGUGAACUUGAUUAUGUAAUUUCUACUACUUGUACUUAUGGGCCAUAGCCAUUUAUCAAUUAUAAUUAUGUCAUUAAUUAGGAUUGAACAACAAAGUUGUUCAGAUGUUUACAUACACAUCUUCAUUAUUUUACUGGGACACAGACACAUCUUCAUUAUUUUACUGGGAAAACCAUUUCUCUUAAGCAAAAUCUGUCGAUUUUACGUAGGUUUGACAGUUGCGGACGAUUGUUUUUAAUUUCGAACUUCUACAAACAAAUAAAUCAAGGAAAAAAAAAAAAGAAGAACAGAAUAUUAAUUCAUAUAUUUCAAUUUCUUGUGUGAAGCUUUUAAAUUCAUUUCAACAUAAUAUCAAUAAGAUUAAGUUCGAUUUCCUUAAGCAUCAUCACUGAUCUGAUGGCAUUAGAUAAGUCUUUGAAUUACCGAACGUGAUUGAUUGAUUGGCAGGUAUCCUUAAUACAAGAAUAAAGCUUGAAAGAUAGAUUCAUCCACAGCUUGAAAGAACAAAGUUCGAUUUCCUUGAAAGAAUAAAGCUUGAAACAUAGCUUCAUCCGUAGCUUGAAAGAUAGCUUCAUACAUAGCCUGAAAGAAUAAAGUUCGAUUUCCUUGAAAGAAUAAAGCUUGAAAGAUAGCUUCAUCCACAACUUGAAAGAAUAAAGUUCGAUUUCCUUGAGCAUCAUCACAGAUCUGCUGUAGUGCAUGAUGAGAUUCUUUAAAAAAUAGCUUCAUCCACAGCUUGAAAGAUAAGGAAUAAAGCCUUCUUGUCCUUGUUCCAGUCUCCUUCAGCUCAGUGAGUUGUUGUUGAGUGACGAGGUGUAAUAUUAAUAAUUGACACAAAUUAAUGUGCUAAUCAUCCAAUUAUAAAUAUCCGCAAGUGUACGAAUCUAUUAGGGUAUAGAUUUGUAAGUAUGGGGUUGAUCCCACGAGGAACUGUCGGCCUACACAAAGUUAUAAUUUGAGAACGUAAAGAAUACUUAUUUAACACAACACAAAAGUAAGAACAAAUUGGAAACUAUGAAUGAGUAAAGAAAAGUAAAAGAAAUGAAACAGAACUAGAAACCCAAAAUAAACACAACCAGGAAUGUCUAUCACCAUUUUAUCACCUCACCACGGUAUCGCUUGUUUAUCACAUAAUGGACAGUGGGUCGUUUUGAAGCAGACUGAGAAUUCCCCUGUUUUCAACUUCAACCUCUGUUCAGUUUUUUACCUAUAACUUUCCAACUGUUUAUCCAAAGGUAACACCCCCGACCCAAUUUAAUUGUUUUAUUCAAUUUAUCUAUUUGUGAAAUUACAAAUUUGCCCUUAGGGGUAAGGACACUUUGGUCUCUUUUUGAUCCUACAGGAUUUUAGGGAAUUGAGUGGCACUGUUGCGUAGGGCUCGCUCUUCUGAUUUCGUAGACAGGCGGCACGCAAAAUUCUGAGUUAUAACGAACAUGUAAAGGUCUAGAAACCAAAAGGACGAAAUUUUAAAUUUGUUACUGUAGCUAUAGUGCCCCUACAGUGCUAUAGUGUUGGCCUCUCUUAUUUCUCUUAUUCUCCCUCGCGAUAUAACCAGAUUUUCUGGUUUUUGUCAUCCCCUCCUGAGGCGAAAGUGGCGCCGCCACUUCCGUCGUUUUUUUUUCCGCCGCCGUCUUGUCCUGGUUGCCAUCACAACCUUCACGAAAAAGGGUUAAGUUUUUCCAGUGGUGUUCUUGCAUUUUCAGGCUAUUUCGGCGAUGGUUUUUGUCGAGUGAGGUAUGAAACUUCAUCUACUCUUCGUGCUCUAUCCGUUUAUGUAGGUAUUGUAGAUCAAUUUUGAGGUUUUAUAGUUCGUUCAAUAUACCCAUUUUUUGUCGACGUUUUCGACUCCAUCCCGGCUAGUUAUGGCUAGUUUUUGGCCAUGGUCCAAGAAUAAAAAUCACUCCCCUUGUUAGUAUGAACGUAUUGCUAUAGGUAUUGUAGGGUGUUAUUGUUAAUGUAUGCAUUUUGAGUUUUUUCUUUUGGCUUCCCUUGACAAUUUUGUAAUAGGAUAAUCAUUGUAGUUUCCCAAGCUCUAAGUUUAGAUUAAGAAUUACUUCUCUAGGUGUUCUUAUCUGCCUACAUUUUGGUGGAAAACAAUGCAUUUGACAAAGGUAAAUUCUGCAUUACACUACAUUGCAUUCACUAAUUUCUGAAGAUUAUGACUAGUCAUCUUGCAUUCGUAUGACUAGUCAUCAUUCCUUCGUAUGACUAGUCAACCUUUGUUUCAAUUAGGAUUUCCAGCUCACUGUUUCCAGCUGGGGCUUAACCAUUUUUUUUAAUCAUUUUCUACGAAUUUCUCAGCUGCCAUGUGUUUAUUCUAACCUAGGAAUUUUUGGUAAAAGCCAAAGAAUUUCUCAUUUGGCAGCCGUCACUUUUGUAGGCAAGUUUUGGAAAGUUUCUCUGUAAACUUUCUCUUCUUCCUCAAGUGUAACCUUCAUAAUUUUCAUCUUUGAGUUUUCCAAAAUGUUUCUUUUUGAAAACUGCAUUUGAAAUAUGAAAACCUCAUCUUGCUAGAUCAAGCACUCUCUCAUAUAUAUCUAGGUCAGAUUCAAGUUUGAUUUCUUCAAGAGUAUGGUUUCUUGAAGAAAUUGGUCAUUCUCCUUUGAAUCUAAAUUUUGGUUUCUGUCUGAGUUGGAGCUUGCAAGCUGGUGCUAUGGAAUGAAUGAGCUGGAGAAAGAGCUGUCAUUGCCAUGAAGAACUGAGCUUCAAGCUUUGCUAAGUUGGAGAAGAAGAUUGCACAAAUGAGGUACAGCUCAUCUUCCUAAAUAGAUCUAGGUUUUUCUUGCGCUUGCUUGUGUUCCUUUGUAAGAAUCUUUUUCUGCUUAGUGGAUUGCCUGGUCGGUUGAUGACCCCCAGUUUUUCCCAAUGGUGGGUUUCUGGGUGAACAAUUUCUAAUUGCAUCUUUGUAAUUUUUCUGGGUUUGUGUUCUUGGUGGUUGACUAGUCAUCGUAUGAAAUGUGGUUGACUAGUCAUCGUAUGAAUUCUAGGUUUGUGUUCUUAGUGGUUGACUAGUCAUUGUAUGAAUCCUGGGUUUGUGUCCUUAUAGUUGACUAGUCAUCAUUAUCUGUUGUUUGGUGUUUACUUGAUUAUGAUGAUUUCACACAUUUUCACCAUAGUUGUUGCUAGCACAGGGGAUGCCUAGAUUGACGGGUCCUUCUGAGUGCCUAGGUUGUCAAUAGUAAUCUUCUAGGGUUACAGGUACAUUGUGGCACGCUCUGUGUGUAUUCUUGAUUGUGGUUGUUCAUGCCUAGUAGUUGACUAGUCAUAAGUGUACUUGGUCAAGGUCUAAAGUGUUGAAGAUUGUUGCGUUUUGUUUAAGUGUCGUAAAAGUUAGCCCUCGUGACCUAAGUACCAAUUUCAGUUUUGAGAAUUUUUCGUCUCCGGAAUUUUCUCAUGACACCCACGUGCUGCCAACGGUGGGUGGCAGGGUCUGGUCCACUGUGUGGCGGCCCAUUAUGUUCUAAAAUGUUCUCCUUGUCAUCUUGAGCACGACGGUAUGCUUGGAUUUGAAAUUGGUUAUCGUUUGACAGUCGAACGGAUGUUACACCUAAUAUGCGAUAUCCGGGUUCGAUAGGUUCAGACCUUUCGAUCAGUCUCAAUUUCAAAUAUGUCGUUCUCUAUACCUCUGGAAUCGUGCAGGAACUUGUGGAUCUAGAGUUGGAGUCCCGAAUACUCCGAAUCAAUGAUUCUAAGGUUAGGCGAAGCGAUCGCCGUUUGAUCUUGCAAUUGGCUCCUAUCUGACCACUCGAUCAAGACCAAACUUACAUAACUUUUUUAGUGGACGUUGUUGAAUGCGUAAGAUUUUUUCUUGGAUUGGAAAUCAGAGAUCAUGGGCCCUGCGGGCCUAAUUGACCAAUAUGGGGGGUUUGACCGUACAGUUGAUCUGGGGUCUUUUGAGACCAUCUUAACCUUUGGAAAACACUAAAAUGGCCCUAGGACUUUUCUUAAAGGAUGUGUUUACACUUUUGAGUCCUGGGAACCAGAGUUCUGAUCUUUAAAGUUCGGAGUUGGGUUCGAUUAACAAGUUAAGCCUAGUAUUCUAUCGGUAUGUUUUCAAGCGCAACGAAUUGCUCCGGACGAAAUCGAGGAGACUUAAUUGUGCUUUGGACCGUGUGUCAGUGGACAUUUGUUUGGUCAUGCUGAAAUAUAACUAAGUUACCUUCAUAACUGGUGAUGUGAUAUUUGCAUAAUUAUUAUCAUAAAAAGUAUUUUUAUUUUCUUGACUGGUGAUGUGCAUUGAUAAUUAGUUUCAGAAAUGCCAAGACCUGUUCGCCUUCACUUGGCGCGAGAAGAGCAAUUUGCCGCCUCCAGUUUCAUCGAGGUGUGUGAACUGUCAUUUCAGUCACAUCGGUUGGGAAACGACGACAAAAAUACAUCUAUACCCAUUGUUUUCUUGGUCCACAAAUACUCGUACCGUGUUAAUUGAAUAAAGUAAGGGUUUAGCGACGACGGUUGGGCAUAUGGAUUCCUGCUACGUUGUUGGCUUGCUAGGGCUGUUGAACCCUAGUACCUUUUCACAGGCAUAAUGAUUUAAAUAUCAAAUUUAAGGGGGGAAAUAAGUGUAGGGUUUUUCCCAUAUUGUUUAUAACCCAGUAGGAAAUUUCCCCAUUAUUUUCGGAUUUCUCCUGCAUUUGUAACGAUUUUUGUAACCAAAAAAAAAAAAAGUAAUUUGAAAAUCCCUUUUCGCUAACAUAAUGAUUUAAAUAUUGAAUUUAACCAAAAACUCCUUGCGAAGUAUAACCAAAAACUCUUUUCGAAGUAUUCUUCCCCAUAGAUACGUAAGAAUUUUCUGCAUAUUUUUCGGAUUUUUCCUGCAUUUUUUUAGUGAAAAUAAGAAACUAAUCAAACUACUUGAAGUUGCUAGAGGUUGGCAGUUGUCAGAGUUCUCAGAUCAAUAUAAUCAAGAAACUACCUAAGCAUGUCUCUGAUCAAUGUGUAUUAUCGAUAAUGCGUUUAUUGAUUAAAUGAUAAAUGUUUAUAGGAGAUGGAACAAAAGUUCUGAGAUGUUGUUGAGAAUUUUGUUUGAAUCUUUAAUUCCCCUUUCGAUUUUCUAAUGUGCAUACCUUGGAAUGCAUGAAUUGAACUAUUAUUGUUUAUUGAUAAUUCUCAGUGUCAAUUAUUCUCACUAGUUUUUUAAUAAUCAAGGACCCGAGUAAUUCUUGGAUCAUGGAAGUAAUGCAUGAAUGCAUCAAGUAAUCUAGAUCGGAAUAGUAAAACGAAAGAAGCACAACUUUUAUUCCCACAGAUAGUCUUAGCUAGAUUACAUAAAUUAAUGCUUGAGCAGCAGCUGCAUGCAAUAUUAUUGAAACCCAAAUCACAACAUAAGGAAAACUUAAGAAAAUGCCACUUUCGCAGGAAACGCGAUUGCAUUUAGCAUAUGGAACAAGCUAUCUUGAUAGAACGAGUGAAGUCGCAUGAGAGUUUCCAGCAAUGCUACCCACAAACAUCAAAUUAACUUCACAGGAUGAUCAUCCUGGAAGUUUUUCGACCAUGAAGGCAAGGUUUUGGGUGGGUUUUGCAUUUUCUGCAGAGAGGGCAUCGUCGAAGUCGGUUCCAGAUCUUGGCUCUAUCAGGUUUCCCAUUUGCACGUGGAUGAACUUGUAUACGCCAUCCAUGUACGGUAUCGGUGGUACCAAAACCACAGGCUUAAAGAGUGUACAUGACCACAGGGUUUUAUUUGACUGUUUCUCGUCGGCCUCGGCCACAAUCCACGAACUGUCUUGGCUUGCCGCUCUCAAGUAUUUGUCGUUGUAGGUGGAUUUUAUAUGCACCAGACUGGGUUGGUUUACGUCCUUCUCCACUUUGAACCUUGCGUAUUUGCUGUGACUAUGCUCUCCGGAGCAUUGGAGCAAAUGUGGCAGCGUUGAGGUGGAUUGGUCUUUGUACACCAGGUAUUUCUGUUUCUUGACUGAUUUAAGAGCAAGAAACUUUGGUAAUUCUGCCAUUUCUGAUGAUCUCUCGCUCGUGCUUCAAUAUAAGAUUGAUAUAUAUAUAUAUAUAUAUAUGUAAACUCACUUCUCUCUUUCUUUCUCUCUCGUUGCUUAUUGCUUUUCCUAUCUCCAACUUGCUGUGCUAUUUAUAAUCAAGCAAGCCCAAACCAUGCAUGCAGCUUUCACUUAGUUUUCUUGCUGUACUGGCCCGCCAUAACAGAGAAAAUUGAAGCCACAAGAAGCGUGCUGACCGCACAGGGCCUCCAAAAAUGAGGGGCCUCCAAUUUUCUUCCCCAUUUUUGUCUGACUUGCUUGACUUGCUGUCGUUUCUCUGGCCAUUUUUUUUCUUUCAAUUUUUGCUUGACUUGGUGUGGCUUGGUAUGACGUGUAUAUUAGAAAACAUCAUAUGGAACUGAAAAUAGAUAUAGAAGACAACUGAGAGGAUGUGAGUAUGUGAAAAUAGAUGUAAUUCAUGCCAUUAAUGAUGAUUUUGGUUUCAUUUUUGAAAUUUGAAAAUUUUAAGACAAUUUUUUAUUUUUUUUAACUUAUAGGGCCUCAUCAGUUUUCUUUGCACAAGGCCUCCAAAUCUAAUGGACCAGCUUUGUACACCAUACUAUCAAAUUAUUUAUUGAAUUACUAAUUUACCCUAAUAUAAAAUGAUAAAAAAGGAUAUAUUGAAUUGUGAAACAAAAGUAAUUUUAGUAAGUACACCCUACUCAAUAUAUUGAACCCUAAUCAAAUUAGAAUUUUAGAGCUUGAUUCCAAACAGAUUUGAGAUAAAAAUUCAAAGUUUUUGUUGGGUGUAAAAUUUUUUUUCUAUCACUUCCAUAAUUCCUGACAUCAAUGAAGAAGAAGCUUCGAGAGGAGAAAAGAUUGAAGCUGCCUAACAGAAUCCCUUGCCAAAAAGCCAUGGUUAUUCAUCAAACAGGGUGAAAGCAACUUAAAUAUUAUUUCAUUUUGAUCAACAAAGCUCGACAAGCUUUUAUGAACUUUUGGAGGGAAUUGUGGAAAGUCCACCACCUUCCUGCACCAUCAGAUCAGUUCUCCCCGAGUUUUGUUCGUCUGCCUGUUAAUAAGAUAUUCACAUGCAUACUUCACUGGCAUGUGACUGUUUAUAUUUCCCAUUACAUUUGCAGUAUGCAGAAGAACCCUUCUGGUUAGUACUCAUGAAUUUGGUUCAACGAGUGGGUGUAUCCCUGACGGUUUAGAUUUGAUGAAGGAAAAAGGAGUUGACAGGAACACAUUUGAUGAAGACGACCAAUUCAUGUAAAAUAGGGUGUACUUAGUAUUAUGGUGUAUCAGGGGUAUUUUUGGUAGUUAAGUAGGGUGUACUUAGUUAAUUUUACAUUUUAAUUUAAAUAUUAGGGUGUACUUAUAUCAUAGAGUGUACUCAGUUAAUUUUAAAAUUCGUUGAACAGCACCCCACAAAAAAAAAACCAAAAAACUAAAGCGUGCUUCACAUCUUCAAUUAAAACAAAGAUAAGCUUAGUAUUUUCUUCUUUGUUGUAAUGUGAACUUGAUUAUGUAAUUUCUACUACUUGUACUUAUGGGCCAUAGCCAUUUAUCAAUUAUAAUUAUGUCAUUAAUUAGGAUUGAACAACAAAGUUGCUCAGAUGUUUACAUGCUUUAAUUACAAACGUAUGAUAGGUUUAGGAGAGUGGUACAUAGUUCCAAUUGUUCCUUUCACACAGACACAUCUUCAUUAUUUUACUGAGAAACCAUUUCUCUUAAGAAAAAUCUAUCGAUUUUACGUAGUUUUGACAGUUGCGGACGAUUCUUUUUAAUUUCGACCCUCUACAAACAAAUAAAUCAAAGAAAAAAGAAGAAGAGAAUAUUAAUUCAUAUAUUUCAAUUUCUUGUGUGAGGCUUUUAAAUUCAUUUCAACAUAAUAUCAAUAUAAGAUUAAGUUCGAUUUCCUUGAGCAUCAUCACUGAUCUGAUGGCAUCAUAUAAGUCUUUGAAUUACUGAAUGUGAUUGAUUGAUUGAAACGUAUUAAUACAAGAAUAAAGCUUGAAAGAUAGCUUCAUCCACAGCUUGAAAGAAUAAAGUUCGUUUUCCUUGAAAGAAUAAAGCUUGAAAGAUAACUUCAUCCACAGCUUGAAAGAAUAAAGUUCGAUUUCCUUGAGGCAUGAUGUGAUUCUUUCAAAAAUAGCUUCAUCCACAGCUUGGAAGAUAAAGAAUAAAGCCUUCUUGUCCUUCUUCCGAGUCUCCUUCAGUUUGAUGGUGGGAAUGGGAUUUGGCUAUGGGGUGCGGUCUAUGCAACCACCUCUUUGUCCCCUCUUGCUUCGUCUUCUUGGAGUUAGUUGUGGAAGAUCAAUCAUAGUAAUCCCAAUAAUCCGAAGCAUUAUGGUAACCAGGCCUAGAAGAGAGAUUUUGUAUGAGGCAAGGCCAUUGAAAAUCGUAAUGGAUACCAAAAUCAAUUAUGUGGAUCCUUGUUGCUUUCUCACCUACAUUCAUUAUUGUCUUAUUUGACAAGAAAUUUGAUAGCUUCUUAAAUGGACAAGUGGCAAGAUAAAGAUGGUCAGCUUUCUCUCAUCUUCAAAAUCAGGAUUUGCAGCCAUGGGAGGUGGGUUGAGGAAGGAAUAGAGCGUGGAGAGAAGAGAGAGAGAGAAGAGAGAGAGAUGCUUUUGCCCCUCAAUUUCACAGAACAAUUGACAGACUUUGACGGUAGGACCGUUUCGAUACUAAAUGGAGAAUUACAGGACUAUUGAAAUGAAAAUAUAUUUUUGUUUGUGAACCAAAAUAAAACUUGAGCAAUAGUUGGGGGACCAUUUCGGUCAAUAACUCAAUAAUUUACCCUUUGUCAAUAAGGGAGAGAGAAUUCAAACUUGGGACCUCUUAUAACAUUGGAAAGAGAAGUACCACCAAACCAAUAGCUAGUUGGUUGUACACAUUUAAAAUCACUAAAAUCACAACUCAAUCUACCCAAUUGUAAUGGAAAAAGAAAAAAAAAAAAAACCUUCUUGUUCAAGUUUAACAAUCCAAUAUUUACUAUUAAACAUUGUUACUAAUUUUUCCAUUGGUUAUCCAAUUGCACCUUCGCUGGGUGUUUUAAUGAAUUAAUUCUAAUAUAAUAUAUAGAAAUUAUUAAAAGAUAAAAUUUACAACUUCAUCAUUUAAAAUUUCAUUAUUUGGAUAUCAAUAAAUUAUUGAAAAUAAUUAGAAAUAAAAAUUAAGUGAUGGUUGUUAAUACCGAAUUUUUAUUACGGAAAUAUUUAUUAGAAUUAAAGAUUAAUAAUAGACAUUUUGAAUUGUUGAAACAUAAGACAAACUGAAUAUCCUACAAAUUAUUUGAGAUAUUAUGUUUAUUGAUCAAUACAUCAAGAAACUACCUAAGUAUGUCUCUGAUCAAUGUGUAUUAUCGAUAAUAUGUUUAUUGAUUAAAUGAUAAAUGUUUAUAGGAGAUGGAACCAAAGUUAUGAGAUGUUGAUAUAUGUGUUGACAGGGGCGGAGCUACAGCCAGGCCUGCCAUGGCCCUGGCCCCCCCCCCCCACUUAAUUAUUAAUCUCUUGUAAUAUAUUAUAAAAUAUAUGAUAUAGCAAUACAAUUACUGCAAUUAGAUUAGUGAUGGCCCUCCUAGUUGAAGAUGAAAAACCUAGUAGAAGUGAUUUUGAAAUUUUGGCCCAUCCAUACUAAGAAUCCUAGCUCCGCCACUGUGUGUUGAGAAUUUUGUUAGAAUAUGCAUGGAUUGAACUAUUAUUGUUUAUCUGGCUUGACAAAUCUCCAUGUCAAUUAUUCUCACUGGUCUUGUAAUAAUCACGGACCCGAGAACUUCUUGGAUCAUGAAAGUAAUGCAUGAAUGCAUCAAGUAAUCUAGAUUGGAAUAGUAAAACAAAAGAAGCACAACUUUUAUUCCCACGGAUAGUCUUAGCUAGGUUACAUAAAUUAAUGCAUGAGCAGCAGCUGCAUGCAAUAUUAUUGAAACCCAAAUCACAACAUAAGGAAAACUUAAGAAAAUGCCACUUUCGCAGGGAACGCGAUUGCAUUUAGCGUAUGCAAUAAGCCUUUUAAACCUAUAGGUGACCCUGAUAGGACGAGUGAAGUCUCGUGAGGGUUUCCAGCGACGCUACCCACAAACAUCAAAUUAACUUAACAGGAUGAUCAUCCUGGAAGUUUUUCGACAGUGAAGGCAGGGGUACUGGUGGGUUUUGCAUUUGCGGCAGCGAGGGCAUCAUCCUCGAAGUCGGUUCCAGAUUUUGGCUCUGUAAGGUUUCCCAAUCGCACGUGGACGAACUGGUAUACGCCGUCGACGUACGGUGCCGGUUUUUGCAAAACAACAGGCUUGAAGAGUGUACAUGACCACAGGUUUUUAUUUGGCUGUUUCUCGUCAGCCUCGGCCACAAUCCACGGACUGUCUUCGCUUGCCGUUCUCAGGUAUUUGUCGCUGUAGGUGGAUUUCAUAUGCACCAGACUGGGUUGGUUUACGUCCUUCUCCGCUUUGAACCUUGCGUAUUUGCUGUGACUUUCCUCUCCGGAGCAUUCGAGCCUAUUUGGCAGCUCUGCGGUGGAUUGGUCUUUGAAGACCACGUAUUUCUGGUUCUUGGCUGAUUUAAGAGCAAAAAACUUUGGUAAGUCUGCCAUUUCUGAUGAUCUCUCUCUCUCUCUCUCUCUCGUUGCUUAUUGCUUUUCCUAGCUACAACCUGCUGUGCUAUUUAUAAUCAAGCAAACCCAAACCAUGCAUGCAGCUUUCACUUAUUUUUCUUGCUGUACUGGCCUGCCAUAACAGAGAAAAUUAUAUCCACAAAAAUCGUGCUGUUAAAGGAACAAAUUAACUUAAUACACCAUCCUACCAAACAAUUUAUUAAAUUACUAAUUUACCCUAAUAUAAAAUAAAUUGUGAAACAAAAGUAAUUUUAGUAAGUACACCCUACUCAAUACACCCUAAUCAAAUUAGAAUUUUAGAGUUUAAUUCCAAACUGAUUUGAGAUAAAAAUUCAAAGUUUUUGUCGGGUGUAAAAUUUUUUUUUUUUCUAUCGCUUCCAUAAUUCCUGACAUCAUCAAACAGCGUGAAAGCAACUUAAAUAUAUUAUUUCAUUUUGAUCGGCAAGGCUGGCCAAGUUUUAUGAACUUUUGGCGGGAAUUGUGGAAAGUCCACCACCCGAGUUUUGUUCUUCGUGUCUGCCUGUUAAUAAGAUAUUUACAUGCAUACUUCACCUUAUAUAUAUUUAAUUCACUGACAUGUGACUGUUUAUAUUUUCCAUUAUAUUUGCAGCAUACAGAAGAACCCUCAAGACAGAUCAUCAUCUUUAAACCUUCUGGUUAGUACUCAUGAAUUUGGUUCAAUGAGUGGGUGAAUCCCUGACGGUUUAGAUUUGAUGAAGGGAAAAGGAGUUGACAGGGACAUAUUUGAUGAAGACAACCAAUUCAUGUAAAAUAGGGUGUACUUAGUAUUAUGGUGUAUCAGGGGUAUUUUGGUAGUUAAGUAGGGUGUACUUAGUUAAUUUUACAUUUUGAUUUAAAUAUUAGAGUGUACUUAUAUCAUAGAGUGUUCUAAGUUAAUUUUAGAAUUCGUUGAACAACACCUCACCAAAAAAAAAAAAAAAAAAAAAAAACUAAAGCGUGCUUCACAUCUUCAAAUAAAACAAAGAUAAGCUUAGUAUUAUCUUCUUUGUUGUAAUGUGAACUUGAUCAUGUAAUUUCUACUACUUAUACUUAUGGGCCAUAGCCAUUUAUCAAUUAUAAUUAUGUCAUUAAUUAGGAUUGAACAACAAAGUUGUUGAGAUGUUUACACACUAUAAUUACAGACGUGUGAUGGACUCAAGAUUCGAAUCUCGUAGGGUCAUAAUAUAAAUGUUCCAAAGAAAAUUUAAGAAUGAGUUACUUUUCUCAUCUAUUUUUUAUAUUCCAAAUUUUAUUUCUUUCUUGGAAAAUAUACUUUGAAUGAUUUCAAUUUGUCAUUUUUUUAUAUAUGUUUUUGAGUGAUUUCAAGUUGUAAAAUUUCAAAGCAAACCUAUGCCAAUUAACCAAAAAACAAAAAAACUACAACCACCUAAUCAACAAAUAAGCAAAAACUUCAUACAUAUAAAUCAUUAAUUUCAUCCAUGCAAUUACAGAUUUGAUUUCCAUUAAAUUAAAAACAGCACACAUCAUCCUUAUUUUGAUUUUAAGAUUUAGAAAUAACUUGAAAUGAGAAAUAUCACAAUAAGAAUAAUAGGAGGUGGUGAUUGGGGAGCUUGGGGUUUGGAUCUGAGAAAAGAAUAACAGCAACUGGGAGAUGGGAAGGGUUUUUGGGAUGGGAUGGUUGGCUGGGUCGGGUGGUCAGUGGAAGGAUACGGAAGGCAUUUUUAUUUUAAAAUUUUCCCAGGGCCAAAACGACGUCGUUUGGCCCAUGGUGUUUAAAAAAAAACAGAGUGCUUCUUCUUCCUGCUGCACGAGGCUUCCUCCCUCUUCCUGUGAGGCAAAACAUCAAACCCUUGGAGGGCAAUUCAAGGGGUCUCACAGCCAGCUCAAGUGGACUUCCAAGCGUACUUCCAUGGUUUCCAUGGGGUCGUUUGACCCCAGUGACCCCAUUGUGGGUCCGUCCAUUGAUAGAUUUAGGAGAGUGGUAUGUAGUUCCAAUUGUUCCUUUCACACAGACACAUCUUCAUUAUUUUACUGGGAAAACCAUUUCUCUUAAGCAAAAUCUGUCGAUUAUGGGUUUGACAGUUGCGGACGAUUAUUUUUAAUUUCGACCUUCUACAAACAAAUAAAUCAAGGAAAAAAAAGAAGAACAGAAUAUUAAUUCAUAUAUUUCAAUUUCUUGUGUGAAGCUUUUAAAUUCAUUUCAACAUAAUAUCAAUAAGAUUAAGUUCGAUUUCCUUGAGCAUCAUCACUGAUCUGAUGGCAUUAGAUAAGUCUUUGAAUUACUGAACGUGAUUGAUUGAUUGGCAAGUAUCCUUAAUACAAGAAUAAAGCUUGAAAGAUAGAUUCAUCCACAGCUUGAAAGAACAAAGUUCGAUUUUCUUGAAAGAAUAAAGCUUGAAAGAUAGCUUCAUCCAUGGCUUGAAAGAUAGCUUCAUACAUAGCCUGAAAGAAUAAAGUAAGAAUAAAGUUCGAUUUCCUUGAAAGAAUAAAGCUUGAAAGAUAGCUUCAUCCACAACUUGAAAGAAUAAAGUUCAAUUUCCUUGAGCAUCAUCACAGAUCUGCUGUAGUGCAUGAUGAGAUUCUUUAAAAAAUAACUUCAUCCACAGCUUGAAAGAUAAAGAAUAAAGCCUUCUUGUCUUUGUUCCAGUCUCCUUCAGCUCAGCUCAGUGAGUUGUUGUUGAGUGAUGAGGUGUAAUAUUAAUAACUGACACAAAUUAAUUUGCUAAUCAUCCAAUUACAAAUACCUGCAAGUGUACAAAUUUAUUGGGGUAUAGAUUUGUAAGUACGGGGUUGAUCCCAUGAGGAACUGCCGGCUUAUACAAAGUUAUAAUUUGAGCACGUAAAGAAUAUUUAUUUAACACAACACAAAAGUAAGAACAAAUUGGAAAUUAUGAAUGAGUAAAGAAAAGUAAGAGAAAUGAAACAAAACUAGAAACCCAAAAUAAACACAAUCAGGAAUGUCUAUCACCAUUUUAUCACCUCACCACGGUAUCGCCUGUUUAUCACCUAAUGGACAGUGGGUCGUUUUGAAGUAGACUGAGAAUUCCCCUGUUUUCAGCUUCGACCUCUGUUCAAUUUUUACUUAUAACUUUCCAACUGUUUAUCCAAAGGUAACACCCCCGACCCAAUUUAAUUGUUUUAUUCAAUUUAUCUAUUUGUGAAAUUACAAUUUUGCCCUUAGGGGUAAGAACACUUUGGUCACUUUUUGAUCCUACAGGAUUUUAGGGAAUUGAGUGGCACUGUUGCUUAGGGCUCGCUCUUAUGAUUGCGUAGACAGGCGGCACGCAAAAUUCUGAGUUAUAAUGAACAUGUAAAGGUCUAGAAACCAAAAGGACGAAAUAUUAAAUUUUAAAUUUGUUACUAUAUAUAGCUAUAAUGCCCCUUUAGUGCUAUAGUGCCGGCCUCUCUUAUUUCUCUUAUUCUCCCUCGCGAUAUAACCAGAUUUUCUGGGUUUUUUUCAUCCCCUCCUGACGCGAAAGUAGCGCCACCACUUCUGUCUUUUUUUUUUCCGCCGCCGUCUUGUCCUGGUUGCCAUUGCAACCUUCACGAAAAAGGGUUAAGUUUUUCCGGCAGUGUUCUUGCAUUUUCAGGCUAUUUCGGCGAUGGUUUUUGUCGAGUGAGGUAUGAAACUUCAUCUACUCUUCGUGCUUUAUCCGGUUAUGUAGGUAUUAUAGAUCAAUUUUGAGGUUUUAUAGUUCGUUCAAUAUACCCAUUUUUUGUCGACGUUUUCAGCUCCAUCCCGGCUAGUUAUGGCUAGUUUUUGGCCAUGGUCCGAGAAUAAAAGUCACUCCCCUUGUUAGUCUGAACGUAUUGCUAUAGGUAUUGUAGGGUGUUAUUGUUAACGUAUGCAUUUUGAGUUUUUUCUUUUAGCUUCCAUUGAUAAUUUUGUAAUAGGAUAAUCAUUGUAGUUUUCCAAGCUCUAAGUUUAGAUUAAGAAUUACUUCUCUAGGUGUUCUUAUCUACCUAUAUUCUGAUGGAAAACAAUGCGUUUGGCAAAGGUAAAUUUUGCAUUACACUACAUUGCAUUCACUAAUUUAUGAAGAUUAUGACUCACUACAAGGAAAAACCCUUUUGGCGACCACCACUUUUCGUCGCUAAAAGGUCAAAUUUCGUCUCCAAAACAAUUUGGCGACCAAAUUAUUUCGUCGCUAAGGUCGUCGCCUUAGCCUCGUGGCUAAAAGUACCAGGCGACCAAAGCUAAUUUUCGUCGCCAAAUUAUUUAAGCGACCAAAUAGUUUCGUCGCCUAAUAGACUUCAUUUGGUCGCCUAUGAAGGUAGCCUCCCACCAAAAGACCGAAAAUUAGCGCGUACUUAAAAGGGAUUGGGCGACCAAAUGUAAUGUUCGUUGCCAAUAGGUCUAAGAGAUUUCGUCGCUGAAGCUACUUCUUUCGUCUCUAAAAUGUGUUUUUUUAUUUUUAUUUUUUUGUCAAUUAAAAAGAAUGGAGAGUUUCUCAAAAACAAUAAAUAAACAUAUUGUAAUUUCAGAAAACAACAAAUUUAGGAAAGCAAAAUCAAUUGAAAAUGAUAUAAAUAAAGUUGUAAACAUUCUGAGGCACACAAGCAUACUAGUCAUUUAAGUACACAUAAAUUUCGUACCCUAUAUCCAAAAACUAGAAGCAUAAAUGAAUGAAGAACACUCAAAGACUAGAGUCCAGGUUCACCAAAAAAUAAAAAUAAAAACUAGAGACCAGGCUCCGAAUUUUCUUUCCCUUUGUAACCCCAAGUUAUGCACUCAUUUUCUCCACAUGAAGACUAGAGACCAAGCUUGUGGGAUAUGUACCGUGACAUGAACUCAUACUCUACCAAUUGUUGCUUCAGCUUCUCAAACUCAUUCAUCAUCUGCCUCUACAAAAGAAACAAAAUAAAGCAAUGUCAAAUAUGUAUAUACAGAGUAACACAAAAGACAAAUUGGUAUUAAUGUGGUACAUCUUUGAUCUGCUCUAUCACUUUCCUUUUAUUGCUAUAUAUGCAGAUACACAAAAGCACAAACAAGCCCAAUUUAAAAUCUCCUACUUACGUAUCAAGAAAAAACAAACUUAAACCCAAAGCAGACUAAUUUUCUUAUAAAAAUAGAGUGCAUUGUUUUUCAUCUCAAUUUCAUUUGCAACUUAUAACUCACAUGGUAUCCAAAAUUUCAGGCAGUGCAUGACAACUCAAUCAAGUUAACUUCAGAAAAAUGAGAGAACAAUAUAUAAUCAAUGAAAGAAUUAUUGACAGAGGCUGAUCAAGGAGUUUCUUAGGGAAAUUUCAAGUCGAAUGCAAAUAGCUGGAAGAAAAAGAAAUCAGGCAAUGAAAUUGGAAAAUUAAUUCAUGUCAGCUAAUCUGAAGACUGUAGCAUAUGGAGAAUAUAAGAUAUCGUCAUAUAUAGGAAUAUAAUUCAUCAAAAGCAAGCACUUGGUAAACUAGGAUAAGUAUCACAGAAGUAAUGAAUGUACCCUUGCUUUUCUUUUAGCCAUUUGUCAAUGCAUUCCAUAUGAAAUUCAUCACAACACAGGAGAACUCUUAUUUUAUCUCCUCCAUCAUACUCAGCCAAGCAAAUUAACACAUGCUCAUAGGAUCAACAUCAGAAAAACUCUCUUGAACAACAACAGACUUAAUUAGAAUUAAAACAUUGCUACAUAAAAAAAUAUUUUUAAAAUGGGGAUACAAUAUGUAUAGAUACUUUCAAGUUUGAACCAGUAAAUCCUCAAUCUAUGAGUCAAAAUAAAUCAUGUUGAAUGAGGACUGAAGUUGUAUAAAAAGGUAAUUUGAGGUUGGAAUGAACACUGAGAAAUGAUGUUGCUGAGCUACUCUACCUUUCAGUUGUUUUUCCAUUUUAUUUGAGUUAAACUAAUUUGGUCCCUGAAUUAGAUAUUUAUUUGGACCACUGAAUAAGUUCAAAUUAAACUUUUAAUAGAUAUGGCCCCAAAUUAGGGCCCAAUCCAGAACACAGUUUGUUCAUGGAGCUGGCCUUAGUAUAGAUAUUCAACACAGACUAGUCAACUAGAGACACCACAGAGGUAUGCAAUACAAUUUACUUGCAUUCAAUUUCUACACAAAACUAACCUUUUAGAUUGAUAUAGCCAUUCAUUGCAAACUGAAAUUUCAUAGCCAUGAGAAUACAAAUAGAUAGUAGCAAACAGUUUCAUGUGGAUAAUGAUAACAAUAUUUUGAAGCAAAUAUACCUCUUAACCAAAAAGCAAGAUUUUUAGCUAUCCAUACCUCUUGACAGAAUAUAGCCUCUUAAGCAAGUAUUUCAAACUGAAACCUAAAGCAAAACAUAAAACAAACUCUGUUAGACACCAUAAAAUUUAAAAAAACAGCAGAAAUAGUACAAAACAGUUAAUUUUCGUAAUCUAUGCCAAUACCAUGGCCUGCUGCUAACCAAAUCCCUAAGAAGACCCAUCAGUUUCUCAUAAUCCUGGAGACUCAAAAUUAACCAAAAACUUCUCCAAGAAUGUUACUUAACGAACAUACUCUUCUAAAAUUGCUGACUAGCAAAGAAAUCCUCUCAUUUAAGUUAAUUGAGAAAACAAAAAGGAUCCCACUAGAGAACAAGCAAUGUACAUAUGAUUUUCAAGUGUAGAACACUAUAAUCAUUUAAAAAGUACCAAAAAAAUUGAAGCAGCUAGAUAAUUGAUUUUACAAAAGAAAAACAUAGCAAAAGACUUAAUUUUGGGAGAGGUUGAGACCAAAUUAGUCUCCAGACUCAAAAUAGUCUAAACCUCUGCCCUUAAUUUCAAUGAACAUCACAAUCGAAAACAUAAAAACAUAACACUAUAAAAACAAGAUUAUUUUUUUGCUUAUUAAUCCAAACCAUCAUAAUGAAAGCAAUCAUAAAAGGGGCAAAUAUCCAAGGUAAAGCCCCAACAUAAAACCACAUAGCCUUACAUCUUCUGUCAAAAUUAGUAGCAUAUAUUCAGCUUUCAACAUAAUGCCAAGCAACAGACUCAAGGUUAGACAUGAAGGAAUAAGCACAUAUUACUUAUCAACUUUCUAUAUAGAAUCAACAUGUGUAGUAUCAAGAACAAAACUUUAAGAAGACAAGGAGUUUCCCUCUUUUCGGCAAGGCCAAUUCCCAUAUUUUAUCAUGCAUUCACAGAAGUAGCAUAUUUUCCUGAUUCUGAAACAGAAAUCUCACCGUCAUUUUUUAACAAACAAUGAAUUUCUCAUGUGUGUGAGAGAGAUAACAGAAUCAGGGUUCAUUUGUAAGUGCCAGAUCAAAAUAUGGCAAACCCAAAACUCAAAACUAAAAAAUUCAAAGAAACUGGCAUUCAUACCUAAAGAGAGGCAAUAGAAGAGGGAAAUGGCUGAGGAGAUUCUAGAGAUUCAAGAAAAUUAGGGUCAGAGAGAUGGUGUCCAUACCUGAAGAGAGGCAGCAGAAGAAGCAAGUGGCUGAGGAGAUUCUAGAAAAUUAGGGGCAGAGAGAGGGGGGAAAUAAGUAACUCAUGCCAAGAGAAAUCAUAGGGGAAGAGAGUUUCUAUAUGACUAGUCGUCGUCGGUGGACAAUUGUUCUGCCGACGCCGGAGUAACGGUGGUGUGCGCGAUGCUGAGAGGAGGUAUAGAGAAGUGAAUUGGGCAGAGAGAGGAGGGUUCGGAAAGGAGAUUUUUUUUAUUUUUAAUUUAAGUCUCCAGAAUCAGCCACAAAAACGUUUGGUGGCCAAACAGCAAGGUCAGUAAAAAUGACGUAGUUUUUAAUAGGCCUGGGCACGGUUCGGGUCGGGUCAAAUUUUGGCCGACCCGCGAGCCAAACCGAAGGAGAGCUCGGUUCUCGGGUCGGGUCGGGUCUAGGAUGAAACCCGAAAAUGAGCCGAACCGAAAAUGGGCUCGGGUCUCGGGUCGGUUCUGGCUUCUUCUCGGUUUGGGCUUGGGCCCAUUUUUUCAAUUUUCCAAAAGCCCAAAUCUUAUUUAUUUUCGGCCAAAAAAAGCCCAAAUCAUAUUUUUUUUAGUAAAACAAAGCCCAAAUCCGAUUUCCUUUCAGCCAAAACCCUUUUUUUUGUUGUCAAAUUGCCAAAACCUAUUAAAUUCUUAUGAACAAGCCCAAAACACUUUUUACUUCUCUUUCAAAACCUGAAAUUAUGUAAAUUCAAGCUAUAAAAAUCCAUCAUUCCAAUCUAAGUUUCUAAACUAAAUAAAUCUCACAUACACACAUUCAAUUCAACCAACCAACCAAGGAAAGGAAAUAUAAUCUCUUACAAACCAUUACAAAAAAUAAUACACAAACCAAAUUAAACUUAUGACAUUAAAGAUUACAACCCAUCACAAAAAUACACAUAGAGAUAAUAUCCUUGCAAAAAAUCUGCUGCAUCCAUUCUUCCAAAAGCCUUCACAAAGCAACCUACACAACACUUAAAAGAAUUAACACAAAGUUUCACCAUCAACAAAUCAUAAUUAAAAUAAGAUGCAAUAAAAAUACCUUCCAACAUAUCUUAAUCACACUAAGAAGGGAGAGUCUUAUGCAAAUUUGUCAUGGAUGUUUUACUCCCCAUUUCUACAAAAUAUAAUAAAAUAAAUCAAACCAAUUUGAGUUAGAACACAUAAAAAUAAGAAAAAAAACACAUUUAAACUGUCAAAACAGAUUUUCCUAUGCAUACAACUCCCUAAACAUAUAUCCUAUCCAAAAAUCAGAUUACAAAAACAGAUUACAAACACAGAUUGCAAACACAGAUUUAAAUAGAUUACAAACACAGAUUUAAACAAAAACAUAUUACAAACACAGAUUUAAACAAAAACAGAUUAUAAAAACAGAUUACAAAAACAGAUUACAAAAACAGAUUAUAAAAACAGAUUACAAAAACAGAUUACAAAAACAGAUUACAAACACAGAUUGCAAACACAGAUUUAAACAGAUUACAAACACAGAUUUAUACAGAUUACAUAAACAGAUUUAAACAUAUUACAAAAACAGAUUUAUACAGAUUACAGAAACAGAUUUAAAGAGAUUAGCAGCAGCAACGAAUAUUUACCUCCAUUUAAGCAAAAUUUUCCAAACUUUCAAAGCUCAGAAUACCAGCAGCAGCAGCAUGAGGCAGCAGGCGGCAGCAGGCGGCAGCAGCAGCAGCAGCAGCAGGCAGCAGGCAGCAGCAGCAGCAGUGACGCUAAACAACUGUGAAUGAAAUCAAAAAAAGGGCUAGGUUACAAACAAGCUUCAUUUGUUCCAUAAACAAGCUUCACUCAAAACAGCAACAGCAAAGAUAGAUAUACAUUACAAAAAGUAAAUCAUAUGGGGACACAAAUGAAAGACUGAAAUGAACUUAAGUGCAAUAAAAUAGGGUCCAACAGAAAAGUAUGAAUCAAAAGAGAGCAGCAUAGAAAAGCAUAAACGAAAUCAAACAAGAAUGUUCCAUCCACAUAUCAUAUUGGCCACCACAGUUUUUGCAUCACAUGUAGCAAUCAUCAUUGAGCAUAUGAUUUUCAAGAAAAAGAAAGAUGAAACUGUAGCAAGGAAAGAAAUGAAAUUAUUUUCGAGUUAUCAAUUUUAGAAUAGUUGCAAGUUCAAGGAAAAAAAAAUUUGGUUCAGUUCUAAGACAAUGCAGGAAAAGAAAGAAACUACAAGCUUGGACUAUCAGAAACUUUAUUCUUUUGAACCUUAAAAACUGAAAAUUAGUCAGCGAGAACUAAUAAAUCUAUUCGGCAUGGUUGAAAUGAGCUUCACUUUCUAGAAAUUAAAUAUUUUUAAAUCUUGGAUUUUCCAGGCAACCAAGCAGAAUUCAAUCCUUCACUUUGAAUAGAAUAGACUCUCAAAUUCCUGAUUUCAAACAACACUACAUCUUUCUAUAAACUGAACUAAGUCAACUGGCUGACUAAGAACUUCAAAUCUUUAACACAACUACAGAAAGCGCCGAAACCAGUGGCCCUCUGAAAAUUGUGAAAGAAUAAAACAUACUCAUAUCAAAGAAAAGCCACAAAAAUUGCUUGCACAUUAAAUACCAAAAAUCCAUACAUCGAAAGUAAAGCCAUGUGGAGCUGAUGAUAUAAAAAUAUGUAAUUCUAAUGCACACAUUCAAUUUUAAGCCACAAAUAGAGAUUGAGACAGAAAUAUUUAUACCUUCAAUUUUGCCUAUUAAUCCAAACCCACAGAGACUAAGCACAACUACUGCAAAAUUAAGAACAAAUUGUGUUAAUUACAACAGAAUACCAAAAUUUCAAAACCCUAAUAAUCUACUAAAUUAGGGAAAAUGAAAACAACUAAGAAUUCAAACCAAAUACAUACAAAUUACCUUAGAAUGAACCAGAGCCCUCCAGAAUUUACAAGGAUUCGCUCCAAAAACCAAUAAAAUUGGAUGAUGUUUGGUUCGGUUUGGAGAAAGAGAAUGAGUCUCGCGCGACUCUAAGAGACUUAAAGAUGUGAAGAGUGAGAGAGAGCCAAGGGACGAGUCGAGAGAGAGACAGAGAGCCAAGGGACGGCGGCCGAUGAGGUGAGGGUUAGUCUCAGAUCAGAUCGGGAGAGAAAUAGUAGGGUUGAGUUUCGUGAGUUUCGUGAGUUUCGUGAGUGAGAGAGAGAGAGAAAGAGACGGCCGAGUGAGUAAGAGAGAGUCUGAGAGGGUUAUUGAAAAAAUAAUAAACAAAUAAUUGAGAGAGGUUCUAAUAUAGUGCAAGCAGACCCACCCAAAGUUCUUAUUUAAGCCAAUGAGACAACGCCAUGUGUCAAAUGCAUAUAUAAUUAAAUAAUGGUCGGUUCGGUUCAGGUCCACCGGUUCAAAAAAUUUUAGACCCGAAGGCUGAACCGAAGUCAACGGUUCGGUUCAGGUCCAGCGUUGACUUUUUCGGUUUGGUCAAAAAAACCUUAUUUUUCGGUUUGGUUUGGUUUGGUUCGGUCGGUUUGAUCGGUUUAUCGGUUUUUAUGCCCACCCCUAGUUUUUAAAAUUUCAAUUCGUAAAACCUCUUAUUGGCGACGAAAAUAUAUUAGUCGCAAACCUCAUGAAAUAUUUAGGCGCGAGUUUUCUUUUCGAGACCAUUCUGGCAAAUUUGGCAACCAAUCAUUUUCGUUGCCCCUAAUUUUUCAUUUUUCUGUGCGCACCAUUUCAAAAAAUGGCGACCAAACACAUGUUUGGUCGCCAAAUUGUCAGCUGGCCACAAAAAAUUUCGGUUGCCUUUGAAUAAUAGUUGGUCGCCAUUCCGUUCGCUGAAGUCUUAUAGUUAACGAAACCUUUGGCGACCAAAUUGCAUAAUUUUGUCGCCCAUAAGCUUCUUUUGGCGACCAAAAUUUGGUUGGUCGCAGGGAAUUUGGUCGCGAAAAAGUUUUUUCUUGUAGUGACUAGUCAUCUUGCAUUCGUAUGACUAGUCAACCUUUGUUUCAAUUAGGAUUUCCAGCUCACUGUUUCUAGCUGGAGUUUAACCAUUUUUUUGUCAUUUUCUUUGAAUUUCUCAGCUACCAUGUGUCUAUUCUCACCUAGGAAUUUUUGGUAAAAGCCAAAGAAUUCCUCAUUUGGCAGCUAUCACUUUUGUAGGCAAGUUUUGGAAAAUUUUUCUGUAAACUUUCUCUUCUUCCUCAAGUGUAACCUUCAUAUUUUUCAUCUUUGAAUUUUCCAAAAUGUUUCUUUUUGAAAACUACAUUUGAAAUAUGAAAACCUCAUUUUGCUAGAUCAAACACUCUCUCAUAUAUAUCUAGGUCAGAUUCAAGAUUGAUUUCUUCAAGAGUAUGGUUUCUUGAAGAAAUUGGUCAUUCUCCUUUGAAUCUAAAUUUUGGUUUCUGUCUGAGUUGGAGCUUGCAAGCUGGUGCCAUGGGAUGAAUGAGCUGGAGAAGGAGCUGCCAUUGCCAUGAAGAACUGAGCUUCAAGCUUUGCUAAGUUGGAGAAGAAGAUUGCACAAAGGAGGCAUAGCUCAUCUUCCUAAAUAGAUCUAGGUUUUUCUUGAGCUUGCUUGUGUUCCUUUGUAAGAAUCUUUCCCCAGUUUUCCCAAUGGUGGGUUUCUGGGUGAACAAUUUUUGAUUGCAUCUCUGUAAUUUUUCUGUGUUUCUGUUCUUGGUGGUUGACUAGUCAUCGUAUGAAUUCUGGGUUUGUGUUCUUGAUGGUUGACUAGUCAUCAUAUGAAUUGUGGUUGACUAGUCAUCGUAUGAAUUCCGAGUUUGUGUUCUUAGUGGUUGACUAGUCAUUGUAUGAAUUCUGGGUUUGUGUCCUUAUAGUUGACUAGUCAUCAUUAUCUGCUAUUUGGUGUUUACUUGAUUAUGAUGAUUUCACACAUUUUCACCAUAGUUAUUGCUAGCACAGGGGAUGCCUAGAUUGACGGGUCCUUAUGAGUGCCUAGGUUGUCACUAGUAAUCUUCUAGGGUUGCAGGUACAUUGUGGCAUGCUCUGUGUGUGUUCUUGAUUGUGGUUGUUCAUGCCUAGCAGUUGACUAGUCAUAAGUGUACUUGGUCAAGGUCUAAAGUGUGUGAAGAUUGUUGCGUUUUGUUUAAGUGUCGAAAAAGUUACCCCUUGUCACCUAAGUACCAAUUUCAAUUGGUAUUAGAGCACCAGCUCUUAACAAUUGGUAUUAGGUGUGCAAACAUAAAAAUGGAUCAAAUUGCUCCUUGCAUUCAUGAUGAGCUUGCCUUGUUUGUUAAGAAUUAUAGAAGGGUUGUCAAAGAUAAAACCAAAGUCACUAGGAAUUGUCAGAAUCUUCCUAGUUCGUCUACAUGUGUGUCUCAAGACAAUGUUUUUAAGAGAAUGAAUUUUUUGGACACUUAUGGCUUUAGGGAGAACAAAAGUUUGAAGGGUCUUGUAAAGUGCUAUCUAUGUAGUGGUGCUGGUCACAUUGAUGUGGAAUGUGCAAAUAACGACAUGACAGAGUCUAGAGAAGAGUCAAUUAGUGCACAAUGGAGUGAUAAUGAUAGUAACGAUUCCAAUAACUAUCUCACUUCAUCUUAUGAAGACGCAAAUAAUUUUGCCCUUGUUGGUUCUGUUCAUAACUCUAGCCUUGCUAGAGUUCAUGUAGUUAAGGAAGGAAAAUCUGAUUCAGGAAAUGAAUAUGUGUCUAGAGAUGAUAGGCAGGAUAACCAGUCAUACAGGGAACAUGAUGACCAGUCAUACAAGGAACAAGAUGACCAGUCAUACUUGGGUAUGUGUGAAAAGUAUGAUGUCAUUUUUACUGAAACUUUCAAGCUUAAGGAAAGAAAUCUCUUACUUGAAGGGAAGGUAAAGAACCUGGAAAUUCUUAAUUGCACUUUGAAAGAAGCAAAUAAUGAAUUGAGUGAAAAUGUUGAACCUUGGAGAGUGAAAGGGAUUCAUUGAUUGCCAUUAAAAAUGACAUUUCAAACCAAGUGAAUGUGCUCAAGGAAAACAACUUGAUUUUCCAAGCCUCCAACAAGAAUUUGUUAACUCAGAUAAAUGAGGCAAAUGACAUGGUGAUCAAGCUUACCAUAGGGGCUAAAAAAGUGGAUAAAAUGUUGAAUAUGGGUAAGGUUCAUGAAGACAAAACUGGUUUUGGUUAUGGUUGUUUUAGUUUAUGUGUUCCUCCUCCUUUGACCACAUUUGUCAAGGAGUCAAAUACAAAGUUUGAUGUUUUAGAGCCAACUAGGACUCAAAGAUUCAUUCCUACUUGUCACCAUUGUGGUGUGAAAGGUCACAUUCGACCUAGGUGUAAUGCUCUAAGGAAUGUGUCUAGAGCAACCAAUGCAAAUGGCUUUAAGAACCAUGUUUCAUCUCUUAAAACAUGUGAGCUUGCAAAAUCUGUUCUUUGUAAAAGGAAUAAACAUUCUUCACUUGCAAAAUUUGGUUUCCCAAAACCAAAAAGGUUCAUUCCUACUUGCCAUCAUUGUGGCACAUUACUACACAUAAGACCAAAGUGUUUUGAGCUUAGGAAUUUUGAGAAAAAGUCUUUUGUUCAUUUCAAGAAAGUAAAUGAUGACUCACUUCAAACUCAAGUGAAUGAUCUUCUUUAUAAAGUUGUCAAAAUUCCUAAGUUGAUCUCUUUACCUCAUAAAGUUUCAAAAGUGAAGCAAGUUUGGGUCAAGAAGGAAGACCAUGUUCUUCUUCAUAUUAGUUACUAGUUUAUUCGUGUUAUGUAUCUAGACCAUUCUCUUGUUUAUGUGUGCUUCGUGGAGUCUAGAUACAUUGUCAUGUAUGUGCAUUUUACUUGUUAUUUUCUUUAUUUUGGUCUCACAAUUUCACCUUGUGCACAUCAUUCAUCUCUCACAGUACUUUGGAUAUCAUAUUCCUUCAAACUUCAUGAUGUGUGAAAUCUUGUAGAUGUUUGACUAAUUGACUUAAGGUAUUUUCUUACAUAAGAGAUCUUGGUGAAAAUAAUGUCUUGAAAUUUGUGCAUAUUAAGAAGCAACUAGCUGUUUUUAACUCUCAACUGCUAGAUACUUGAAGGUAUUGAUUUCCUUCAAAGAUCUAUUAGGUUGUCCAAAAUGGAUUAACUUGUGUUUUCAAUUUCAUGUGCUUACAAUCUGAAUUUCCAUUUUGUUUGUGUUAAAAAAAAAAAAUUUGCAUGUAAGCUCUCUUCUCUCAAAAUGCAUGAUUCUUAUGAGUGGGAGUCUUUUCAUGAUGUUGUAGGUGUGAAAGAGUUUUCCCCAUUCUUGUCUAUAAUUUUGAGCUUUUUUGUUGAAUAUACUUGUGUUGCAUGAUAUGCUUUGAGCUAUCUAUAAAGUGUCUAAGAUCACUUCUAGUUGUCUUUCUACCUUGAUCUUUUGAUCCAUUUGGAAAUCAAAAUGCAAAUAAAUUGUUGGAGUAAAAGCCUUGGAAAAGCAUUGUCCACAAAUAUAGAAAAAGCAUUUUCGGACAAGCAAGUGUGCUAUACUUAUUUUUUUAAAAGGUAAAAGCGCUUGGAAGAGCAUUGUACACCAACAAAUAGAAAAGCAAAAUUGUACAAGCAAGUGUGUGCUAUGCCUUUCUAAAAUAUUGAUAAAUGUCAACUUUUGGAUCACAUUUCUUGGUAGGGUUUAUGCCUUGAUUUCUAGAACUUAUAUUAGAUUUGAUGCUUGGAAAGUCUCAUGCAACUCUUGGAAAUCAUUACUGAAGCUCAUAUUGAAUUAGACCUCCUUUUUCCCAAACUCCUACUCUAUGCUUGAUGAGAGGUUCUAACUUAUGUAUCUCAUUGAUUUUGGGAAUUGAGUGCUUACAUUGCUUUGGCAUGUUAUUCUUUGUAGUUCAACUAUUUCCCACUUGUGUUUUUCCAAAUAACCUAAGCACAUGUUAUGGAGAUGCAUGUUGUUCUAUUGCAUGACGUUUUUCUAAUCCAAAUUAUAGUUGCUUCCAUCUCAAUAUGGCUUAUUAUGCUUUGAUAUCUCUUUGUAUGCUAUGCUUUGGGUCAAUGUGUUUCAUGCUAGCUUUCUGGAAAUCAUUUCUGCCUCGCAUGACUAGUCAUCCAAUCUAGCAUUCUUUGUGUCUCACUGAUUCAUUAUUGGUUGCAUUUUUGUUGUGUUAUUUGUUGUGCUUAAGGGGACUCUACACUUUAUGCAUUCGAGCACUUUUCUUUUGAUGUGGUUUGGACUGUUUUGAGUCUUAUUGUAUGCAUUUGUGACCAUACUUUGGAGUCAUUGACUACUUGGUAGUCUUUCUUGUAUCUCUUUGGCUAUGAUAAUCCGUACUUUGCUUUAGCAAAGCUUCUUCAUUGACAUGUCAUGGGUUUGGUCACACAAUUGAGAAUUCUGUGAGUUUUCUUGUUUAAGUAAUGUUGGUGUUUGUUUUCUGCGCCCAUAUGACUAGUCAUAUAUACUAGUCAUUGGUCACUGGUAUCGGUUUGGUCUUAAUGUAUUUAAUCCUUCUUGGAUUUGACCCAUGUUACCAUAUGUGACAUGGUUGUCUUUAUUGUGGUUUCCUUAAGUCACUUUUGAGUAGACUUCUAUUGAUGUUGUUGCUUUACGCAACUCGAAUGAUGAUUGUCUUGGCUGCAAUCUCCUGUUUUGAAUUUAUAGGUCUAUUGCACUUUGUGAUUUUUCCAUUAAAGGGAGCUUGUUAAUUUAGUUGUCCUUGGAACACUUUGUUAUGUAGUGAACUGCUUACUUCUUGUUAGGAUUGAUCUCGGUUAUGGAUUUCCUUUAUUAUUUAGAGCUUUAGUUCUCAGCACUUAGACUUUGGCUAUAGGAGGAAAAUGCAUUGUUGUUUUGAAGAGGAGUGGCUUAUGCAUUAUCCUAGCUUACUUUAGAUUUGCGUGGGUGUGAUUGUUGUUUUUCCUUAGUGACAUGCAUUCUUUGGUUAUUUUCACAUCUUUCUUUGUGUCAAAUGUUUUGUACCUUAUUUUCAUCUUGGAAUGUCUUCUUUAUUAUGUGCAUUGCUUGUCCAAAAUAGUAUCAUUUUGGUCUGCUACAUAACGAGUCAUCUUGAUAAGUUGUCUUAUCUUUUUGAAUUUUCUUGUUGUUGUCAUUAGUGGCCUUCACUAGCUUGAUCCUUGUGCUGAUAACGACAUGAAAAUAUAUACUCCAGUCACACAACACAUAGAUGUUCCCACAUUUCAAACUUAGCCUAACAUGAUCCUUGUAAAUCCUUACAAGUUUGCUGUGCUAUAUGAGUUUUGGAUUGUUGGCUAAUUUAUUUUGUUGGGGGAGUUUCUUUGAGAUGCAUGUGUUUGGCAACAUUCUUGCUUAUUGUUUUUAUCAUUUUCAUACAUCAAUGUUGCCAUCCUAAGCCCUAUCUCGAUUGAUUUGCUCUCUUUUGUUCUUUGCUGUGUCUAUGAGGUUAUUGCUCUUUUGAUGCCACCUCAAAUUUAGACAUGCGUGACUAGUCCAUUUCACUAGUCCACUCGCUUCUUCUUGUGCUUUUUGGAAAGCUAUGUUGUGUUUUUUGGACAGCCUAGAGACUUAUUUCUUGAGUUCUUUCUCACAUGUCUUCAAUUUUGAGCAAAAAUUUAGGUUUCAUCUUGCUUGGUGCUUUCUUCAAAUUAACAAUGAUUGAUGCCUUAAUUUUUGAAAUCUUAGUGCUCUGUCUUGAUUUUGCACUAUGGUGUGUAAAAAAAAAUUCAUUGGUUGUCCCUUAUUUUGAUAAAUAUAUUGCUUAAACUCUGUCUUUUUAGGGGAGUUUCUUUAUGUGUAAUGUGUACACAUUGAAAUUAAAUUCAGCCACUUGAUUUUAAUUGCUUUAGGUAUGAUUCCUUGCAACUUGUGCUCCAUUUCUUAUUCUUUUUAGUCUGAUGCACUUUUGUGUUUGUUGGCUAUUUAUGGACAGUUUGUUGGAUUAGUACAUCAAAGGUUAAUUCCUUUAUGUUAUAUGAUACUCAGGGGGAGCAUUUUUGGACAGGUUGGGUGGUAUAUUUUUGUAAUCUCAUUGUGGGGAUCUCUUUACUUGGGUAGUCUGUGCAACUUGAUAGGGGGAGUUGUCUUGUAUUGUUUUGAACAAAUGUUGUUUUGCUUUGUAAUCAAACCGUGUCAUGUGCAUAUUGUUCAAAUAUGAUUAUGUGACUUGUGUUUAAUUCACUCGAUUACUGUUUCUCAAUAUUUGCCUUUUUGUUCUUUCCUUAUCAACAAGGGGGAGAACACUCUCAAUCCCAUAUUGCAUAUAUUGCAUAUUGCUUCAAAUUUCUGUGAUAUAAUAUGCUUGUCUUGUGCCUGGGAGUUUGGUUGUUGUUUUGCAGGUACUUUAUUUCAUCAUCUCCAUAGGUUUGGUUUUGGGUUGAGUGUAUUUAGAGAGUGUGUUGUCAAGGAAAGCCAAAAAGGGGGAGAUUGUUAAUGUAUGCAUUUUGAGUUUUUUCUUUUGGCUUCCCUUGACAAUUUUGUAAUAGGAUAAUCAUUGUAGUUUCCCAAGCUCCAAGUUUAGAUUAAGAAUUACUUCUCUAGGUGUUCUUAUCUGCUUGCAUUCUGAUGGAAAACAGUGCGUUUGACAAAGGUAAAUUCUACAUUACACUACAUUGCAUUCACUAAUUUCUGAAGAUUAUGACUAGUCAUUUUUCCUUUGUAUGACUAGUCAUCUUGCAUUCGUAUGACAAGUCAUCUUUCCUUCGUAUGACUAGUCAACCUUUGUUUCAAUUACGAUUUCCAGCUCACUGUUUCCAGCUGGGGUUUAACCAUUUUUUUGUCCUUUUCUAUGAAUUUCUCAGCUGCCAUGUGUCUAUUCUGACCUAGGAAUUUUUGAUAAAAGCCAAAGAAUUCCUCACUUGGAAGCCGUCACUUUUGUAGGCAAGUUUUGGAAAGUUUCUCUGUAAAUUUUCUCUUAUUCCUCAAGUGUAACCUUCAUAUUUUUCAUCUUUGAGUUUUCCAAAAUGUUUCUUUUUGAAAACUGCAUUUGAAAUAUGAAAACCUCAUCUUGCUAGAUCAAACACUCUCUCAUAUAUAUCUAGGUCAAAUUCAAGAUUGAUUUCUUCAAGAGUAUGAUUUCUUGAAGAAAUUGGUCAUUCUCCUUUGAAUCUAAAUUUUGGUUUUUGUCUGAGUUGGAGCUUGCAAGCUGGUGCUGUGGGAUGAAUGAGCUGGAGAAGGAGCUGCCAUUGCCAUAAAGAACUGAGCUUCAAGCUUUGCUAAGUUGGAGAAGAAGAUUGCACAAAGGAGGUAUAGCUCAUCUUCCUAAAUAGAUCUAGGUUUUUCUUGAGCUUGCUUGUGUUUCUUUGUAAGAAUCUUUUUCUACUUAGUGGAUUGCCUGGUCGGUUGAUGACCCCCAGUUUUUCCCAAUUGUGGGUUUCUAGGUGAACAAUUUCUGAUUGCGUCUCUAUAAUUUUUCUGGGUUUGUGUUCUUGGUGGUUGACUAGUCAUCGAAUGAAUUGUGGUUGACUAGUCAUCGUAUGAAUUCUGGGUUUGUGUUCUUAGUGGUUGACUAGUCAUUGUAUGAAUUCUGGGUUUGUGUCCUAAUAGUUGACUAGUCAUCAUUAUCUGUUGUUUGAUGUUUACUUGAUUAUGAUGAUUUCACACACUUUAGCACAGGGGAUACCUAGAUUGACGGGUCCUUCUGAGUGCCUAGGUUGUCACUAGUAAUCUACUAGGGUUGCAGGUACAUUGUGGCAUGCUCUGUGUGUAUUCUUGAUUGUGGUUGUUCAUGCCUAGCAGUUGACUAGUCAUAAGUGUACUUGGUCAAGGUCUAAAGUGUGUGAAGAUUGUUGCGUUUUGUUUAAGUGUCGUAAAAGUUACCCCUCGUCACCUAAGUUCCAAUUUCAGUUUUGAGAAGUUUUUGUCUCCGAAAUUUUCUCAUGAUACCCACGUGCUGCCAACGGCGGGUGACGGGGUGUGGUCCACUGUGUGGCGGCCCAUUAUGUUCUAAAAUGUUCACCUUGUCAUGUUGAGCACGACGGUAUGCUUGAAUUUGAAAUUGGUUAUCGUUUGACAGUCGAACGGAUGUUGCACCUAAUAUGCGAUAUCCGGGUUCGAUAGGUUCAAACCUUUCGAUCAGUCUCAAUUUCAAAUAUGUCGUUCUCUAUACCUCUGGAAUCGUGCAGGAACUUGUGGAUCUAGAAUCGGAGUCCCGAAUACUCCGAAUCAAUGAUUCUAAGGUUAGGCGAAGCGAUCGCCGUCUGAUCUUGCAAUUAGCUCCCAUCUGACCGCUUGAUCGAGACCAAACUUACAGAACUUUUUCAGUGGACGUUGUUGAAUGCGUAAGAUUUUUUCUUGGAUCAGAAAUCGGAGAUCAUGAGCCCUGCAGGCCUGAUUGACCAAUAUGGGGGGUUUGACCGUACAAUUGAUCUGGGGUCUUUGAGACCAUCUUAACGUUUGGAAAACACUAAAAUGGCCCUAGGACUUUUCUCAAUGGAUGUGUUUACACUUUUGAGUCCUGGGAACCAAAAUUCUGAUCUUUAAAGUUCGGAGUUGGGUUCGAUUAACAAGUUAAGCCUAGUAUUCUAUCGGUAUGUUUUCAAGCGCAACGAAUCCAGAUGAAAUCGCGGAGACUUAAUUGUGCUUUGGACCGUGUGUCAGUGGACAUUUGUUUGGUCAUGCUGAAAUAUAACUAAGUUACCUUCAUAACUGGUGAUGUGACAUUUGCAUAAUUAUUAUCAUAAAAAGUAUUUUUAUUUUCUUGACUGGUGAUGUGCAUUGAUAAUUAGUUUCAGAAAUGCCAAGACCUGUUCGCUUAAACUUGGCGCGAGAAGAGCAAUUUUCCGCCUCCAGUUUCAUCGAGGUGUGUGAACUGUCAUUUCAGUCACACCGGUUGGGAAACGACGACAAAAAUUCAUCUAUACCCAUUGUUUUCUUGGUCCACAAAUACUCGUACCGUGUUAAUUGAAUAAAGUAAGGGUUUAGCGAUGACGGUUGGGCAUAUGGAUUCCUGCUACGUUGUUGGCUUGCUAGGGCUGUUGAACCCUAGUACCUUUUCACAGACAUAAUGAUUUAAAUAUCAAAUUUAAGGGGAGAAAUAAGUGUAGGGUUUUUUCCAUAUUGUUUAUAACCCAGUAGGAAAUUUCCCCAUUAUUUUCGGAUUUCUCCUGCAUUUGUAACGAUUUUUGUAACCAAAAAAAAAAAAAAAGUAAUCUGGAAAUCCCUUUCGCUAACAUAAUGAUUUAAAUAUUGAAUUUAACCAAAAACUCCUUGCGAAGUAUAACCAAAAACUCUUUACGAAGUAUUCUUCCCCAUAGAUACGUAGGAAUUUUCCGCAUAUUUUUUGGAUUUUUCCUGCAUUUUUUAGUGGAAAUAAGAAACUAAUCAAACUACUUGAAGUUGCUAGAGGUUCGCAGUUGUCAGAGUUCUCAGAUCAAUAUAAUCAAGAAACUACCUAAGCAUGUCUUUGAUCAAUGUGUAUUAUCGAUGAUACGUUUAUUGAUUAAAUGAUAAAUGUUUAUAGGAGAUGGAACAAAAGUUUUGAGAUGUUGUUGAGAAUUUUGUUUGAAUCUUUAAUUCCCUUUUCGAUUUUCUAAUGUGCGUAUCUUGGAAUGCAUGGAUUGAACUAUUAUUGUUUAUUGAUAAUUCUCAGUGUCAAUUAUUCUCACUAGUUUUUUAAUAAUCAAGGACCCGAGUAAUUCUUGGAUCAUGGAAGUAAUGCAUGAAUGCAUCAAGUAAUCUAGAUCGGAAUAGUAAAACGAAAGAAGUACAACUUUUAUUCCCACAGAUAGUCUUAGCUAGAUUACAUAAAUUAAUGCUUGAGCAGCAGCUGCAUGCAAUAUUAUUGAAACCCAAAUCACAACAUAAGGAAAACUUAAGAAAAUGCCACUUUCGCAGGGAACGCGAUUGCAUUUAGCAUAUGCAACAAGCUAUCUUGAUAGAACGAGUGAAGUCGCAUGAGAGUUUCCAGCAAUGCUACCCACAAACAUCAAAUUAACUUCACAGGAUGAUCAUCCUGGAAGUUUUUCGACCAUGAAGGCAAGGUUUUGGGUGGGUUUUGCAUUUUCUGCAGAGAGGGCAUCGUCGAAGUCGGUUCCAGAUCUUGGCUCUAUCAGGUUUCCCAUUUGCACGUGGAUGAACUUGUAUACGCCAUCCAUGUACGGUAUCGGUGGUACCAAAACCACAGGCUUAAAGAGUGUACAUGACCACAGGGUUUUAUUUGACUGUUUCUCGUCGGCCUCGGCCACAAUCCACGAACUGUCUUGGCUUGCCGCUCUCAAGUAUUUGUCGUUGUAGGUGGAUUUUAUAUGCACCAGACUGGGUUGGUUUACGUCCUUCUCCACUUUGAACCUUGCGUAUUUGCUGUGACUAUGCUCUCCGGAGCAUUGGAGCAAAUGUGGCAGCGUUGAGGUGGAUUGGUCUUUGUACACCAGGUAUUUCUGUUUCUUGACUGAUUUAAGAGCAAGAAACUUUGGUAAUUCUGCCAUUUCUGAUGAUCUCUCGCUCGUGCUUCAAUAUAAGAUUGAUAUAUAUAUAUAUAUAUAUAUAUGUAAACUCACUUCUCUCUUUCUUUCUCUCUCGUUGCUUAUUGCUUUUCCUAUCUCCAACUUGCUGUGCUAUUUAUAAUCAAGCAAGCCCAAACCAUGCAUGCAGCUUUCACUUAGUUUUCUUGCUGUACUGGCCCGCCAUAACAGAGAAAAUUGAAGCCACAAGAAGCGUGCUGACUGCACAGGGCCUCCAAAAAUGAGGGGCCUCCAAUUUUCUUCCCCAUUUUUGUCUGACUUGCUUGACUUGCUGUUGUUUCUCUGGCCAUUUUUUUUCUUUCAAUUUUUGCUUGACUUGGUGUGGCUUGGUAUGACGUGUAUAUUAGAAAACAUCAUAUGGAAUUGAAAAUAGAUAUAGAAGACAAUUGAGAGGAUGUGAGUAUGUGAAAAUAGAUGUAAUUCAUGCCAUUAAUGAUGAUUUUUGGUUUCAUUUUUGAAAUUUGAAAAAUUGAAGACAAUUUUUUAUUUUUUUUAACUUAUAGGGCCUCUUCAGUUUUCUUUGCACAAGGGCCUCCAAAUCUCAUGGACCAGCUCUGUACACCAUACUAUCAAAUUAUUUAUUGAAUUACUAAUUUACCCUAAUAUAAAAUGACAAAAAAGGAUAUAUUGAAUUGUGAAACAAAAGUAAUUUUAGUAAGUACACCCUACUUAAUGUAUUGAACCCUAAUCAAAUUAGAAUUUGAGAGUUUGAUUCCAAACAUAUUUGAGAUAAAAAUUCAAAGUUUUUGUUGGGUGUAAAUUUUUUUUUUCUAUCACUUCCAUAAUUCCUGACAUCAAUGAAGAAGAAGCUUUGAGAGGAGAAAAGAUUGAAGCUGCCGAACAGAAUCCCUUGCCAAAAUGCCAUGGUUAUUCAUCAAACAGCGUGAAAGCAACUUAAAUAUUAUUUCAUUUUGAUCAACAAAGCUCGCCAAGCUUUUAUGAACUUUGGAGGGAAUUGUGGAAAGUCCACCCCCUUCUGCACCAUCAGAUCAGUUCUCCCCGACUUUUGUUCGUCUGCCUGUUAAUAAGAUAUUUACAUGCAUACUUCACCUUAUACGUAUCUAAUUCACUGGCAUGUGACUAUUUAUAUUUCCCAUUACAUUUGCAGCAUACAGAAGAACCCUUCUGGUUAGUACUCAUGAAUUUGGUUCAACGAGUGUAUCCCUGACGGUUUAGAUCUGAUGAAGGGAAAAGGAGUUGACAAGAACAUAUUUGAUGAAGACGACCAAUUCAUGUAAAAUAGGGUGUACAUAGUAUUAUGGUGUAUCAGGGGUAUUUUUGGUAGUUAAGUAGGGUGUACUUAGUUAAUUUUACAUUUUGAUUUAAAUAUUAGGGUGUACUUAUAUCAUAGAGUGUUCUCAGUUAAUUUUAGGAUUCGUUGAACAACACCCCAUAAAAAUAAAUAAAUAAAAAAAUAAAAAACUAAAGCGUGCUUCACAUCUUCAAAUAAAACAAAGAUAAGCUUAGUAUUUUCUUCUUUGUUGUAAUGUGAACUUGAUUAUGUAAUUUCUACUACUUGUAGCCAUUUAUCAAUUAUAAUUAUGUCAUUAAUUAGGAUUGAACAACAAAGUUGUUGAGAUGAUUACAUACUUUAAUUACAAACGUAUGAUAGGUUUAGGAGAGUGGUACGUAGUUCCAAUUGUUCCUUUCACACAGACACAUCUUCAUUAUUUUACUGAGAAACCAUUUCUCUUAAGCAAAAUCUGUCGAUUUUAUGUAGGUUUGAAAUUGCGGACGAUUGUUUUUAAUUUCGACCUUCUACAAACAAAUAAAUCAAAGAAAAAAGAAGAAGAGAAUUUUAAUUCAUAUAUUUCAAUUUCUUUGUGAAGCUUUUAAAUUCAUUUCAACAUAAUAUCAAUAAGAUUAAGUUUGAUUUCCUUGAGAAUCAUCACUGAUCUGAUGGCAUCAGAUAAGUCUUUGAAUUACUGAAUGUGAUUGAUUGAUUGAAACGUAUUAAUACAAGAAUAAAGCUUGAAAGAUAGCUUCAUCCAAAGCUUGAAAGAAUAAAGCUUGAAAGAUAGCUUCAUCCACAGCUUGAAAGAUAGCUUCAUCCAAGCUUAAAAGAAUAAAGUUCGUUUUCCUUGAAAGAAUAAAGCUUGAAAGAUAACUUCAUCCACAGCUUGAAAGAAUAAAGUUCGAUUUCCUUGAGACAUGAUGUGAUUCUUUCAAAAAUAGUUUCAUCCACAGCUUGAAAGAUAAAGAAUAAAGCUUUCUUGUCCUUCUUCCGAGUCUCCUUCAGUUUGAUGGUGGGAAUGGGAUUUGGCUAUGGGGUGCGGUCUAUGCAACCACCUCUUUGUCCCCUCUUGCUUCGUCUUCUUGGAGUUAGUUGUGGAAGAUCAAUCAUAGUAAUCCCGGUAAUCCGAAGCCUUAUGGUAACCAGGCCUAGAAGAGAGAUUUUGUAUGAAGCAAGGCCAUUGAAAAUCAUAAUGGAUACCAAAAUCAAUUAUGUGGAUCCUUGUUGCUUUCUCACCUACAUUCAUUAUUGUCUUAUUUGAGAAGAAAUUUGAUAUGUUCUUAAAUGGACAUGUGGCAAGAUAAAGAUGGUCAGCUUUCUCUCAUCUUCAAAAUCAGGAUUUGUAGCCAUGGGAGGUGGGUUGAGGAAGGAAUAGAGCGUGGUGAGAAGAGAGAGAGAGAGAGGAGAUAGAGAGAGAGAGAGAGACACUUUUGCCCCUCAAUUUCACAGAACAAUUGACAGACUUUGACGGUAGGACUGUUUUGAUACUAAAUGGAGAAUUGGAGGACUAUUGAAAUGAAAAUUUUAGUUUGUGAACCAAAAUAAAACUUGAGCAAUAGUUGGGGGACCAUUUCGGUCAAUAACUCAAUAAUUUACCCUUUGUCAAUAAGGGAGGGGGAAUUCAAACUUGGGACCUCUUUUAACAUUGGAAAGAGAAGUACCACCAAACCAAUAGCUAGUUGGUUGUACACAUUUAAAAUCACUAAAAUCACAACUCAAUCUACCCAAUUGUAAUGGAAAAAAAAAAAAAAAAACCUUCUUGUUCAAGUUUAGCAAUCCAAUAUUUACUAUUAAACAUUUUUGCUAAUUUUUCCAUUGGUUAUCCAAUUGCACCUUCGCUGGGUGUUUUAAUGAAUUAAUUCUAAUAUCAUAUAUAGAAAUUAUUAAAAGAUAAAAUUUACAACUUCAUCAUUUAAAAUUUCAUUAUUUGGAUAUCAGUAAAUUAUUGAAAAUAAUUAGAAAUAAAAAUUAAGUGAUGGUUGGUAAUACCGAAUUUUUAUUACGGAAAUAUUUAUUAGAAUUAAAGAUUAAUAAUAGACAUUUUGAAUUGUUGAAACAUAAGACAAACUGAAUAUCCUUCAAGGGUGUCCCUCAAACAAGUUAUUUGAGAUAUUCCUCAAUUAAAGUUCCAACUGAAACAACCAUAGAAAAUGACGCAUGUGCAUGAUACAUGACUUUUUUUUUAGCAGAAUUCUUGAAGGAGUUAGCAUUAGUAGACAUAUUUUGAAUUAUGAAAGAUUGAGAUGACAAGUUGUAAGAGCUUUUGGGCUUGAUCACUAGCAUUUGGUAUGCUAUGUGCUAUAAAUAGGUAAACCCAUGAUAUGUUAAUGGGAACGAUGAUAUUUGGCUGAGAUUAAAAGUAUGUAACCAAUCCUUAACUUAAAUACUUAUUGAAAAAUCUCCGACUAUAUAAUAUAGGUGGACCCUAUCUUCUAUUAUAUAUGUGGUGGGUUGCUUAAGUUGUUGGGCUUUGUUGAUGCUCUUUUUGGGAGGGUCAAUUUAGAUAAAGGAGUGUUGGAUCUUCAGCAAGGGGAGAAGGUUGUGGACCUUCGGUAUUGAGGGAUUCUGUAGAAGGAAACAAGGAAGAAGAAGCGAUCGUCAAGCUUCGGGCACUGAUGUGGUACUUGCCAAAGGCUCUCCAAUGUUUAAGUCAGCGAGUAUACGUUGUAAUUUUGGUAGAGUAACAGUAAAGGUGAAAAGUAGUUACCCCUUUUUACUUGGGCCCUGUUCCCUAUUUAUAGGAAAGUGAAAAUGAGAGUUUUGCACAAAGUUUCGUUGUGAGGCUUUGUGCAAACUGUUGUAGAGGCGACACAUGUCCAUGGAAACUAGGUUCUGUAGUUGAGAGCAGCAGGCGAUUACCGCUUCGGAAUGAGGUCUUCCUUCGGUAGGUUAAGAAGGUGGUGAUGUCACUUUUAUUCUAAGGGCUUGUCUGGGUAUUUGUCAGAGUGUCUCUUUCCCCUUGGCAGUUGGAGUGCCUGCUUAGGUAUCAGUCGUUUAAUGCCGAGUUCGCUCGGUUGAUUAUGGUGUAAACAGUAGUCCCCCAAGUUGUCAAUCAAGGAGUGGCUUCUUGGUUGGGAACUUGUAAAAUGUUAAGUAAUUACAUCGAGCAUUUCGGCGUGGUGGGUGCCUUAGGUAGUCCUCUGGUCCCCCAAGUUCGGAAGCUAGAAUGCACGUUUAUUGGGAAAGUUGUUCUUAAAAGGACAUGUCUUCGAAACCAGUACAUGGGAAGUUGAAGGAAAGGUAUGACAUCAGCGAGAGUCGCGUGCAUAUCUUGGCAGCUUCGGCACAGAGGGUGCCAAAGGGAAGGUAUGACGUCAGCAGUGUCACGUGAGUCCCUUCGUAGCUUCGACAUGGCAGGUGCCGAAGGGAAAGUAUGACGUCAUUGCGAGUCGUGUGAGUCUCCUUCCAAGCUUCGGAAGGGAGGGUUCUGAAAGGAAGGUAUGAUGUCAUCGCGAGUCGCGUAAGUCUCCUUCUAAGCUUCGAAAGGGAGGGUUCCGAAAGGAAGGUAUGACAUCAUCGCACUUCGCGUCCCAUUCCAAGCUUAGGAACGGAGGGUUUUGAAGGGAAGGUAUGACGUCAUCGCGAGUCGCGUGGGUCUCCUUCCAUGCUUUGGAAGGGAAGGUAUGACGUCAUCGCGAGUCAAGUGAGUCUCCUUCCAAGCUUCGGAAUGGGGGGUUCUAAAGGGAAGGUAUGAUGUCAUCGCGAGUCUCGUGGGUCUCAUUCCAAGCUUUGGAAUGAAGGAUUUCGAAAGGAAGGUAUGACAUCAUCGCGAGUCAUAGGAGUCUCCCUUCAAGCUUCGAAAUUGAGGGUUCCGAAUGGAAGGUAUGAUGUCACCACGAGUCGUGUCUCUUUCCAAGCUUCGGAACAGGGGGUUCUAAAGGGAAGGUAUGACGCAAUUGCAAGUUGCCACAUGUCGGAAGAAUCCAAAGGUUUUUUGUGGGAAUCGAUGUGCCUUUCCUAGUUGGGAUGGUUAGGAGUAAAGGCUACGUUUCGCAUUCCGAGGCGUCCUUUCGCAUCUAAACAAUAGAGUCAAAGGGAAUAAGUGAGGGUACUUGGAAAUGUCGAAAGAUUUUUCGUAUAGGAGCGUAGGCGGUUUCUGGGGAAGUUGUGGUGCGGCGGAGGCAAUUUCCGGGCAUCUUGUGUGGUGGAGAUAACAAGGUACGGCUUGUUUUUAUUCCUUUCUUUGGAUUGAAAUGCUCAUUUGCAAUGAAUUUGCAUAAGAAUUUUCUUUUAUAGGGCAGCAACUGACGUUGCAGAAGACAUGGAGAAAUCGUUGGUUCUUUGCCUUCGGCUACUGGGAAUUUUGCCUGGGAAGACCGUCAGCGGACACAUGCCUACUCAGUUUCAAUCUAUAGGUCCUUGGUCAUAACUUUAUGUUUUAACUUGUGUUGUUUUGUAUGUGCUUGGGUAUGGAUGUUCAUUAGGGAUGGGCACGGUUCGGUUUGGACCGGUUUUUGCCUCAAAUUAGAACCGAUCCGGUACUAUUCAUCCGGUUUGGUUCGGUUCGGUUUUAAUUAAAAAAAUUUCAAAAACUGUCCGGUUCGAUUUGAACCGAUUUCGGUCCGGUUCCGGUUCCAGUUCAAUUUUGAACCGUAUUAUAAAAAUUAUUUUUUAAUACAAUUCUCGACUGAAAUAUUUUUUUUUACUUGAAAAUUAACAAAUUAUUCAAUUUCAUAUAUAAAAUAAAUAUUAAAGUGAGAAAAGAGAGAUAUUUUGACAUUGAACUUGGAUAAAUAUUAGGUUUUUUUUAGUGAAAUUAAAAAUAUAGCAUUAAAUAUAAAUAUAUAUUGAAAUUAUAUAUUUUUUUAGUUUCACCGGUUCGGUUCUGCCCGGUUCGGUUUUUGAAGACAUUAAACCGGAUCCAGAACCGGUCAAAACCGGUCCAGUUCAAUUUUUGACCGAUUUUGACUUUUUGGUCAACUCGGUUUUUUUUCGGUUUGGUUCGGUGUGGUUCGGCUCGAAUUUCCGGCUCGCCGGUUUGAGUGCCCACCCCUAAUGUUCAUGUCUUUCGAAGCUUUUGGAAACUAAUAACCCUCUUGUUUGUGUGCAGAUUUUGUGAAGUGCAGGCCAGUGUCGAAGGAAGAGGAGAAGGAGUUAGAGUUGGUAAGAACUCUAGUCUCUACAGAGAGACAAGAGGUGAAGAACAUUGUGAUGCCAAUGCUUCUUCUGGAGUCAGGGUUGCUUCAAGGGAGUAAGUAUUUGGUUUUGUUGUGUUGUCCUCAUUUUGUUUUUGUAUUUGUGUGCUAGACUAACUCUGUUUUUGUAUCUUCACCCCGGUCAGGACUGCGUUCAAAAAGGGCACUUCCUAAAAAUGCAUCCAUCUUCACCCCGAUCAGGAAGUCCUUGGACAUCAACUUUGAUACCGGUGGCUUUCCUCCUCCCAUUCCUCCAGGUAGGGAAUGGACGUUUGCUUCCUCAUCUUCUACAGAUCCUACUACCUCGCAUGAUGCCAAGGCUAGGGUUGGUGCGGUUCCAAAGGCCGAGCUUGCAGUUGAAGAGGUGCAAGACGAGGAUGCCGAUGCCUGAGGUCUUAUGUAAUUUUGUUUUUCCUAUUUUCAUGUAACCUUGGUAUUUGUUUUGAACAGUGUUUAGAGUGCCGAUGGUGCUCUUGUUUUGUAUGGAUACUACCCUGCCAUAAGGCACAGUUAUUUUGAAAGUUUGUAUGAUAGCAUAUACUUGGUGUUUUGAAAUAUUUUGUAUGGAUACUAUACAAUCCUAAUUGAGAUUGUAAAAUGAGUAGAAAUAAUCCAAGGUCAGGCAUUUCAUUAGGUAGGUGCUGAAAAGCAAUAAGUACAUAAAACGUCUAAGUUAAGGCUCGAGACAUGGGUGCCGAAGACCUAAGAAAACAUUGAGUCCUAGGGUAUGGGCAUGUUCACUUGUGGUAGUACUUGAGGUGAUUAACGUUCUAUGGAUGAGGCAAAGGUUUGCCAAUGGGAUUGCAGAGUUGAUAAGUGCCUGGGCAGUAGACUUUGAUAAUCUCAUAAGGACCUUUCCAUCUUAGUCCCAAGGUACCUUCGCCCGAGUUUUUGGUGGCCAAGGAAACCUUGCGCCUUACCCAGUCCCGAGUCUUAAAGGCUCGAGGUUUCACUCGGGAGUCGUAGUACUUGGUGACACGUUGCUUGAAGGCAAAGUUACGCAUGUUUGCCUGGUCAUGAAGCUCGUCAAUGAGGUUGAGGUUUAGGGCCAACUGCUCAUCGUUUGCUUCAGCAUCAUAUGCAGAGGUUCGGUAAGAGGGCUACCCAAUCUCCACCGAGACAACGGCCUCAAUGCCGAAAUGAAAAAAGAUGUCUCGCCCGUGGAGGUACGAAAUGUGGUAUGAUAGGACCAAAAGACCUCCGAGAGGAGUUAUGGCCAACACCCCUUGGCCUUGUCAAGUUUGGUUUUCAAGGUCUUUUUGUUGAUUUUGUUCACAGCUUCGACUUGGCCAUUAGAUUGGGGGUCGACUGGAGAGGCGAAACAAAGACGAAUCUUGAGGUUGGAGCAAAAUUGCUUGAAUUUUAUGUUGUCAAAUUGUCGAUCGUUGUCUGUUACAAUUGCAUGGGGUAUACCGAAGCAACAUAAGAUAUUCUGCCAUACAAAUGUCUUGAUGCGAGCUGCAGUGAUGGUGGCAAAGGCCCCUGCUUCAGCAUACUUCACCUGGCCCUUUUCCCUCUAACAUAGGUCCAAUGAGGUCCAGUCCCUAUUGAGUGAAUGAAAAUAGGCUGACCAUUGGGGUCAAUGGUUCAGCAAGGAGUUGUGGGAUGUUAGCAAGCCUUUGGCAUUUGUCGCAUUUCUGGGUGAAGGUUUGGCCAUCAGUGUGGAGUGAUGGCCAAAAAUAGCCAUUCUGAAUAACCUUGUGGGUUAGAGAUCAGGCGCCUGAAUGGUUGCCACAAAUGCCUUCAUGGAUUUUUCAGAGGACAAAGUUGCCUUCUUCAGGAGUCAGACAUCGAAGAUAAGGGAGACUGAAGCCACGUUCGUAUAAGGUGACAUUAAUAAUUAAGUAUCUAGCAGCCCUAUAGCGAACACGCCGCGCCUCGACAUGAUCGACGAGCAAUGUUUAGUGUUGUAAGAACUGGAGUGUGGGAUCCUUCCACGUGGGGCUAUGGUCAAUGGUGCAAAUGACUGGUGCUUGGGUGCUGGGUUUAUCUAGGAACUCCAUGGGGAUGUUGCGACUGAUGCCUUGUUUGAUUGCCGAAGCUAACCUUACCAAAGUAUCAACAUGGCUGUUUUCAUAUCGUGGGAUCUAACUGAUGCUGUAGGCCUCGAAGGUUUUCAGUAGGCGAUGGAUAUGCUAAAAGUAUGUUGUCAUGGAGGUAUCCUUGGUGUUGAAGUCCUGGUUGACUUGAUAGACGACGAGUUGGGAGUAGUUGAAUAUUUGAAUUUGUCUAGCGCCCAUCUCCUUGGCGAGCCGAAGGCCAGCUAAGAGUGCUUCAUAUUUCGCGACAUUGUUAGAGGCGUGGAAGUUGAAGCGGAGGGCGUACUCCAGGAUAACCUUAUAUGGGGAAGUGAGGACUAAGCCUACCCCACAACCCUGGACGUUUAAGGAGCCAUCAACAUGGAGUGUUCAUAAGGGUUAGUUGAGGUCGAAGCUGCCUUCACUGGCGAGGUGGACGAGGGUUGAGGGGAAGUAGGUUCGGCAAUGACCAAGGGAGUGGCCGAAGGUUGGGGUUUUGUAAAUUCGGAGAGAAAAUCGGCACCGAUCGUGGCUUAUAAUGAAUAUCAAAUUCUCCGAGCUUGAUGGCCCAUUUAACUAGUUUGCUAGAUGUUUUUAGCUUCUGCAAUACCUCCCUUAAGGGCUGAUUGGUAAGGGCAUGAAUGAUAUGGGCCUGGAAGUAGGGUUGAAGACGUUUGGUGGAAACUACCAAGGCAAAUGCCAACUUCUCUAUGUCUGGGUAUUGAGCUUUGGCAUCCUGUAAUGCCUUACUGACAUAGUGUACUAGAUGCUCGGCGCCAUCAUGUGGUCGGAUUAGCACUAAACUAACUGCUGUGUUGGAUACCAAAAGGCAGAUCAUGAGGGUUUCACCAAUCUCAGGUGUCGAUAAGAGAGGUGCAUUGCUCAUAUAUUCUUUGAGUUCGUUGAAAGCCUUGUAGCAUUUGGGGGUCCAAGUGGCUUGUUGCUCUUGAGAGCCUUGAAAAAGGGGGCGCAGCGAUCAGUAGCCUUGGAGAUGAAUCUAAUUAGGGCUGCGACAUGUUCGGUAAGGCUUUGGAUAUCCUUGACCGUCUUCGGUACCUUCAUGUCCAAGAUGGCUUGAAUUUUUUCUGGGUUGGCCUCGAUGCCUCGUUGACUGACCAUGAAACCAAAGAAUUUGUCUGAAACCACAUCGAAGCCAUACUUCAUCGGAUUGAGUCUCAUGUUGUAUUGCUUCAGUAUUGCGAACAUAGUAGACAGGUUAGGGAUGUGUUGGUCAGCGGUGCGACUUUUGACUAAGAUGUCAUCAACUUAGACUUCCAUGGUGUGGUCGAUGAAUGAGGCAAAAAGGUUGUUCACGAGUCGUUCGUAAGUUGCUCCAAUAUUUUUGAGGCCGAAGGGCAUCACCUUGUAACAGUAAAGGCCUCGGUCGGCAAUGAAGGAGGUGUGGGCAUGGUUGUCAGGGUGCAUAAAGAUCUGGUUACACCCGGAGUAGGCAUCCAUAAAGCUAAGAAGGACGUGGCCUGCUGUGGCAUCGACAAGCUGGUCGAUUCGAGGAAGAGGGAAGCUAUCCUUAGGAUAGGCAUGAUUGAGGUUGGUGUAGUCUAUACACAUGCACCAACCUUUCCUUGGUUUGCGGACCAUUACCACAUUUGCCACAUACGUGGGAUAGUCCACCUCCUUGGUGAAACUGAUGCUUAGUAGCUUCUCCACCUUCAUCUUCAUGACCUCAUAUCUCUCCGGGUCAUAGGCACGAUUCUUCUGUCGGACUGGUCAUACCGCAGGGUUAAUGCUUAACCGAAAGGAGAUGAUGUCGUGCGAUAUGCCAGGCAUAUCUUUGUAGGACCAAGCGAAAACUUUGGAGUUGAGGUGGAGGAAGGCUAUGAGGGCGGAGCAAAGGUUGGGUAGAAAGGAGGUGUCGAUUCAUACCUGCCGAUCCAAGAAGUCAUCAUGAAGGUAAACAAGUUCAAGAUCUUCCACCGGUUUGCCCUGGGGGGUGACGAAUUCUUCCCUAGGGUCCACAGGUCAUUCAGCGCAAGCACAGGGAAGAGGGGGGAUGUGGUCACCUAAAGAGCUUCAUGUCGUGGGGGCGAUUGGUGGAUUUGACCGUCGAAACAUAACAACUUCGGGCGUCAAGUUGGUCGCCUUGCACCAUGCCCUUGCCAUGAAGAGUACAGAUGAUUAGGAAGGGAGUGGUCACCGACGAUUAGGAAGGGAGUGGUAUCCGUGGCCCGUUGGUGUGCUGAACCGAUUGAGAUGGGGAGGUGGAUACUUCCAACGAGUUGGACAACAUCGCUAGAAAAGCCCACAAGAGGCAUGAUGCUUCGGUCAAGCAGGUGCUCAGGGAUCUGAAGUUCAUUGAAGGCUUAUACGAACAUGAUGGUGAUCGAGCUACCUAUGUCCACCAAGAUACGUCCGACAUCGAAGUUGGAGAUGUCUGCUCGAAUGAUCAACUGGUCGUCAUGAGGAAAGAUGAUGCCACGCUCCUCUUCGCUAAAGGUAAUAGGGUCCCAGCCUAUUUUGGACAUUUUCAGCAUGCGCCCACACUCGAUACUGAAGACUUGAUGCUCGUAGGAAAACUGGGCAUAAUACUUGAUGGAGUUGUUGGAUGUGCCUACCAUAGUAGGGUUGUCGCUGAUGGUGGAGAUCAUGUUGAUCUGGCGCUGGUAGGGGUUUGAGGCAGGUAGAAGGUUGUGGACAUACUCGUCUAAUUUUCCUUCACGAAUGAGUCAUUCAAUGAUGUUUCGCAGAGCAAUGCAAGAUUCUGUAUUAUGGUCGUUAAAUUGGUGAAAACAGCAUAAGGCACCGAUGUUCGGCAUAUGCUUGUUGGUAAGUCUUCGGGGAAGGGGUUUCGGUAUAAUGGGUGCGUCAUUGACCAGAACAUUUUCAUAAGUGGUGUUCAAUGUGGUGAACACCUCGAACCUAGUUUUGGGCUCGAAGGGGAGCAGGGCACAAUUGUUUGUCUUUGGGGGUUUGUUGCCGCAGGAUUGAUGAUGGUUAGAGUGUCUAACACGCUUCCCAUUGUUGAAGGAGCGCUGGUAGCUGUCCUUCCCCUUGGGGUUUUGGGCACUCUGAGAGUCAGGGGCAGGAGCGUAAUGGUUUGGUGUAGCAGGAGUAGGUGUCGAAGCCUGCGGAGGAUCGUUAAAGGUGGUCAGUGACUGGUUGGCAGGGCCACACUUGGAGUUAAAGUAUUUGGUUUUGUCAUGGAUGGCUACUUGCUGUGUUUCAUGAGUUGCUGUAGACCAGGUAGCGGAAGUUGGAUUCGUGAAGACCACUCUUGAAGGUGCCAAAGGCAGCUCGAUCAUCUGUCUCUGGACAGCGGGAGUACUCGUGCCUGAAGCGGAUUGCGUACUCCUGCCGGGGCUAGUCUCCACCCUGCCAAAGCAUGUAUAAGUCGUCCUCAGAAUACAAACGAUCGGUCUGAAUCAUGAAAUGGUUUAGGAAAGUCUGCUUCAGGCUGUCAAAGAAGUUGAUAGUUCGAGGGUUAAGCUGAUAGAAUCAGUUCAAAGCGACACCACUAAGGGUGGAGGGAAAAACGAGGCACAUGCCGUCGUCACUAAGAUCCUUGAACCUUAGGACAGACUGAAAAUAAAAUUUAAAUGUGGGUCAGGGGAUCCUCCUUGCCUAUGUAGAAGGCAAUGCAGAGCGGCUGAACGUCCUUCUCCUAACGAUAGUUAAGGAUACGCUUAGUGAAGAUGGCAGGGCAUGGCUUUGUCUAGAGGGGCUGAUGGCUGCAGUGUUGCUCAUUCUCAAGACGUCGGAUGUUUUUGAAGAAAAGUCGCAUGGCAGGGUUGGCAUGAGGGAGAGCAUCGAGUGGCGAAGACUUGUUGUUGUGGUUGGGAGAAGGUAGAUAAGUUUCCCACUCUUUGAAUGCUUCGGAAUGGUAAGACUCCCAGUCCUCAGGGUGGUAAGGUUCCCAAUCGUCUGAGUUCCCAACUCUUUCCUCGGUAGGUAAGCGGGUGGGCUUCGGCAAAGGGCCAAGGUGAGCCACCCACGAAUCAUCGAAGUCUACAGGAAUAGGGAUGGGCUUCGACCGAGGCUCAGAGAUGUGGUCCCUGCAGUCCCUGUAAAUCUUGGUUGGGGCAUGAGGCCGAUCCCUUGGUGGGGAGAUUUGGAGAAGUCACGACUUGGUCACCUCAGGAUGAAGGUGGCCUUUGCCUUUGUCAGGUCUAGGCUGUGUCGGGCCACUAUGACGGGAGACAACUGGUUGGUUUGGUUGGGUUCGCUCAUCACCCUAGGUGAGGUUAUGUUGGUUGAAUUAGUGGUGAGCGUUCUCCCAAUUAUGCUUCAAGGUUCGGCAGUCAUGCUCUAGUUAAGCAUUCUUGGUACGAAGGUGGUCGUAGCUCUCCGUCAUCUUCGCGACAUCGGCACAAAGGCUCUCCACUUCAGCUUGGAGGUGCGCAUCAGCUGAAGGCACGCAUCGGCUGAAGGCUUCCUUUGGGAGGACCCCUGAUGAGGGGUAUGGUGUUGGGUAUCAAGGCUAGCCUCACUUGGCAUAGUGGAGUGUGAGGGGUAGAAGAGACGACAGGGUUAGAUGAGAGAUGGAGCCAGCGAAACUGGUAGAGAGGUGGGAUUCAAAAGUCGAUUCUCACAGACGGCACCAAACUGUUAAUCCUCUUUUUGGGAGGGUCAACUUAGAUAAAGGAGUGUUGGAUCUUCAGCAAGGGGAGAAAGUUGUAGACAUUCGAUAUGGAGGGAUCCUGUAGAAGGAAAUAAGGAAGAAGCGAUCGUCAAGCUUCGGGCACUAGUGUGGUACCUACCGAAGGCUCUCCCAUGCUUAAGUCAGCGAGUAUACGUGGUAAUUUUGGCAGAGUAACAGUAAAGGUAAAAAGUAGUUACCCCUUUUUAUGGUGUAAACAGGCUUGAACUAUUUACCACUUGUUUUAGGAUAGUUAUGAUUUUCUUUUAUGGGUGGGAAACUCUUAACUGAACACAAUAUAUAUAGUUUUGUCCGCUUAAUAUUAAGUAUUUCCAUCAUAGCUCUGGAAAUACUUAAUAUUGAGGAAGAUCAUACUAUUGUUGCUGGUUACUUCUGGUGUUAUGGAUUCUUGUAUUGAUUUUGACCUUCUUCUUUUUUGUCUUUUCUUUUUAUUGGAUGGUGAGGAAGAAGGUAGGCAAGCUCGCGAAGCUUGAGAAAUUUGGAAAUGGCUCCUCCGAACCUUUCCUUGGUUCUGCCCUCCGAGAUUGGUCGAAACAGUCUAGGUAUUGGCGGUUUUGUUUGUGUUUGGUCACUGAGAAAACUGAAGGGAAAAAAGAACAUGCCAAAACUUGAAUCUUAAAUUUCCUCUAAAAGUCAAAAUAUUGAAUGUAUUCUUUCUACAUGAAUGAAUUCCAGUAUUGAAUUUGAUAUCUCGCAUGUGAUUUUUUAUGGCAAUUUGUGUGAUAAUGGAAUGAUAAAUUGUUUGCUUAUUUGACUGGUACUUCAAGGUAAAGUUAGUGAAAACAAAUACACAUUUUGUGCGUGUGCGAAACUUAUUUAGUGAAAACGAAUACAUAUUUUUUUACGGUCUUGUUUUGUUUCUCUCCCUCCCUAAUCCUUGUAUCCUGAAAAACUAUCAUUGAUUCAUUUUGGGAUUUUGGGAUUUUGGAUUCUAGAUGAAUUUUUGUAUCAAUAGUGAGUUACUGUUAUUUGGUAUCUUAUUGAGUUGCAAGUUAGUUAGGUGAAUUCUUUUUAUUUGUUCAGAAACACAGAUAAAGAAAGUCUAGUGCUGCCAGUUCAAGAGGCUUUCUAUUUCUGGUUAAUACUGGUGUAGAGCAAAUAUUCAGAAUCACAAAGCAUGCAUGGGCACAUAACAGUUUUGGUAUUUCCAAACUAAUUCAUGUACCUUAGUUAAUAUAGGGGUCCAUACAAACUUUCCUAGUGAAUAUCAGCUUUGCUUCUCUAUUCUCUCCUUUUCUUUGUUGAAUCUUUGUUGUUUUAAAUUAUCCUUUAUCCUUACCGUCCGCAUUUUGUACGCUAAAUCUUUUAUAUAGUUACUGAAUAUGCACUGUACUGAUCCUGAUAUUCACUUGUUGUGCAUCAUAUUAUUUUUUCAGUCAAAUUGAAGCCGAAUUUGGGGGAAUAUAUAAAAUUACUUGAUUGUGCACUUCAAGUUAGUGUUAGAUCUAUCUCUGUCCCUGUCUCUCUCUCUCAGUCUCAUAUUAUAAUGCGUAAAUUUGAUCUAUCUCAGGUUGUGACAAGCAUAAAUAUAGAUGGUAAUCUUUCUUAAUUGGUAUUCAUUAAAGGGUACUUGCUUGGUGUACAUGUGGAAACUUGUUUGUACGUUUCUAUUUAAUGUUACAUCUGUUUUGCUUCUUGUACACGUGAAAACUUGUUUGUGCGGUUCUAUUUAAUGUUGCCUCUCUCUCUCUCUCUCUCUCUCUCUCUCUCUCUCUCUCUCUCUUAAUUUGAUAUAUUGUAGGUUUUGCUUACAAGCAUGUAGCCAUCAAAAGGAAAAGGUGAGUUCUUGUCUACGAAUGAAAUUACACAUAAGGUUUGGGAUUUUUUAGUUGGGCUUAAAAGUUGGUCAUUUCAGUGUUAAAAAAAAAAUAUAUGUUCUUUUAAAAAUUUCAAAAUGCGGUCACUGUUUUGGGAACUUUUAUUGUUAGAAUAUAUUUACUUGUCUGAUUAUGCUUCUUAUUUGAAUGCUUAGUUAGAUAUGACAUUGUUGUGCCCUUUAUUAUUUAUUCUUCCACACAAAAAAAAAAAGAAAAAAAAAGAAGGAAGAUUGAUUCUUUUCUUGUAUGCCAAAAGCUUUCUAAAUGGUCUGUUUUUUGGACAAAUUUUUGUGCUGGCCUUUAAUGAUUCUUGCCAAAAGCAAAAGCCUAUUAUCAUUAUUCCCUAAUGAAAUUUAGACUUUAUUAUAGUUUAUGGCAAGAUUCAUUUGACAAUGUGCUUUACACAAUUUUUAUUAGAUAUGGUCAGUCUCCUGAGCAAUUCAAGAUUGUGAUUCUUAAAAUUCAUGCAUAUUUCACGGUAUGAAAAUUUCCUCUUUAAUUUUUAUCUGCAAAGUUGUAUCAUAGUUCUACUAGCACACAACGAGGAAUAUCCUUUACAUUGUACUGUUGAAUACUGCGAUAAACUGAUGUUAGAAUAUAUAUAUAUAUAUAUAUAUAUUGUAUGUUAGUUCUAUGCCCCUUAAUUUUAUCUUUUUGUUAGUUUAAACCAUUUAUGAAGAUGUUACUUUAUAAUUAUUCAACAACAUAUUAGAAUAUAACCUGCCCUAUUAGCCUUGUUUUCUGAUCCAAUCUCUUAAUCGGAUUGUAUGCAGUCAGUUAUAUAUUACCUUUCCAAUUAAAUAUACCCAGUCAACUACUUCAUUAAUGGACACCUGGAUGGCAUCUCAUUUGAAGAAAAAAUGGAUUUCUAAAGGUUGCUGAUUUCAUGUUUAGGGCAUUUUCCAUUGUGAACCAUCUUUUUUGAACUCUUAGGAGAAACUCAUGUUUUUCUUUGACUUUUCCCAUUCUUAUUUUACUGGAUAAAAAUCAGGAGAAUAAAAAUCAGGAGACGUAGUGCCAAUUCCCAUACUGUAUUUAUGUUUAAAUUAACUCAAGAUUUUUGGGCUUUCACUUGGAGAGAAACAGACAGGGAGGGACAAUUAAUUUUUGUGGCCAAAACCAAAAAGACACAAGGGAUUCCUACUUCAUAGUUUAUACUGCAUGAUGGAUUUGAUUUGCUAUCGUACCUGACCUUAUGGGAUUGAUGACUUAAUUGUCCUAAUUUAAUGGCUUUGGAUAUGUAGUUUACCAAAUAUGGAGCUGCUUUAUUUUACAGCUAAUUAUUUUCAAAAUACAGCAGAAGCAACUUUUUUUAAAAGUGACAGCAAUUCCAACUAGAGGUGUCAAACGGGACGAGCUGGCCCAACACGACAUGAUCCCAGCCCGUUUAAAUGAGACACGGCACAGAAACCCUUUUUUUUUAUAUAAUCAUAAACAUAUAUUUGAUGUCUUUCAUUGUAGGAAAAUUACUUAGGUCCUUAAUUAAUUAAACAUAUCAACUACAAAUUAAUUAAACAACAUUGGACUUGAUAUCUAAUCAAUACAUAUGACAUAUACACUUCUCUUAUAAUCAAAGCAAGACAUUAAUUCACAUAUAAAAUAAUAAGUUGUUUAAAGAUGAAAAGUUAAAGUGGACUUUGUGGAGUUGGACACUUUUUUCCCCCAACCCCUUUAUAUUGUUUGGAUGUUUGAUUGAUUAAUGUUUUUAAGUAGUUCAUUAUUUUUUGCCUCUAAUUAUAUUUUUAAUGUUUAUCAUUUGAAUUAUCUAGUGGGCAAAAAAAAAAUCAAGUGAAAAAAAUUCAAAUUAAAUGGGUUAGUUCUUGGGCCAGUUUUGCGAGUUUUACUUUUUAUAAGAUUCCUUCUUUACUAAUUCAAAAAUUGGAUUUAAUGUUGUGAUCCACACAAUGUUUAUUGUUUAUCAAAUCUUUGAUAAGUGCUCCUUCGAGGUAUUCUGUCCCUUCCCCAUGCCACUUUUUUUGUUUCUUUAAUUGCUUGAGUAUUCUUUCAUAUAGAAGUAUUUCUGAAUGAUGUAAAGUUCUUUUGAAUUCCGCAUAGGACUAAAGUAGGAGUACAAAACAUAUAAAGGUACGACAUAUCAAUAUAUAAAGAGCAUAACAGCAUUAUGGUCUAUUUUCUGAAUACUAUUUUUGUAUAGUGUUUGUUAAAGAAGAGUCACGAUAUAUUUAUAGAAAUAUUUUAGUGGAAAUUAUUUAUUCUAUGAUGUGUCAUCACAUGUCCUGCUGGCUGCCACUAGGUAUUGUGUUACACACGACAUAUAAAUAGAUACCUCAUGGAAAUUAACAAUUCUUAGAAAGAAAGAAAGAAAGAAAAAAAAAUAUAUAUUCCGCAUGUGAUAGGACCCAGCGAUCUCUACCUUAACUCUAUGCUUAUACAGGAAACCAAUCUUGAUAUUAUUGUAACAAAAUCCAAAAUACAAGCCGUCUUGCUUUGCACAACUAAUCAGUAUUUAUACUGACUUGCAAACUAAGACUUAGUUAAACCAACUCACUGAAUAAUUCUCCACUAAUAACCAAUACAUCUAACAACAUGACACGUGUGCCACUAAUAACAUGCCAACUUAUAGGACUCUAUCAGCAUGAGUAGCAAUUUUUCUUUUGUGAAGUUACCUGAACUUGGUCAUUAUUUAAUUUGAUUUACCCUAGUAAGGAUCAAGUUUUGGAGGCCUGUGUGGGUGAAUACAACUAGAAUAGAAUGAUAGUUGCAGGCCCUGCUGGUUAAUAGUUGAUACAAUCUGGAUGUAUUUCCCUUGCUUAUUCCACCUGGUGGCAAAAGAAACUUUUACACGAAUUUAUUGUCUCUGGUUUAACCUUAUCACCGAUCCCUUUAUGUGAGCCAUGGUUGGCUGAUUCUGUGUUUACAAUCAAUACUUACAGGCCCUUCUACAGAGGACAAUUAACGACUACAAAAGUGCCGGCCAUGAUCCCAAGUCAAGCAGUUUAGAGAUUCGAUUAAUCCAAAGUCAGAACGACAUUCGUAACCCUGAAAUUAAAUUCAGAACUGAAAGAUACACUUAAAAUAGUUGAUAUGUACGGGACAUGGUAUAUGUAAUUUACCAUGAUCGUUUGAAAACUGUUACCCAAUGCUAUCACCAUGAAAGUUGGAUACAUUUUCUUUUCUUUCGAAAUAUGCACAUGGAUAUAGGCAGAGAUGCAGCCAACUGACAGAUGCUCAUCUUUUUUGUUCCAUAGUUGUUAGGGCUUCUGGUUUUGAUACUUUUGGUGGGGCAACAAUUUGGACAAAUUUACUGCUCUUGGGGUAUCCGUAUUAAGGAUUGUUAAUUUUUUUUUUUGGGCGGGAAAAAAAAAUUGCCAGUCAGUUGAAGUGAAAAGUAAACUCCUCCUUUAAGUGACUUUUGACGCACAAACAUGUGGAUUUUAUUAACAUGAAAAUUUAUAUUUACAUAUUUAAGUGGAUUUUUGACACCCUUCUCUCUCUCUCACUGUGACUUUGAUUGGGUUGCUAUCUCCCUUCAACACCAACCCAAUCUGUUAUAAUUUUUUUUUUUUUUAAUUUUAUAUUUUUGUUUAAAAGUUAUGCAAUAAAUUUUCUAAUUCUCUCCUAAAUUUAAGAAAAAAAAUUCAGGAGCAUUAGUACAAUACAUGUUCUAAUUUGAGGACAUCAUAAUCUAUUAUUGGAAUUUAAGGGAAAAAAUACAAAUCGGGGUAUAAUUGAGUAACCAUUGCCACAAUUUAGCCUUGAAAAGUAUUUAAAAACUCUGUUUUUUUUUUUUUGGGUAUUAAUACGAUGAAAAAGGUGCACCUAUAAUAUCCUUAUUUUAAAAAAAUAGAGGCAUUUAAUUAUAUACAUAUUCUUAGCAUUAGUGAUAUAAAUAAACCCUAUACAAUUUAAUUUCUAUAAACAAGUCCACAAAAAAACAACUGGCCUUAUUGAAUUAAUUUUGAUUAUUAAAUUAUGUUGAGUGUUUUGGGUUUUUUUAUGAGAUUUUGGAGUUUGGUUUGUUUUAAGAAAUUUAUGACAGUUUUGUAAUUUAUAAAAAGUUCGAAGCCUCUUUGUUAUGUUGUAAAUAGACUUUGGGUGUGUUUUUAAAGUCCAUUUUAUGUAGGAUUUUUUAAAUAUAUAAUUUGAGCCCUUAUAAUUUCCCACCCCCACCAAAAACAAUCAACUAAGUAUACUGAAUAUUCAUAAGGAAAUGACGCAUUAUUGAUGCCACAAAUGACGAAUUUCCCACCCUCACAAAAAACAAACCAAACCCAAUUAAAUCAAUCCAGCAAGAGUGAACUUACCUCUCAAAAUCAAUCGGGAGCUCCGAAGUCAGUAAGCUUGAGAGAAUGUGGUGGACAUUAGAGAAGACUCUUUGGUAUUGGAGACUCCAUCUCUACCAAAAUCAAGGAACAAACUGUUGCUGCGGCGUCUAGCUACAAAAAGAGAUAUGCUACUUUGCUUUCAUCUGGAAUCUUGUCUGCUGAACGAAAAAGAGAAGGAGUUUUCACUUGAGCUAUAGAAUCAAAACAGGGCAACAACUAGGUAAAAGCCAUUAAUCGUCAUACUCAGGAUACCAUAGAUCGCGGGCUUCCCAAGGAGCUGAUGACAAUGGAGCGACUAUAGGGUUUGGGAGCUUUGGAUCCUUCUAAUUGUGGGUUUGCGUUACAUUCAAAAAGAGAGGAUUGUGUUCUUGAGUUUUUCACAGAGAGGGAAAGAGCGAAAGAUCUUCAACUGAAGUUGGGUUUCCAACAGGUCAAAUUUCAACCCGGUUCUACAUGCACCCUCUUUUAAAAACUCACCGUUAGAUGAAAUCCAACGGCUUGUACAUACCCCUAAAAAAUACCCCUUAUAACUUUCCACUCACUAUACACUACUACAUUUUACACUUUGCGCGACGAAGAGAAUUUCGUUGCGCAAAAUACAUUGUAGUCGCACAAAUUUCAGCGUGACAAAAACUUCGUCGCGCAGAAUCUGUCGCGCAAAGAUCGUGAAGAAAGACUUUGCGCGACAAAGUUUUUUCAUUGGUCACGCAAAGUGACUUUGCGCGACGAAAAAAUAUUGGUCGCGCAAAGCGACUUUGCGCGACGAAAAAGAUUGGUCGCGCAAAGUGACUUUGCGCGAUGAAAAAUAUUGGUAGCGCAAAGUUGUGCGCGACGAAAUACAUUGGUCGCGCAAAGGUUUGCGCGACGAAAUAUAUUGGUUGUGCAAAGUUUUGCGCGACGAAAAACAUUGGUCACGCAAAGUCUAAAAAAAUUUUAAAAAAAAUCAAAAAUUAUCGCGUCCAAUUUUGGGUACCUGCCCAAAUUUUUUGAGUUUUGCGCGACGAAUACUAACGUCGCGCAAAUAUUUACGCGACGAAAUAUUUUUUGUGUUAAAUUUUUUUAAUUUAAAAUAAACUAAUUUAAUAGUUUGCGCUACGAAAUAUUUUGUCGCGCAAGGUUUUUGACUUUUUGUUUUAUUAUUUCUUUAAUAUGAAUUUUUUCAAAUUUUUACUUUUUAAAUUUAAUUUAAUUGUAUGAUUUCUUUUUAAAAUUACUUUAAUUUAAAUUGAUAUUAAUUUUUACUUUUUAAAUUUAAUUUAAUUGUAUGAUUUUUUUAAUUACUUUAAUUUAAAUUGACAUAUUCAAAAUAAAAUUACAUAUGAAAAAUAGUGAUUAAAUUAUCCAAUAAAUAUAUAUAUAUAUAUAAUAUUCAAAAUGUACACAUAAAUUAACAAAGUAUAAUAAUAAAAUCCUAAUACAAGCGUAUUGUGGUGGUAGUGGCGGAGGAUAUGUUUUGAUAGCUUCCUAAUCCUCAACUUUAGCCGUCAAAGUCUCGAUGAUUCCCUACAAAAAAAAACAAAUAUGGUCAAAUAACCACAAAAAAAAAAAAAAAAAAAAAAAAGGCAUAAUCUCCCCUAAAAUUGUUAUACCACAAAUCCAACCCAAACUCCAAUCCCUCCCCUUUACUCAACCCCAAAACCCACACAAACUCAAAAUUAACUCCAAAAACACAUAUUAAUGAAAAAAAUUUAAAAUUUGGAGAGAAUAUACCUUUUGGCAAGAUUGAGAGUGAAUGAGAAUGAGAGGGAGAAGUGAGUGUGAGAGAAUUAGAGAAGAUAGUGAUAGAGAGAUGAGAGAGUGAAUGAGAGAUAGUGAAGAGAGAGAUGAGAGAUUAAGUGAGAGGAGUGAGUGAGAGAAAUGGUGGGAUUUGGGGAGAGGGAAAGAGAAAGGAGAGGUAAGAGUAGAGAAAGGGAUUGAGAAAAUGGUGGAUGAGUUAUUUCGGUUUUAAAAACCGUAUCACUUUGCGCGACGAAAAAUAUUGUUGGUCGCGCAAAGUUUUGCGCGACGAAUCAUAUUGGUUGCAACGAAAAAUAUUGGAAUAUUGAUCGCGCAAAGUUUUGCGCGACGAAUCAUAUUGGUUGCGCAAAGUCUAAAAUAAUUAUUUAAAAAAAAUAAAAAUCCCCGCGUCCCAUUUUUGGUACUCGCCAAAAUUUUUAAAUUUUUGCGCGACGAAAAUAGGAAUAUUGGUCGCGCAAAGUCUAAAAAAUUAUUUAAAAAAAUGAAAAUUCCCGCGUCCCAUUUUUGGUACCCGCCAAAAUUUUUAAAUUUUUGCGCGACGAAUAUAGGAAUAUUGGUCGCGCAAAGUCUAAAAAAAUUAUUUAAAAAAAUAAAAAUCCCCGCGUCCCAUUUUUGGUACCCGCCAAAAUUUUUAAAUUUUUGCGCGACGAAAAAUACAUACUGGUUGCGCAAAGUCUAAAAAAAUUCCCGCAUCCGAUUUUUGGUACCCGCCCAAAUUUUUGCGAGACGAAAAAUAUAUAUUGGUCGCGCAAAGUUUUGAGCGACAAAAAAUAUUGGUCGCGCAAAGUCUAAAUUUUUUUUAUUUUUUUUUUAAAAUCCCGCGUCCCAUUUUUGGUACCCGUCCAAAUUUUUAGAGUUUUGCGCGACAAACUGUUGGUUGCGCAAACUUUUGAGAGACGAAAAAUUGGUUCGUAACACAAUAUUUAUAAAAAUAAUUGUUAUGAAUAAUAAAAAUAAAAAUAUUUUAUUUUACAAUUUAAAAUAUAAAUAAGGUUAAAGCUGCUUAAUAAAUAUAUAUACUAUUCAAUUUCUUAAGUGUUAUACGUACAAAAUAAAUAAAUUUAAAGCUACUUAAUAAAUAAAUAUAUAUACACACACCAUUCAACGAUCCAACUGUCAGACUUAUUUGUAUAUACUUCAAGAUCGUAUACCCCAAAAAUCGCAAAAAACAAACAUUCAGAGAUCUAGUAACGAGACAAAACUUUUCGAUGGUUAUAAAUGAAAAAUUACGAUUUAACGGUUAUUUUAACUCCGAUUUUGAUGAUUUUUUUUACAGCUACACUCCUUGACCAUAUAUGAAUACAAUGACUGAAUUUGAUCUUCAAUUUAAAAUAUUUACACUAGUGGAUACCACAAAAUCUUAUGUUAUAUCUAACGAACAUAUAAAUAACCUCUUAAUUGUUAGUGAAUAUAUUGUUUUGAUGGCAUAUGCAUUCACCAAAACUAGUUUCAACGAUCCAACCGUCAAACUUGUUUGUUUAUACUUCGAGAUCAUAUACGCCAAAAAUCGGAAAAAAUAAACAUUCAGAGAUCAAGUAAUGGGACAAAACGUUUUGACGGUUAUAAUGAAAAAUCACGAUUUAACGGUUAUUUUAACUCCGAUUUUGAUGAUUUUUUACAGCUACACUCCUUGACCCUAUAUGAAUACAAUGACUGAAUUUGAUCUUCAAUUUAAAAUAUUUACACUAGUGGAUACCACAAAAUCUUAUGUUAUAUUUAACGAAAGUAUAAAUAAACUCUUAAUUGUUAGUGAAUAUAUUGUUUUGAUGGCAUAUGCAUACAAAAAAACUAGUUUCAACGAUCCAACCGUCAAACUUGUUUGUUUAUACUUCGAGAUCAUAUACACUAAAAAUCGAAAAAAAAAUAAACAUUCAGAGAUCAAGUAAUGGGACAAAACUCUUCGACUGUUAUAAUGAAAAAUCACGAUUUAACGGUUAUUUUAACUCCGAUUUUGAUAAAUUUUUAAAGCUACACUCCUUGACCCUAUAUGAAUACAAUGAACUAAUUCGAUCGUCAAUUUAAAAUAUAUAUUUUCUAACAAAAACCCAAUCCGAACAACAAUAAUAUAUUUUUCUAACAAAAAUCCGAUCCGAUCUAAAAUAAUAAACUUAAAGCUACUUAAUAAAUAUAUAUACCGUUUAAUUUCUUAAGUGUUAUGCAUACAAAAUAAAAAACAAAAAUAAAUUGGUUUAGGUGACAAAAUGUUUGGAUUACGUCAUGCAAAGAUUUUAAAAAAUAAUUUUUUAUUUUUAUUUAUUUUUAUAAGGACUUUGCGCGACGAAGUUUACUUUUCGUCUCGCAAAGUCACUUUGAGCGACGAAUUAUUUUUCGUUGCGCAAAAUUGAUCGCGCAAGACUUUGAGCGACGAUGUAUUGUCGUCGCGCAAAAGUUUGUCACGCGAAGUGACUUUGCGCGACGAAUUAUCUUUCGUCGCGCAAAAUUUGGUCGCGCAAGACUUUGAGUGACGAAGUUUCAAGUUUCGUCGCGCAAAGUGACUUUGAGCGACGAAUAAUUUUUUGAUUUUGGUCGCGUAAGGGGGUUUUUUUUACUAGUGGAUCUAGUUUGGGGUUGCUAUUGCUUAUUGGGUACAACUUUGGUACUCAGUCCUUCAAUAUUUUCAAAUAAACAUUGAAUUCUUCCAAGACACCGGCUAUAUUGAAUUCUUCCAAGCCAUGGUGUCUUGGGAUGGUCUGAUAUUUGAAAUGGUAUCUUCUAACAUCUGUCCCCAAUUGCAUAUUGUUGAUGCUCCGACACUUUUGGGCUCAAUUUAGUGAUGAUGUCAUCUUCGAUUUCGCAUGAUCUUCAGCAAAGCGAUUGAUUUGCAAGACAAAGAAUGCUUGUGGUACCGGCCAAAGGUUCUCCGAUGCUUAGAUUAGAAUAAGUAUUGAGUGAAUAGUGAUCUGGACAGAGUAUUGAUUGAUUCGUCAAAUAUGGUGUAAACACAUAUGAAUACUAGUUUUAAAAUUCAUUAUUAUAAUAUUGAUUCCUUUCCUAUCCAAUAGUGCCGAAUUUUGAUUUUGAUUUCUUGGGAGGGUAUGGAAUCACUUUCACCACUAAUAAAAUCCUCAAACAAAUAUAUUCAACAAUUCCGCCUUUUGUACCAGAAAUAGUAAUCAAUAUUUCUGCAGAUUAAUUUUUUGAGAGGAUCACCAACUGGACUACUAAGAAAAUAAAUUCAUGUACAGGGGUGACAGCCUGGAGCAAGCACAAACUCUUCUGGCUGGCCUUCUGGAACCCUCUAUCCUCUCUAUAAAUUGAUCCAACCCUGAGGUGGUUUAUGCACAUUAAAAAACUCUUACACUUUGUGUCGGGAUUCAUUAGGGAUUUUAGCUUCUAAUGAUUAAGGAGAUGGUAAUUGGGAUGUGUAGAGUAGCUCCAGAAAUCCUAGAUGAAGAUGAAGACGAUACUGAUAAAGAACCUGACGUUCCCAAGCAUCAAUCGAAUUGGCGAUUCACCAGAAUCAGGUAUCUUUAACCUAAACGGCCCUCUCAGCAUUUCGUCACUUGUAUACCUUUCUUCAAUCUGUGCUUUUAGGGUUUGGUUCAUUUCUAUCUAUUUUUUUAUUUUCUUUUGUCUGGUAGAGUAGAUAGACCUGAUGAUAUUGUAUUACUAGAUCUGAUUAACAAAAAUCUCGAAAAUGUUUUAGACAGUGUGUGACAUUUAAAUUAAUGUUUUACAAAACAUGCCAGGUAUCUUGUUUUGUUGGGGUUCAAGUUUCUGGAUUUUAAAACUCAUAUGCUUAUGCUUGAAAGUCCAAAAUAUCUUAAUUAGCGCGGCUAUUAGAUGAAUUUUGGUUUCAAAAUUGUUUAAAAUUCUACAUAUACCUUAGAAUUAAUAGUACAUAGGCCAAGGCCAUCUCGGUCCUUUUUUUUGUUUUGUUUUGUUUUUUUUCUUGUUUGCUUUUUUCCUAAACAAUGAGUGGGGAUGGCUACCUGUGUGAAAGGCAUUUUCGGCUUCAUACUUGGUUGUGUACCAUUCCACAACACUUUAACCUAUAUAGAGAAAUAAGGAAUGAGUCAAAUUUUUGCAGUAUAACACAAAAUUAAGGGGCUGGGAAUAAUUUAUUUUUUAAAAAAAAGAACAAUUUAAACCAAAAUUUAAAGAAUUAAUUCAAAAAUAAUAUUCAAAUGGAAUCAUUUCACAUUUAUUAAACUUUACUUGAAAAAUUAUGAUUAACCAAAAAAAGAACUUCAAAGGUACAGAAAAAAUUCAAAAGAAAUCCACACACGCACAAGCAGAUACAGAAGGAAGAUAACUCCAAAAACCUAACCAUUCACAAAGCAAAAAAUAAAAAGCAGGUAGCCCAUUGUUUCUCGAAACCGUUCUAAAACCCUCUUUCCUGUUGAAAUAUAAGUGAUGAGCUGAUGAGAGUUUGAUAAAGUCCCUAAGCUGAAAUGGUGUAUUCACUUAGUCUCUAAAAUAGGCAAGUGUGAGGCGUCAGUUAGUGUUAAGUGGCUAUAGCCACGUGUAAAGAUCUUAGAAGGCAGUUUUGGAUGUAAGGCUGUGAUUCUCAAGUGAUGUAAGAGAAUCCAGCUAUUUCUCUAACGGGCAUAUAGCACACACUGUGCUUGCCCGAAAGUUUCAGAAUAUACAAUACAAAAAAUACAGAAGUUUUGUUUUUAGCUAAGCUCUCAGUUUUCUCUUGCAUACUGUUUUCUCUUCUUCUCCAAAACCUAUACAAAACUCUAACAUGGCCUCAGAGCCAGGUUGGGUCUCUUGAUCUGGGCGUAAAACUGUGAAGGUCACUGAGCUCAAUCGAAGCUCAGCUGAACAUCUGAGAAGAGAAGCUGCUGUGAUUCAGACCAAACGAUGGCUGGAUCUGGAAGUUCAGACGUACGAACUCCAAUCUUUUCCGGUGAGAACUACGAGUUCUGGAGGAUCAAGAUGGUGACAAUCUUCAAAUCGCUUGGGCUGUGGAGUUUGGUAGAAAAGGGGAUUCCAGUCUCUGAUUCGAAGAUGAAGACCAAGAAAGUUGAAGAAUCAUCGGAGGAAGAAGCUGAAGCAGAGAUGUGUGCUGUGCUCAUGAAGGAUGCAAAGGCACUGGGCAUCAUACAAAACGCUGUCUCUGACCAGAUCUUCCCUCGGAUUGCAAAUGCCGAUUCAGCAAAAAUGGCUUGGACUCUGCUCUACAGUGAAUAUCAUGGAGGUGAUCAGGUUAGAUCUGUAAAGCUUCAGAAUCUUAGACGAGAAUUUGAGUAUAUGAGGAUGCGUGAAGGUGAACAACUUUCUGCAUAUCUUACUCGAUUAAAUGAAUUGAUAAAUCAAAUGAAAACAUUUGGAGAGGUGUUAUCAAACGAGAGGCUGGUUCAAAAGGUGUUAAUCAGUCUUAGUAGAGUUUAUGAUCCCAUCUGUUUGGUGAUUGAAAAUACAAAGAGUUUGGAGACCAUUGAAUUGCAGGAGGUUGUUGCAAUAUUGAAAAGUCAAGAGCAACGUUUUGACAUGCAUAAUGUGGACAUAGCUGAGAAAGCAUUUGGUUCUUUCUCAAUCGAUCAAAAGGGGCAGAACAAGAAUAAUGCUCAGUCUGGUACUGCCAAGUCUCAGAAGAGUUGGAAGCCUAACAACAAACCAUGGGAGUCUAGACAGAAGCCACAGCAAGCUGGCGCUGGACAGACUUCAAAUGGAGCACAUUCUGUGCAGCAAGAUAGGGUGAAGCCUCAAUGCAAGGUCUGCUCUAAAUUUCACUAUGGAGAAUGCAGAUAUAAGGGUCAAUCCAAGUGCUAUAAGUGUGAUAGAUUUGGACAUUGGGCCAGAGACUGCACUGCAAACAAAGGAGGACAGAAAGCAAAUAAUGCAAGCCAAGUAGAAGUAAGAGGGAAUCUGUUUUUUGCAAACUGUGCAAUUUCAGACAAGGGUGAAAAUGGAGAAUGGUAUGUAGACAGUGGCUGCAGUAACCACAUGACUGGGAAGAAGGAGCUGUUAAUUGACAUAAACUCAAAAGUCACAGGCAAGGUGCAAAUGCCAACAGGGGAGCUUGUAAGUAUAGCCGGCAUGGGCACUUUGGUGCUUGACACAAACUCUGGUGCAAAGUAUAUCAGAGAGGUCAUGUAUCUGCCUGGUUUGAGAGAAAAUCUCUUGAGUGUGGGCCAAAUGGAUGAACAUGGUUAUCAUUUGGUAUUUGGGAGCAGCAUGUGCAGCAUCUAUGAUAGUUCUUCUCUUGAGAACCUUGUUAUGAAGGUGGAAAUGAGAAAGAAUAGAUGUUAUCCACUAUCAUUACCCUCAAAUGAUUUUGUUGCACUAAGAGCUGGUGUAGUCAACUCUACUUGGGUUUGGCAUAAAAGAAUGGGGCAUUUACACUUGAAAGGCCUAAACCAACUCAAGGAAAAGGAGAUGGUACAUGGGCUGCCACAUUUGGAAACUGUAAAUGAAGUGUGUGAAGGCUGCCAAUUAGGAAAACAACACAGAGAGUGGUUUCCUAAAGAUCAAGCAUGGAGAACUAGUACACCUCUUGAACUUAUUCACAUGGACUUGUGUGGACCAAUGCAAAAUGAAUCUCUAGGAGGUAACAAAUAUUUCAUGUUACUCAUAGAUGAUUUUACAAGGAUGAUUUGGGUCUACUUCUUGAGAUACAAGUCGGAUGCACUAAAUUGUUUUCGAAAAUUCAAGUCUAUGGUGGAGUUGCAAAGUGGUUACAAAGUGAAAUGUGUUCGAAGUGAUAGAGGUGGUGAGUUCACUUCUAGUGAAUUCAAUAAACUAUGUGAAGAUGCAGGGAUUCAAAGACAAUUCUCCAUGGCUUACACACCCCAGCAAAAUGGAGUGGUAGAGAGGAAAAAUAGGACUGUGGUAGAGAUGGCUAAGGCUAUGUUGCAUGAGAAGGAGCUGCCCUAUUAUCUAUUGGCAGAAGCUGUCCACACAGCAGUGUACAUCUUGAAUAGAUGUCCUACCAAGGCUCUUAGGGACAAGACUCCUUUUGAGGCCUAUAGCACCAGAAAACCAGGUGUUGCUCAUUUAAAAGUGUUUGGCAGUGUGUGUUUUGUGCAUAAACCAGAGGAGAAUAGACAGAAAUUGGAUGCCAAAAGCACAAGGGGAGUUUUUGUUGGAUAUGCAACAUGUGAGAAGGGCUAUAGAGUGUUUGAUCCUAUCACUAGAAAACUACUCUUAUCAAGGGAUGUUGUAUUUGAUGAAGAAACAAGCUGGAAUUGGAAGGAAGUGUCUGACAAUUCUGUGGUUAUGAUGAACUUUGAGGAGCAGCCUAGAAAUUCUCAAGUGGAUUCGUUUGAGACACCUAUAGGGCCUCAAAAUUCUGGUUUCACUGCUGGAAACUCAGCAGCUUCCUAUGGAGAAUCAAGCAAGGAAAGCAGUAGGUUGGAUGAUACUCAGACCUUCGAUCAUACACCAUUGAAAUGGAGGAAGUUGGAUGACAUUUUGGCACAAUGCAACCUAUGCACAAUGGAGCCUGAGAAGUUUGAAGAAGCUGUGAAGGAGGAAUCAUGGCNNNNNNNNNNNNNNNNNNNNNNNNNNNNNNNNNNNNNNNNNNNNNNNNNNNNNNNNNNNNNNNNNNNNNNNNNNNNNNNNNNNNNNNNNNNNNNNNNNNNNNNNNNNNNNNNNNNNNNNNNNNNNNNNNNNNNNNNNNNNNNNNNNNNNNNNNNNNNNNNNNNNNNNNNNNNNNNNNNNNNNNNNNNNNNNNNNNNNNNNNNNNNNNNNNNNNNNNNNNNNNNNNNNNNNNNNNNNNNNNNNNNNNNNNNNNNNNNNNNNNNNNNNNNNNNNNNNNNNNNNNNNNNNNNNNNNNNNNNNNNNNNNNNNNNNNNNNNNNNNNNNNNNNNNNNNNNNNNNNNNNNNNNNNNNNNNNNNNNNNNNNNNNNNNNNNNNNNNNNNNNNNNNNNNNNNNNNNNNNNNNNNNNNNNNNNNNNNNNNNNNNNNNNNNNNNNNNNNNNNNNNNNNNNNNNNNNNNNNNNNNNNNNNNNNNNNNNNNNNNNNNNNNNNNNNNNNNNNNNNNNNNNNNNNNNNNNNNNNNNNNNNNNNNNNNNNNNNNNNNNNNNNNNNNNNNNNNNNNNNNNNNNNNNNNNNNNNNNNNNNNNNNNNNNNNNNNNNNNNNNNNNNNNNNNNNNNNNNNNNNNNNNNNNNNNNNNNNNNNNNNNNNNNNNNNNNNNNNNNNNNNNNNNNNNNNNNNNNNNNNNNNNNNNNNNNNNNNNNNNNNNNNNNNNNNNNNNNNACAACUCUGUUGAGCAGAUUUGGCUUGAUUGAGUGUAAGCCGGUUUCUAUUCCACUAGUCACCUCAGAGAAGCUAAGUAAAGAUGAUGGGAGUGGCUUGGCAAGUGAAGAACACUACAGAAGGAUUGUUGGAAGUCUGCUGUACCUCACAGCUACCAGACCCGACAUUAUGUUUGCAGCUAGUUUGCUAGCAAGGUUCAUGCAUUGUCCCACUAGCAAACAUUUUGGAACAGCAAAACGUGUUCUUAGAUAUGUGAAAGGGACUCUAGAUUAUGGUCUGGAGUAUGUGAAAGGAAAAGGGCCAGUUCUAAUUGGCUAUUGUGACAGUGAUUGGAGUGGUUCAGUGGAUGAUAGCAAGAGCACUUCUGGAUAUGCUUUUUCUUUUAGUAGUGGAGUGUUUGCUUGGGCCUCAGUCAAGCAAAAUUGUGUUGCACUCUCCACUGCAGAAGCGGAGUACAUCAGUGCAUCUGAAGCAACAACACAAGCUAUUUGGUUGAGGUUUGUCCUAGAAGAUUUUGGAGAGCUUCAAGCAGAAGCAACUCCUCUACACUGUGACAACAUUUCAGCCAUUGCCAUUACAAGGAAUCCUGUGUUUCACCAGAAAACAAAACAUAUCGAUCGGAGGUAUCAUUUUAUUAAAGAUGCUUUGCAAGAAGGAACUGUGGAUCUGAUUUAUUGUCCCACAAAUGAGCAACUAGCAGACAUUUUUACUAAGGCAUUGGCUAAGGAUCGUUUCUGCUAUCUCAGAGAGAAACUUGGUGUGAAAUCAGCUCACAACUUAAAGGGGAGUGUUGAAAUAUAAGUGAUGAGCUGAUGAGAGUUUGAUAAAGUCCCUAAGCUGAAAUGGUGUAUUCACUUAGUCUCUAAAAUAGGCAAGUGUGAGGCGUCAGUUAGUGUUAAGUGGCUAUAGCCACGUGUAAAGAUCUUAGAAGGCAGUUUUGGAUGUAAGGCUGUGAUUCUCAAGUGAUGUAAGAGAAUCCAGCUAUUUCUCUAACGGGCAUAUAGCACACACUGUGCUUGCCCGAAAGUUUCAGAAUAUACAAUACAAAAAAUACAGAAGUUUUGUUUUUAGCUAAGCUCUCAGUUUUCUCUUGCAUACUGUUUUCUCUUCUUCUCCAAAACCUAUACAAAACUCUAACAUUUCCUACCUAUAAAUUUAUCCAACCUUGAUGUUUCUGCAUAAACAAAAACUCUUCAGCCCUUGCUUGCGAGUGACUUGGUAAUUAGGAUGUGUAGGGUAGCUUCAGAAAUCCUAGGUGGUGAAGAUGAAGAGGAAAGCAAUGCUGAUGAUGAACCCGACUGUUUUCAUAAAUCGAAUGUGUCAUUCACCAGAGGUAUAUACACUUAUAUAUAGAUAAACACUGGACGCCCUUUUAAGCAUUUCUUCAUCCCCUUCUUCAAUCUGUGCUUUUUGUCCCAAUCAAGCUGGUGUUGUUAGAGGCUGACUUCCAAUGUUGGGACUGCUGAGAGUAUUUUUCCUUAAUUAUAUUGAAAAGUUAAGGGACACAGUAUGAGUACAAGGAAUUGAGUUACUACUCCUUAUUACUAAUUAAUUGGUUUUAAAGUGGAACCUCAACUCAACUUUAUAAUAUUAUAGCAGAAACGAUAAUCAACCCCUUUUUUGUCAAUAGUAUUAUACUAAUUUUCAUAUGUCAUGACAAAUUUGGAUUAAUAUGACUAAUUUGGCAGAAGAAGGAUGCCUAUUUGUCUUGUUAAAGUAAUCUUAAAAUAAUAUAUACCCAGUUGACAUCAUCUUUUUGUAACCCAAUUGUAUUCCAAAUCUAAAGCAAAAGGUUGCUGUUUGUACAAGAAUUUGUACUUGUUGGCUAAAUUCUUUAUUCUAGGUAAAAUACAUGGUUUAGAGGCCAAAUCAUGAAAUAUACAAUUUCGCCCAACGUUAUACAGAGGUUGGAGACCAUUUUCAGUAAGGAAAAUUGGUGUGAGACGUGUGUGACAAGGGCAUCAUGGUGUGCAUGCAAAUUUUUGAUAUUCUUUUUGUAAGAAAGAAUAUUAAAAUAAAGGAAAGAUGAGGAUUUUGGAGGAAGCACACGAAGUGUUACACCAAAGGAGAAGGUAAAGUGUAGAAAAGGCAAGUGGAGGAUGAUAAAAGAAUGAUUAAACAAAGGGAAAAGAAGGAAAGAGAUGGAAAUAAGAAAAUACAUGAUGUGAUAAUUUAUGUCAUCAUUGUAUAUUAACAAAUGAAAUAAAGCAUGCAAGUGGUUACAAGUUCAAAAAUUUGUCCAAUUUAUGGCCAAAAUAUUCUCUCCCUUCACAACUUUUUGACUAAAUUCAGUAACAUUCACGAUUAUUUCAUCUAAAAACAGGCUGGACAUGUACUAUUUAAUGUCCACGAGGCAGAAUAGUCAAGAGGGUUGGGGACUCAACGGUAAAUCGCAGUUCUGCAUGGCCUCAAAGGUCUUUUACCUAUCCCAAUCAAUUUUAAAAGUCAUGGUUGAGAGUCAUUUAAGGAUAUCAAUUGACAAGGAGCCAAAAAUAUAUAUUUGGUUGUUAAUUUUUAUCAUAUUUCGGCAUUGAGGAGGAGUAAUCGAAGCUGGAAGGGGUUUUCUUUAUCACACUUAUCUGUUAGUGGCGAGUGGAGAAUGCUUUCUAAUUGUUAUUCUUCAAAUAUCUAAUGACCAUCAUCAUAUUUCCCUAUCUAUUGCAAUUUAAGUAAAAAGGAAGAAGAGAUAAAAGGUGGAGGACCAUCCACAAAUAUUGACAAUGCGUGUGAGAAUGAAAAGUUGGUGGAGAAGAGUUAACCAAAGAAUGCAAUAAACAAAUAUUAUUUCAUCAAAGUGAUGAAGCAAUGUUUGUACAAUUGCUUUUGCAUGAGCCGAAAGUUACAUGCAAUCAUCCAAUCAAUAGAUUAGACAAUAUUUCUUUAUUGAAAGAACCAAGUGCAUGGACAGCCAAGAGAAGGAGCAUUUUUGCUCACCACUUUAACUCAAUGUGUAUCCUCACCACCCUUCUUAUAACUGGACACUUGUCCAUACUUUUAACCAUAGUUAACUCUCUGAUUUUAAAUCUUUUAAGUAUUUAAAAUUAAAAAUCAAAGUAAAAUAAUAAUUAAAUAAGAUUAUUAAAAAAAAAACUAAAAAAAAAAACUCUCUCUUAUUCUUUCUCCCCCAUUCCCGACGAGACCUACCCCCACCAGCUGUUGAGAGUGUUUGUUCCACUUUUCUUGUGAAGGAACUUCAGACCGGGGCAACAGUGCUCAAGGGACAAACUAAAGAUGGUGUAUAUGAGUGGCCAACCUCCUCCCCUUUGAUUGCCUUCUCCGCCACAAAGACCACAUCUUCCGACUGGCACCAUCGCUUAGGACAUCCUGCUUUUCCCAUUCUCAAACAUAUUGUUUCCAGCAAUUCCUUAGGCGUAUCUUCCUCUCUGUCAUCUGAUUUUUCAUGUAAUGCUUGUCUUUGCAAUAAAAGCCACAAAUUGCCUUUCUCCACCUCUACAAUUGUCUCUACUCAACCUCUUGAAAUUAUAUUCUCCGAUGUCUGGACAUCUCCAAUUUACUCACAUAACGGCUUUAAAUAUUAUGUAAUCUUCAUUGAUCAUUUCACUAAAUAUAUCUGGUUUUACCCACUCAAAAACAAAUCUGAUGUCAAAGAAGUCUUCAUAAGAUUCAAAGCCAUUGUAGAGAAACACUUCCAUUCAACCAUCAAAACACUUUAUUCUGACAAUGGUGGUGAGUACAUUUCCCUAUCUAAUUUUCUUUCCACCAAUGGUAUCUCUCAUCUCACCACUCCCCCUCAUACACCUGAACACAAUGGUUACUCCGAAAGAAGGCACCUUCACAUUGUCGAAACCAGUCUUGCCCUUCUCACUCAUGCUUCUUUACCAAUCUCUUACUGGACUUAUGCCUUUGCCACAGCCGUCUACCUCAUCAAUAGAAUGCCCACUCCCACCUUAAAUCUCUCCUCCCCUUACCACAAAAUCUUUCAGAUAGCCCCAAACUACUCGAAAUUAAAGGUUUUUGGUUGCUUAUGCUACCCUUGGCUCAAACCUUACACUUCCCACAAACUAGAACCACGGUCCAAGCCGUGUGUUUUCCUUGGGUACUCUCUCACUCAAAGUGCAUACUAUUGCCUUGAUCCUUCAACCUCAAGAAUUUAUGUCUCAAGACAUGUCAAAUUUGUUGAAUCGCAGUUUCCCUACUCUUCACUGUCUGGUCCGCCCUCUACUCAUCAUCCCAAUCCCAUUGCCAAUUGGUCUUGGGGUGGAACCUCAACUUCCUUCAUGGUAUCAGAGCAAGGCUUCACGUGUUGGGCCCAACGGCCACACGUGUUGGGCCCAACGGCCACACGUGCUCCCACGUCACCCAAUAUGUGUUGUCCACGUGAUAGGCUUGAAAGUUCGCCACACGUGCGGGGGCGUGUUGAGAGUGUUUGUCCCACAUUGAAAUGUUAAGGGACGUAGCCUGGGUUUAUAAGGAGUUGAGCUACUCCCCCCCAUAGCCAAUUGGUUUUGGGGUGGAACCUCAACUUCCUUCACCAGCAACCCCAGCCAUCUCCCCCACAUCGUUCAACCUCAACCAUGCACCUCACCACAACAACCACCCACACCGACAAGACUCGAUAGGGGUUCGUCAACGACGCAGUGACUGGAUUCGUCAGAGAAGAACCAUCGGGAGACCCUAUCGGACCAAAUUCAAAGGGUCAACGAACAACUGGCAUUCAACUUGGUCUUAUUGGAGUCGAAGCAAGCGGGGGGUUGUUCUUGAGAGGGAAAAGGAAGAGCCUAAGCCUUGCCGGCUUAGCAAAAAGAGAGAUAGUGUCGGUCGUACUCGAUGAUCAUGUAGUUGAGGUCCUUGUCGUUGGUGACGGAGAUGAAGGCGUCGAGAUCUUCGCCAGGGACCUGGUACUUAAAGCAAACGACAUUGUUCAAGGUGUCACAGAAUGAGGCAACUUGGAAGCGGAAGCGGAGAGCUUAAUGUUGCGAUCUACGAUGCUGAUUUUGGUGUCGUCGCUGACGUAUACGAGCUAGUGGUCGUACAGGCAAGGCUGGUUGGGGUGGGUCUCGUCGAGAAGUGGGGAGAGAAGGAUAAUUUUUAUUUAUUUAUUGUUAUUUGAUUAUUAUUUUACUUUAUCUUUUAAUUUUAAAUACUUAAAAGAUUAAAAAUCAAAGAGUUAACUAUGGUUAUAAGUAUGGACAAUUGCCAAGUUAUAAGAAAGGUGGUGAUGAUACACAUUGGGUUAAAAUGGUGAGCAAAAAUGCUUCCCCCAAGAGGAGAAAGAAAAUAAAAAUUAGAACACUAGCAGUGAUAAGGAUUGAACAGACAAGAAGUAGUAUUAUCUUUUGGUUUCUUUAUUAUAAAAGAAUAUGGGUGUGCAUCAUCCAAGUGUAGAAAUAAUGAUAGUCAAUGCACCAAAAUAUCAAGAAGGCAGCAUAUAUAGUAGGGGUGGGCACGGUCCGGUUUGGACCGGUUUUCUCAUAAAAUUAGAACCUGGACCGAAAAUGAAGACCGGUUCGGUCCGGUCCGGUUUUGACAAAAAUCCAUGAAUGAGCCCGAACCAAUCCGGACCUACCCGGUUCCGGUUCGGUUCCCGGUUCUCACGGUUUUGGGCUUGUUGUAAAGCCCAUUUUAUUUUCUUGGGUAUUUAAGCUUUAAGACCAUCUGAUUUUUAAUAUUUUUGGGCUUCAACAUCACAAUUGGCCCAAUUCCCAUAUUGAAACAACCACUAUUCUUUGUCAAAAAUAAUAAAACAAUCCAAUAUUCAAUUUAAAAUUACAACCCAACAAAAAAAUACACAAUAAAACAAAAUAAAUUACCUAUAAAAAAUAAAUAAAUUACAAUCAAAUUUAAAAUUACAACUCCAUUCUUUUGCUCUUUUGUUGCUGCAUCUCCGAACACCAAGUGAACCUACCAGAUCCAUGUAUUGCCAUCAAUAAUCUAAAUUUGUGGAAAAUAAAAACAAAACUCCAAAAACCCAAAAGUGAAAAUGGAUCAAGAAAUGCAACAGCAAAAGAAAAUUAUCAGAAAACUAGACCAUUUUCAUGAUCAAAGACAGCCAAAUGAGUUACCUGCUUGCCCAUUUUGAUAACAACAUACACUGCUUCUCAUGCCUCUAACAUGUUCUCAGAAUACCCAGAAUACCCAUCAUGUUCUCCAUUGGAUCUAGAUUUAUGUUUAUUUUUUCUUCACAGAUUGAGACAACCACACGUACAUAUUCAGACAACCACAACCCAAUCCAAUUUGAUAUAUAUUUGAUAUACUGGAGCUUCAAUUUGAUAUAGUUUCAAUCUGCCUUAUUUCAAUCCAUUUCUUCUUUUGACAGCAUAAUAUCAAGAUAGGCAUAUAAAAUACUUUUCAUAUCACCAAGAAGUGCUAAUCAAUUUGAUAAAAUACAAGCAGUUGGCAUUUGGAGGUUUUUUGGCGCAUCACAGUGACAUACCUGAGAGAGAGAGAGAGAGAGAUAAGAUGAAGAGGUGGACUGCUGGAUCUGCAAACUGCUGGAGGACAGAGGAAGCUGCGAACUGCUGGUGCUGGAUCUGCAAAUUGUUGGAGGACAGAGGAAGCUCCGAAUUGCAGACAGAGAGAGUUGGUCAGAGAAUCGAAGGGGAAAAAGGAAAAAAAAGAAAAAAAAGAUAGAGAAUCUAACCUGUGUGACAACGGCGACUGAGAAAGGUGGCGACUGAGAGGAGCAGCGGCUGAGAGAGGUGUGGUUGAGAGAGAGGUUUGGCUGAGAGUGAGGUUUGCUUGAGAGAGAGGAGGAUGGUUGAGAGAGAGCUUCGGCGGCGCGACGGCUGAAGGAUGAAGAGGAUGGCUUAGAGAGAGGAAGGUUGAGAGAGAAGUUUGGGUGAGAGAGAGGAUGGCUGAGAGAGAGGUUUGGCGCAGACAGAGGUUUCGGCGGCUGAAGGAGAGAGGAAACGAAAUGGGAGGAUGAAGGAAGAAAGAAAACCCUAAUCGCGUUAUAAUUUUUGUGAUGAAUGUGUGUGCGCGCGCCUACGGUAACAUCAUACACAACCAAUAAAAAAGGGCCACAUGUUAAAAAAUAUAUAUAAUAUAAAUAUAUAUAAUAUAAAAUAAUAUAAAAUAAUUAUAUUGGACCGGUUCGGAUUGGACCGGUUCUGUGUGGUGGAAAACCGAAACCGGAACCGGUUUGAACCGGUUCGGUUUGGAUUUGUCUCGGUUUUUGACUUUUUUGGUCAAUACGGUUUUUUUUGGAUUUUUUCAGUUCGAUUUGGUUCGGUUUUGCGGUUUUGCGGUUCCAAUGCCCACCCCUAAUAUAUAGGAUUGGCGUGCGAUUCCUUGAAGAUGGCAGCUGUCAAUUUUGGUUGCCUUCAAACCUCUAUAAAUAUAGAAGGCUCCUAACAAACAAAACAGAACCCCGAACCAAACAAAAACUACUCAAUCAAACUGAUCAAGUUCAAUGAUUUAAACAAAUCAUUCAAGCCAACGAAUACAGAAAGCUAGUAAAGGUGCCAAGGACCUCCAAAGCUAUCCUUGAGAUUUUGCUCAGAAUUCUAGCUCACGAUUCCAAACACUUUUGGCUCAAACCUGAAGAAAGCUUUGCUAAUACACAGUCAUUGGUAUCGAUUGCUAGCUAAAAUUCCAGUUAGUUGAAGGUACUGCCGGUUCAGUAAAAUCCAGUCCAAUCAAAAAAAGUCCAAUCCAGCCUAAAAAAAUGAACAUCUCUGCAAUGGUGUUUCAGGCAGAAAUUGAAGUCCAAGCAAUUCUUUUCCACUUGUUGGCUGAUGCUUUUCCAGACUUGGCAGCUCCUUUGAUGUAUUAUAUUUCAAGCAAUUCUGCUUGAACUUGUUUGUUUUAUUUUCAAGUACUUGUAUUUUCCUUUACUUACCAGUUUUAUUUAGAUAAAUUGUGAAGUCCUCAUCAGUCUGAGGCAUAGAAAAGGACUUCCUUGGGAGGUUUCCCCACCCCAAAUCACAAUUGUUUGUUUAAAGUCAAAUACUUGAGGCGCAAAUAUAUUACAUCUUUUAAGCUUGUUAGGGUUUUAAUCUCUAACAUUAGCACGCUCACAUAAAAGAAAGUUGAUAUAAAGACCAUUAAUGGUUAAAAAAAACACUUUAGAUGAGUAUAUAGUGCUAUAUGUAAGGUAGGAGUAAAGGGCAGUCCUGAGUUUUUUAAGGCCCAUAACGAAAGGCAUAACCUUUAUAGACACAAUAAUUUCUCAAAAAAAAAUAAUAAUAAUAAAGAACUUUUAAUGGCUAAGAUUGGAUGCAGACUCAAUCAAUACACAUUGGAAAAAAAAAUUCAUUUCAGAACAUUUUAAAUAUUUUUAUUUUGUCUCUCCUCCCUGCUAACUCUACAUUCUCCUUUUGUUUUCAACUCUGCUCUACAUCUUUCAUCACUCUCAAGGCCACCCACCAGAAAACUAUUCUUUUAUGGCAAUGGAUAAAUGAGAACAAAAGGCCAGCAAUCAUAAAGAAAAUCAUACCUGAAAACUAAGGCCAAGAAACCUCAAGAAUAAAAAAGAAAAUGGAUUACAUGAGAAAUAUAUCAAUCCCUUUAUUUUUUUUAAUUUAGAGAUUUCAAUCCCAGUAUGCUAUUUAUUCAGGCUAUCUCCGUUAGUCCUACAAUAAAUGUGCAGUAAGCUGACCUUUUUUUUUCGCAUAAAAGAACUGACUUAUUAAAUAAAAUAUGUGGGUGUCGUAAAGUCAAGAAUGUGGAGCUCAAAAUGAUAGAGCCCACUACCUAAUUGAUUGAAGAAGAAUAAUGGUGAAGCUUGUUUGCCAAAAUCCACGUGAAGCCAAAGAAAUAUGAGUAAGCAGCCACAGAAUUUUGCCUACAAAUAAGAGUUAUCCCUUCCUUCGACACACACACCAUCUGAAAAGAAAUGAGAGCCCAGAGAGGAAAGACAGGAAGGAAAGAAAGAGGGUGAGUGAGUGGAGAGAUAAAGAGAGUAGAGAGAUUCUCCAAGAGAGAAAAGUCAGUGAGCCACAUAUAUUGUAAACACUAAAAUUGUAGCCUUAUUAUUUUACAUAGUGGAAAAAUUACUGUUGCUGCUCUCCGAGGACGUAGGCAAGGCCGAACCUCGUUAAAUAUUGUGUUUUAUUUACUUUACGCGCUACUCAUAUUAUAGCAUAUCCCGUUCAUUUUACAACACGUUAUGAACACGAAUUCGCUUUUAAAAUACCAGCUGAACUCUCUGAUGAACCCCAUCUGCUUCAAUACCUUUCUUUCUCAAAUUUCUAGCAAUCAACCUCUCAACUGUGGCAGAGAGUAUAGCCCUCUAUAAAACAUGUCUACGAACAUGUAAGAAAAGGGAAAAGAAAACACAAUCUAGAUAAACACCACCCACCGCCUCCAAAGAGAGAUUUACCAGGGAUGGGAUGGAACUGUGGUCUGCUUAAGGAGAUGUUAAUUGAAAGGGCUAUACAAGGAAAAAGAAUUCUUGGUGUUUAUCUGAGAGAUAAGUCAUCUACUCUUCUUUAUCCUGAUUGUUUAUGUAAUAUUAUAUAAUCAUAUUGAUCAUAAAAAGCAAGUAAAGGUGUACAGGAGGAGCUUGUGUAGGUUCAUGUUCAUCCACUUUGUUUACGAAAUUAUAACUCAAAGGAGCAGACAAACGUGAAUGCAGACUAGCACUAAGGUUUGUCUCUACUUUUCAUUUCCUCUAGUAUUGAGAGGAACCCACGAAAAGAAAAAGGUAUUCAAGUUGACAGCCUAUGUAUAUAUAUAAUAUUAAUAUGAAAAGUUGAUGGUAAUAUAAUAUACUAUAUUUAUUUGCUUUUUUAUUACUAACCACUAAUAAAAAUGGAUCUUUAGUAAUAUUAAACAUAUUAUCAGUGGGAGGCCGUUAAUAAUACUAACACAUAUCUUAUUUUAUUCGAUGGUGGUUUUAUCUCUGCAUUUACUUUAUUUACUGUAUGGUGUAGGUUUAUUACCCAUACAACAGUAUUUAUUUAAAAGUAUGGUGCGGAUUUAUCGUCCACACAACUACCUUUACUUUUAUUUAACGUCCAUACAGCAAGUAAUUUCAUUUAUGAAUUUAUUUUACCUCUCAUUUACCUUUAUUUAAAGUAUGGUGUGAGUUUAUCGUCCAUACCAACAAUUUAUUUUAUGAAUUAAUUGUGUGGUAUGAUGAGUUUUAUAGCAUAUAGAGAUCAGGACCAGAAGUUUCUUGAUCCUCAUCAUACAAUUAAAUCAGGACCUAAAGAUCCUUAAUGAUGAUAAUGAUAUGAGAGCUGGCAGUCUCUCUGGUACUAUAUUUGUAAACAAGAGAUCGGACAUGAAGAUCCUUGAUCCUUGAUAUGUAAAUAAGGACAUGGAGUUCCUUGAUGAUGUAACAGUACCGUAUUGGUUAAUAGUGUCGUACACAUGAAUAGUAACUGUACUAGCAAAUAUACUGUAUGCAUGAAUAGACACGUAUUCAUGACCUGAUGAAUAGUAUCGUAUACAUGAAUAGUGACGUAUACAUAAAUAUUAACCAUUUUGACUAUAUACAAAAAGGAACCUGCAAUUCCUUAAACUCAUGGAUGAGGAAUUAAAUAAGAUGCCAGAAGUUCCUCAAAACAUGGACAAUUAUGUAAGGGUAUGAAAUCCCGAAAUAUGUCCAGGGAAUUAUAAAAAAGUCCAUACCAUGAGAAUAUAUGAUUUUGGCCUGAAGUUCAAAAUUUAACAAUGUUGAGAACCUGAAGUUCCAACAAUUAAAUGGACAACCUUUGAGGUAUUAUUGCAAAUUGUGGUACACCACAUAUUUCUUUGGCAUAAUGAAUUUAAUAAAGUUCGAUUAUUUUAUAAUCGACACCUUAAGGAAGAAAUAUAUUUUGUGAAUUCGGUUGUUAAGAAUGCACCGUGAAAUGGAUAAUAUCAGGAUAAACCUCAAAAGAUGAAUUAAGGAUCCCCAUAUAUUUUGUCAUAUUAUAUGAUCUAGGCGGGAAGCCCAUGGAUCCCAACAUAUGAAAAGUCCUGAACCUAAAGUUUUGGGUAUAUAGUAGUUAAUGCUCUUCACUACUAUAUUGCAAUAUUAUCAUGACUUUUCCUCAAUUCAUAUUUCAUGCCUAUUUGAAAAAGGCAAAUCAAUUUUGAGGUCGUGUUUAGCCCGGGCUAGAAGUUCCAGACUCACAUGCGUUGAAAUAUGUAAUUUGAGAGAUUUGUUGUGGUUAUUUGAACCUAAAAAAGCACAAGGUUCCAAACCAUCAUUUUGAAAAGACGUGAAAACCACAGGUGCAAGUUUAAGAAUUUGCCCAAUAAUUAUAACAGGAAAGAAGCAUAUAACAAAUAGAUUCUCUUCACCUGUAAGGAGGGAGCAGGCUUUGUAAAAUCUAUAAAAUUCCAUUAUGUUCUGGAAGCCUCUGAAGGAAGAGAACGAUGUCUCUUAAGCUUAGCCAUGAUCCUCUCGUGGUCUCCCAGAAUCUUUUCAUUGGAAAUCUGCAGCAUGUCAAGCCUUGUCUGCGUAUCAAUGGAGUAUGAACUCACAAGUUUCAACAAGGAAUUAUUUUCCUCUUUACGUUUUUUAACCUCAUGUUGAGACUCAUUAAGCAUUCUUGGAAGAGACGAAUUUUCAGCGUUCAACUCCUGAAUCUCGUUUGCUCUGGCAUGUAAACAAUCAGCCAUAUUAGAAACAAAAGUAGCAUUCUGAAUGCUAAAAGCCAUUGAGUCAUCAAUAGCCUAUUUGUCAUAUCUUCCUGUUAACAGUAUUUCAUCCAUAGGAGUAAGGAAAUUCCUAGCUGCUAUGACAGCAGUUGUAUUAUUCAUCAUCACAUAAUCAUUAACCGUGAGAUGACGAUUUUAGGAUACAAAGGAUGGACGCCAGACUUUGGCGUCACGGGUUGUUUUGGGGGCAACAUUUAAAUCGAAAUGCUUUGAGGGAGAAGAAGAGGAAGCCAUUUUAAAAAGGUUUCGAGGAAAGUCCUAGAAAAACUAAAUUUUCAGGAAAUGAAAGGAAGUUUAGUUGAAAUGCAGUUAUUCCAAUCAGGCCUCACAGAGGCAAUAUCUAUAAACGAAAAUGUGGCAAAGUUUACCAGUCAGAUCCCCAUAUUCUCUUUUUCUUUUUUCAUAUUCUAAAACUUCACGCGGCCUCCAUUAAUGUCUAUUGGCACUUUAAGGGUUUCAAAUAUUAUUUUCGUUAAAGCCGAUCUUGCUUUGCGGAUUUCACGAAGUUACUUUUUCAAAAGCAUCUCGAGCACCUCACAAUUUUCUGUAGUUAAUUUGAUAUUCACCGGAUCUACCAAUUCCUCUAAUUUGUGUAUAAAUAUGUUACUAACGAAAUUUUCUUUGCAGAUUACAUCUAGUUUUCUCCAUAUCUAGUAAUGCAAUAUCCACUUGUUUUUUCUAUCAGUGGGCACUUGAUGUGCUUGAGAAGCGAGACUAUCUCUGAUCAUCAAUUCAGGAAGCGAGGCUAUUCCUGAUCACUUUUCAACGAUGUCAGGGAACUGUAAGACAGACAAGAACGACCACAUCGCCCUAAUCUCCUGAAGUUCUCUUAGACUAAGGGAGAAUGAGAGUUCGUUGCCUGUUUCCUCACCAAUUUCCUUCCCUGAUUCUUUAGAAUGAACAUUUGAAAAACAAAUCCAUGUAGUGAACUUAACACUGAGGGUUAUCUUUUUUUUUUUUUAUACAGAGACAGAAGAAUUGUGAUGUUUACUCUUGCAGGAUAUAACUAGAUCAUCAAGCGUUACUUAUAUUUGUUGAGCUGAUACGAGCUCCAAUGAUACUUGAGCAAAGUUUCUCCCACCAAAAGAUGUAAGCAAUACUUGUGUUAUUUCAUACUUGUACUCUUAUUGUACGACAUCCUUAAAGGUAACCAAAUGGGGAGAUAAGGCCAUUCCAGAAGAACGUCAUGUAAAAGAUCAUUCUAGAAGAAUGACUUGCAUUAUAGAUCAUUCCAGAAGAACGACUUAUAUUGUGACCAUUCCAGAAGAAUGGCUUGUAUUUAUGUAUCCAUGAAUUAUUAAUGCAAAUUUCACAGAUUGCAAGUUCGAUACAUUGAUAAAACACUACAUAGAUUAAAGUCCCAUAAGAACAGAACAUGAGUAUAGCAGUGAUCAAUAUGAUGCACGCUUGUUGCAUAGCAAAUGAUAUGGAUUGAAGUCCCGGAAGGACAAUCCGUUAACAUGUCAAUAUUAAUACGGUGCACGCCUAAUGCGUGGCAAAUUAUAUGGUUUAAAGUCCCAGAAGGACAAUUCAUUGACAUAUGUGUGUUAAUCUGUGGCAUGCCUGGAGCAUGACAAAUAUAUGGGUUCUAAAUGUUCCAAGUCCUUAAAUGAAGAUUAUCUACGCCCUACUAUAAAAUAACGCUCCAUUGGAGGUUAUGAUCCACAUUCUCACAUAAUUCAUCUUACAAGAGAUGUCUGUCUGGAAAGAGACAAUAAAAGCCCCUUUGAGUGGCUUGGGUACCCAAAAGCAAAGAAAUGCUUAUAAUUGAUGCAUGCGCAUGCACAUGAGAAUGGUGGGAUAAUGAAUUGAUGAAUGACAAUUUUUUGUAGCUACUCAAAUCAUCAAUGGGCUGUAUUGAUUGGAACCACGUUAUAUUAUUAAAUGUCGACAAUAUCAUUGGCUAAAAAAAAUUAAGAAAAUGGAAAGAGACAAUUUCAUUACAUAUGAGAAUGAACGUGAAGGAACAAACCCAUAGUACGAACCCCCAAAAGAUGUUAACCCUAAAAGUUAUACUUGGGUGUUCGGAAUAAAGAGGAAUACACUCACUUUGUAUGACACAAUGUUUCUGAUAGAACCAAGGAAUGUUGAGGUUCUCCAUGUUUACAGAUGCAAUCAUGCCUUCUUAUUGCACAUCUACGGAGACCAACAUGUUGUCUUUAAGGGUUAUUAAAUGCACGGAGCAUAUCUCCAAAAGCAAUUCCCUAAAGAUGUACAAGCAGAACAAAUAGCUGGAUAUAAAGCUAUAUAAUGUGUCAUGAAGUGUAAUCCUGAAAUAAAAUCCCUGAAGGAUUGAAAUUGCAUGAAGCAAGUCUUUGAAGGACAUGUGCCUGAAGCACAAAUUUUGUACCCAAUACUAAUAUGUAUAAAUUGCCUCAGUGAGUACCUAAAUUAUGAUAUGGUUGCAACACAUUACAACUCCUGAAAAGUUGAUAAUUGAACAGAACUCCUAAAGAGUUAAUACUUGAUUAAAACUCCUGAAGAGUUCAAGAAAUAUUUGUCAUGGCUUGAAGAUCGAGUAUUAUGCCAACGAGAUUCUUGCUUAUACUAAGAAAGUAUUGAAGCAUUUUUAUGUGGAUUAUCCGUUGGGCACUUAAAUGAUUUUCCGGAAGUAUACUGAACCGAACAUUGUAUUUUCCAAAUAAAUCCAUUGGUUGAUGUGGGAUCUUACAAUCCACCCCCCUUAAGGGCCCGACGUCCUCGUCGGCACACUCGCACCACACGGCAAAGUGGCUCUGAUACCAAAUUGUCACAUCCCAAGAUCAACUCCGCCGUAGCACGAUAUUGUCCGCUUUGGGCCCCCCCUCUCUGGUCCUCACGAUUUUAUUUCUGGGAGCUCACGAUCAACUUCCUAGUGGGUCACCCAUCUUGGGAUUGCUCUGGCCCCCAACUCGCUUAACUUCAAAGUUCUUAUGACUCCGAAGCCAGUGAGCUCUCAAAAGGCCUCGUGCUAAAUGGAUACGGGUGUGCACAUAUAAGGCACAUCACCCCCUCUCCGUUGGUUGAUGUGGGAUCUUACACUCUCUCUCUCUCUCUCUCUCUCUCUCUCUCUCUCUCUCUCUCUCUCUCUCUCUCUCUCUCUCUCUCUCUCUCUCUCUCUCUCUCUCUCUCUCUCUCUCUCUCUCUCUCUCUCUCUCUCUCUCUCUCUCUCUCUCUCUCUCUCUCUCUCUCUCUCUCUCUCUCUCUCUCUCUCUCUCUCUCAAACCGAUCCGAACUCAAAUUCUAUAGAUUGUAAUUAAAAUAUCUCAUUCGAUAUGCAUAUGGUGGAUUAUAAAUUUGUCAUGAUUAUAUUCAGUUUCUAAUCGCCCACUUCCUCACCAAUAAGGUUGAGUCUUAGAAAAACUAAUGAAGAUGAUUAAGUCAAUGACGUUAGUUUUUUUUGGUCAAAGUCAAUGACGUUAGUUAAGUUUAGUUAAUCAAUUAAACCAAAGAUAAUUAAGAAAUUAAGUAAUCAAACAUAUGAUGUAAGGUUACGCCUUAAAAUACAAUUAGGGAUUUUAGGCCUAUUGAGCUUGUGACUUUAGUUUGGUGAUAACUUAAUUUCAACAGGCCCAAUAGGCCCAUUGACUAGGCAUGGCUGGCUAACAGUACGAGGCAUAUUGGAUUUCACUUGUUUUAAGCACUAUUUAAAGAACCUUAUGUCUCUCUUCCUAUUCAGCGUUUCAGCAUUUGAGAUUUUAGGCUAAGAAGCAACACUCCUAUUCUCACCUAGUAAAAAAUGGCUCCCUCACGGAAGAUCACUAUGAAUGUGUGUGUGUGUGUGUGUGGUGUGUUCCUUAUGCAUUAUCACGGAAGAUACUUCUUUUUGUGAUUGCUGCUGCUGCAUUUUACUCAGGCUUGUUAAUUCAAAGAUGCAUGGAUGAGGAUUCUACUAUAAGAACUUAUCCUGACAUUGGUGAACAUGCAUUUGGGAAGAAGGGAAGAAUAGAUAAAAAAGAGUCUCUGGAAAAUUAGGUCUUGAUAAAAAGGUUGCAACUGACAGAGAAGAGGGUUCAGAUCUGAGGAGAAAAUGGGUGGUGUGGUGUUGGCGAUGAAGACAAACACCUGUUUCUUUCUUUUGCCAUUGGACGAUGAAGAAAAUGGGUGGUGUGGGUUUUUUGCCCUAUUUUUUUAAUUGAUUUUUUCAAAAAAAAAUUAUAUGAAUAUUUUAUUACACGUAAAUAUAAAAAUAUAAAAAAUAUGGGACCCAUAAAUGCCACGUAGGCAACUAACCGAGAAAUUUGACAGAAACUCUAAUGGUGGAACCACAUUAUAACAAAUUUAAAAUAUCGGGAUAUGUGAUUGUAAAAAUUGAAAAGAUAGGGACUAACUUGUCUUAAGGGUGUAACUACAGAGUACUAAACUGUAAUUAAUUAUCUUAUGCACCAUUAGAUAUGCAUCAAUGGCAGUUUUAGGGUACUUAAUGUUUGGGUCAACAAUUUAGUCACAAAUAACUUUAAACCUCCCAACCAAAAACUUAGCUCAAAAAUCGCAAUAUGGACCACCCUUGUCAAUCCACCACCCAAAUAUGCUUUAAUGGUUACACCAAUAAUAUAUUCAGCCAAAAAUUGGUUUCCAAAUCACUGCAAUAACGGGCACUUCGACCUUCUCCUCAGUUCUAGCUUGGUAAUCAGCAGUGUUGUAGUAGCUUUGGCGGUUCCCUUUUUCGCAUAUCUCGUGUCACUGGUUGGAGCAUUUUUGAGUGUAUCAGCUUCACUUCUAUUCCCAUGCUUUUGCUACCUUAAAAUUUCAGCUACGUACCGAAAUCUCGGAUGUGAGAUGUUGAUUAUAGGGUUCAUUAUUUUAAUGGGAGCUGCAGUUAUGAUUCUUGGUACUUACACAGCUGUAUCAGAAAUAAUAGAGCAUUUGUAAAUUGAUGUAGCAGCUUCUCUUUUUCAACAUUAAUAUAUAUUGCUGCUGCUAGGGUUGAAGAGCUUUUAUAGUACUGAUGGCGAUAGAUUUGUGGCAAAAAAGUCACCAGCAUAACAAAAGACUUUGGCAUAUAGAUGUGGAGAUGGCCAAGGAGUCUUCAAUUUAGGUUCAAGUAUAACAAUUAUUUUGUGGAAUGUUGUCACCAUGGUGAUUGCUUUCCAAAAAUAUUCUUUGAUUUCCAUAAACUCUUCACAUGAUAGUACAAUUGAAUUAUUUACUCAAAUGAUCCUCAAAUUUAUGCCUGAUUUACAUUUCGAUCCUUCAACUAAAUUAUUGGUUCAAAUAGUCCAUCAACUCUAUAUUAUUUGGUCCAUUGAUCCUACCGUUACAUUUUGUCAAUAUUUCCAUUAAAUGUGAGGGUAAAUUGGUCAUGUCGUACAUUAAAAAUAAAUAGAUACUGAAAAAUGAAAUAAAAAGCUCUCUCUCCAUUCCCCAUGACCACCACUUGCAAGCUCCAAUCCGCAAAGGAGUGUUGAUUAACUUUGAAUGUUACUGUAAUGUUAGAUAAAUUUGGGAACACUCCUUUGCUUGAAGCCAUUAAAAAUGCGCAGGAUCAAGUAGCUUCUUUACUUGUCAAGGAGGAAUUUGGACACUGACAUUAACCCUGAAAAGGCCUUUAGCCACUGACAUUAACCCAAAUACGAAAAAUUAUGAUCAGCGACCACCGCUUCAUGUAGCUGCUUCAGAAGGCGUAUAUCCAAUGGUAGAAUUCCUUCUAGAAGUACAAUCUGAGUGUUAAUCUGGCUUGUCAGAUACUGUUCUUAAAAAUUUCUUUAAGCUUCUAAAUCCAAUAGGAUCCAAUGAAGUUAUAGGGGCAAUAGACGAGAAGAUGAACAGUAAUCUGAUAAUUCUGGUUAGAGUAAAGCAAAGGACUGCCUAUUUAAAAAAUAAAUAAUUCCAACAUGCAUGUUUAACCUUUCUAAUUAGUCUACUUCCUGAUUGCAGAUGGGGGAAGCACUCCACUUGAUGAAGCCCGUAUUAAUGGAACUAAGAAACUAAUCAAACUGCUAGAAGUUGCUAGAGCUUCGUAAUUGUCAGAGUUCUCUUAUCAAUAUCAUCAAGAAACUACCUAUGCAUGUCUCUGAUCAAUGUGUAUUAUCAAUUAAAUGAUAAAUGUUAAUAGGAGAUGGAACAAAAGUUCUGAGAUGUUGAUAUAUUGUUGAGAAUUUUGUUUGAAUCUUUAAUUCCCCUUUUGAUUUUCUAAUGUGAGUACCUUGAAAUGCAUGGAUUGAACUAUUAUUGUUUAUCUGGCUUGAUCAUUCUCAGUGUCAAUUAUUCUCACUAGUCUUGUAAUAAUCAAGGACUCGAGUAAUUCUUGGGUCAUGGAAGUAAUGCAUGAAUGCAUCAAGUAAUCUAGAUCGGAAUAGUAAAACGAAAGAAGCACAACUUUUAAUCCCACAGAUAGUCUUAGCUAGGUUACAAAAAUUAAUGCAUGAGCAGCAGCUGCAUGCAAUAUUAUUGAAAGCCAAAUCACAACAUAAGGAAAACUUAAGAAAAUGCCACUUUCGCAGGGAACGCGAUUGCAUUUAGCAUAUACAACAAGCCUUUUAAACCUAUAGGUGACCCUGAUAGGACGAGUGAAGUCUCGUGAGGGUUUCCAGCGACGCUACCCACAAACAUCAAAUUAACUUAACAGGAUAAUCAUCCUGGAAGUUUUUUGACAAUGAAGGCAUGGAUUUCGUUGGGUUUUGCACUUUCUACAGCGAGGAAAUCCUUCAAGAGGGAUUCAGAUUUUGGCCCU
rnacentral:lncRNA from 1 species